rnacentral:lncRNA from 1 species
AAGAUUCCAUGAAAACAUGAUGCAGAUACUGCACUAGGAUCAAUUUAUUUCUUCUAUCACCAAUUCAUCAUGAGCUAGCACACCAUAAAGACUUGGUAAAAAAGUACAAAUACAAAGACACACAUAUGCGCGAGAUCUAUUAAGCAGUGACAUCGAUCUUCAUGCCUUGCUGGCAGUGACCCGGAAGGCUACAGAUGAAGAAUGCUUUGCCUCUGCGGGCGAGCUGGAUGUGGUCAUUUCCGGAGGUGUAGGUCCUCGACGGGCCCGUGACCCUGCAUGAGUUGUAGUCGCCUUCUCCCACCUGCACCACAUUGUGCAUACUCGGGUUGUACUUGAACACUGCGUGCAUUAGUUAACACAAGAAUACAGAUCAGAACACAUUAUAUACAUCAAGAACAACCAAUCACUUGAUCUUUAGAGUUCUCACCAAGCACGUCACCGGACUGGAUGUGCUUGCCACUCUCCCAUCCGGAGACGCCGAAGCUCCAUCCCUUGUUGUCACCAACGGUCCACUCCUUGCCAUGGACGAUGGGGGUUGCGCAGCAAACGACCAGAAGCAGCACCAAAAGGGUGGGUACCAUGGUUGCCCGAGCCAUUGAUGGUGUUGCUCUUGACUUCUUGUUGAUACCGAAGAUCACAAGAAUAGAAAAGUGAAAUAGUGGUCGAUUCCUCGGUAGAAUGGUAGGAACUUAUGUCUACUUGUAUAUUAACAGUAGCUAGUCCAAAUAGAUGUUGGUUUAUCAAGAUUCCAUGAAAACAUGAUGCAUGCACUGCACUAGGAUCAAUUUAUUUCUUCUAUCACCAAUUCAUCAUGACCUAGCACACCAUAAAGACUUGGUAAAAAAGUACAAAAUACAAAGACACGCAUAUGCACGAGAUCUAUUAAGCAGUGACAGCAAUCUUCAUGCCUUGCUGGCAGUGACCCAGAAGGCUGCAGAUGAAGAACGCUUUGCCUCCGUGGGAGAGCUGGAUGUGGUCAUUGCCGGAGGUGUAGGUCCUCGACGGGCCCGAGACCCUGCAUGAGUUGUAGUCGCCUUCUCCCACCUGCACCACAUUGUGCAUACCCGGGUUGUACUUGAACACUGCGUGCAUUAGUUAACACAAGAAUACAUAUCAGAACACAGUAUAUACAUCAAGAACAACCAAUCACUUGAUCUUUAGAGUUCUCACCAAGAAUGUCGCCGGACUGGAUGUGCUUGCCACUCUCCUAUCCGGAGACACCGAAGCACCAUCCCUUGUUGUCACCAACGGCCCACUCCUUGCCAUGGACGAUGGUGGUUGCGCAGCAAACGACCAGAAGCAGCACCAAAAGGGUGGGUACCAUGGUUGCCCGUGCCAUGGAUGGUGUUGCUCUUGACUUCUUGUUUAUUCUGAAGAUCACAAGAAAAAAAGUGAAAUAGUGGUCGAUUCCUGAAGUGAUGGCUUGCGUUCGGUCUCCUUCUCGUAUGAUAUAUAUAGGCGGUCAGCUAAAACUAUUGUUUUAAUGUUCUCAAAUAAUGAAGAUCUUGCCUUAAAUAAGACAAAUCAACAUUUGUGAUAUGCAACAUUAGUUAGUAUAUGCUACCAAAUCCUCCAACUUGUACAAUCUGAUCUUGGAUUAAUUGAAAUGAACGAGGAUGCAUUUAUUUCCUACUUUCAUGAUUUAGUAAAUAUUUAUUUUUCCUGGAUGCAUUAGUAGUAUAUCAGAAAUUGAUAUAUACUAUUACUAGAUGAUAUAAUUGUAAUAAUAACAUUUUAAAAUACAAAAUUAUUUUUUUAUAAGGAGAAGUCCCUAUCUUGACUUUUCAACCAUAGGUGCUAAAGCGAUUGGAGGCCAUGAUUUGCGAUUGUUUAGUCUCAAAUAAUUUGAAAUUGAUAGGAAUAUUUUCAAUAAAUGGAGUUCAAAUGAAUUUCAGAAGUUGGAAAAUUGAAUGCAUUAGGUUCAAAUAAGAAUUUUAGGCUAGGUUAAUUUGGAGCAAUUGCAAAACAAAAGAGCCCCGACUGGUUUACAAAGCAGUAAAACCGACGAGAUUCAGAAGGAUCUAAUUGAGAGGAAAAUUUGUGAGAGUUACCAAGAACUUGUAGCCACUUGGGAUGGAGACGAUGACCUUAAGGGCGCCCUCUGUGAAAACUCCUCAACUACACCUGAUCGACGAAAUUAGCCCUAAACUAACCAUCGUGGCACAAACUGGAAUGACCUACUGAUAACCCUCAAGUAUAGGGGAUCGCGAUUCAAGAGUAGCAUUUCACCCAAAUUUAUUGAUUCAACACAAGGGGAGCCAAAGAAUAUUUAUGAACCUUAGCAGUUGAGUUGUCAAUUCAACCACACCUGGGAGAUUAUAUUUGUGCAACAAAGUGUUUAGUAACAUGGUAGUUUGAUAGUUUUGAUAGUAGCAGUAACAGUAGCAAUAGUAACAGGAACUGUAACAAUAGCAGUUUGUGAUGAUUGUAACAAUAGCAGCAAGAGUAACUUAGCAAAGACCAAUAUGAGAAAAGCAUAGGAAUUGGGUCAGGCGAUGCAUAUUUGUGUUGGUUGACACUCAUCAUAUAGCAGUCACUACCUAGAGUGAUACACAAUAGCUCCAAUUCAUCAAUGUAAUAUAGGCAUGUAUUCCGUAUAUAGUCAUACACGCUUAUAAUAAGAAAUUGCAUGACAUCUUUUGUCCUACCCUCCCGUGGCAGCGGGGUCCGUAAGGAAACUAAGAGAUAUUAAGGCCUCCUUACAAUAGUGAACCGGAACAAAACAUUAACACAUGGUGAAUACAUGAACUCCUCGAAUUACAGUCAUUCCCAGAGAGUAUCCCAAUUAUUGUCACUUUGGGGUCUAAGGACCAGAACAAUAACAAGAGCAUAUAACUAGCAGAUAGGAUCAGGAACUCAAAUAUAUUCAUGAAAACAUAGAGGGUUCAGAUCUGAAAUCAUGGUAAUCGGGUCUUAGUGACAAGCGUUAAGCAUAUCAAAGUCAUAGAAACAUCAAUCUUGGAACAUAGUGGAACUAGGGAUCAAGCCCUAACAAAUUGAAUCGUUUGCAUGACAAAUCUCAUCCAACUCCAUCAUCGUCCAGCAAUCCUAUGAAGAAAUUACUCAAUCCCAGUGGUGAGCAUCAUGGAAUUGUUGAUGAUGAUGACGAUGACGAAUCCCCCUCUUCGGAGCCCAAAACAAACUCAUCAGCCCUCCGGAUGAAGAACAGGAGGUGUCGGCAGCUCCGUCUCACAAAACAUGAUGAAACUUUCUCUCUGAUUUUUCUCUCCGUGAGACGAUAUUUAUGGAGUUCGAAUUAGGGAAAACGGAGGCUCGUGGAGCCCAUGAACUCACAAGGCGGUCCCUGGGAAGGAUUGGGUGGGCAUGCUCCCUGAGCUCAUGGUUCCUGAGUGGCCCCCUCCAGUAGGUCUCUUCGCCAAUAUUUUUUCAUAUUUUUCAGAAAUAAUCUCCGUAAAAUUUCAGCCCAAUCUGAGAGCUUUUAUUUCCGCACAAAAAUAAGACCAUGACGAUUCUGCUGAAAAAGCGUCAAUCUAGGUUAGUUUCAUUCAAAUCAUGCAAAUUAGAGUCCGAAGCAAUAGUAAAAGUGUUUGGAAAAGUAGAUACGUUUGGGAUGUAUCAACUCACUAAGCUUAUCUCAUUGCUUGUACUCAAGGAAUUUAGUAGAUAAACUAAAAGUGAUAAAGAAAAACUUCUACAAACUCUUUCGUUCUCAGUGUUGUAUAGAUGCUUAACUAGUGUUCAAUUUUUCAGCAAAGAUUAUGAACAAACCACAUGAAUGAUAACACUUAGGUCUCAUUUUUACUCAUGAGAACAACACAACCAACUAAUGAUCAAUAACAAGAUAUCUCGGAUGCCAACAAUUUGUCAAAAUAAUUAAGAUAUACUAUAUCACUAAGCUCCCUAGGAUUGGAGGCCUCACAAUCAAUUGAGGUCUCCAAUUGGAAUUUGGUCACCCAAUUUUGACCGGGUCAACAAUUUCUCAAAAUUCUCUCCUUCAUUUUUUAUAAUACGCUAUGCUUCCUAAUUUUUAAAGCUUCACAAUUAAUUGAAACUUCAAUGUAGAAUUGGGUCACUCGAUUUUGACCGGGUGAACAAUUUCUCAAGGAGCUCUCCCAUUUAAUUAUUUUAAUUCUCUAUGUUUCCCAAUUUUAAAGCUCUUUCAUUCGAUUGAGGUAUUCAAUUCUGGAUUUGUUUAUGAUAUUGAUCGGGCCAAUGAUUUUUCAAAUUAAUCAGCAGCAACCGGCCUAUAAUAACAUAUCAACCCCGCGCAGACUCCCAUCACCUAGAAAAAAGUGCCACCAUGUGAUACCACGAAUAUAGUACAUGCAACCACUGAUGCAAAAACAAUCCCGCAUAAAUAUGUGUUAAUUAGCGGAUAACGUAGAAUCAUACCACAAAAGGCCCACCAAAUAACCACAUUAAAAAUAAACAUAAAACACACUUCAUCAUCUCCCCCAUCGACCAACCUUUCCCCUCCGUUUCAUCUGUCCGAAAAUGCCUAACUUCGGGAAAACUUUUCGGACGUUAUCCCCCUUCGGCGGUACCGGGUAACACCGCGUUAGAACACCCCUAGCGCUGCUUAUUGGCUUGUCAUGCUUAGUAUUGCACUUGUUUGCCCUGUAUUUACUGUGUUUUCCCCCUCUUCUCUCCGGUAGACCCCGAGACCGCUGCUGAUGCCCCUGUGAUCGACUACGUCGACGACGACCCUUCUCCCCUUUCAUCGGAGCUUCCAGGCAAGCCCCCCCUUUGAUCAUCCCGAUAUCGCCCAUUCCAUUCUCUCAUGCUUGCAUUAGAUUUUGCUACUGUUAUUGUUUGCUCCUAUUCUGAUGCAUAGCUUGCUUUUGUACCUGCUAUUGUUACCUACCUGCUUGUCCUAAACUGCUUAGUAUAGGUUGGUUAGAGAUCCAUCAGUGACCCCCACUUGUCCUUGUUGCCCCUGCUUCAUCAACGAUGCCUCGAUCAUCGUGAUCGACGACCAGAGCCUGACACCUCACAUCACAUCACGCCCCUUUAGUUGCUCGACUCUGCAGAGCUACUAUCGAGUGCCGAGGGUGAUCCCUCAUAACGCACUCCUGAUGAUAAUUCUGUAGUGUAGCUAUUCGGUCGUGGUCAACGGGGGUGGUUCCUCUUUCACCAUUCCUGAUACGGCUCUAUCGUGCAACACCUCAAGUGUGAUCCUCGAGGGUGGUCCCUCUUACGUUCACCUUGACGUUUACAUUGAGUGGAAUCCACUGGGGGUGAUUGCUCGGGUUUUCUUCCUUGAUGUUUUGGACACACGGUUACCUUGACUUUACUUGAGACCAUUGUUGAAGUCGGGUCGGCCCUAAGGGGUACCCGCGAGUUGAUGUGAAAGCCGGGCGGGCCCGGAGAGCACCCGUGCGUUGUGACAGUGCCGGAUGGCCGUUUAGCGGUAUCACCCAGGAAGGGGUGAUAGUUCUAGACUUGUCCCGACAGCCAUCACUACUUUAAUUGUUAAUGCACUAACUGGUUUGGGUAUUUGUUCUGAAUUGGCCUUUGUCCUUUACGCACUAACCACCACGCGAGAAUAGUUAUGGGCCUCGACGUCGCAGUAUCAGCCGAAGCUUUGUCAGACGGCCAGUUCAGUAUUGCGGCACGGCUGGGCCGGCACCAUCCUGUAGUGGUGGAGCCUGGACCCGCCCUACAUGUAACGACCCGGAGUGCAACGGGCGAUGGACCCAGACCCCGGAGUGCUUAGGAUGUAGACCGGCGGGGACCUCUCUGCUGAGCCUAGGUAGGGUUGCGACGUGUUGAUCUUCCGAGGCCGGGCAUUGACCCCAGAAAGGUGUGUCCGGCCAGAGUGAUCGAGCGUGUUGGAAAACGUGGUGCACCCCUGCAGGGAAGAUAUAUAUUCGAAUACCGUGUCCACGGUAAUGGACGUUCAGACUUGUAUCCUGAUCUUAUACAACUAGAAAUGGAUACUUGAUAUGUGAUGGAUAUCUGGCCCCGGGAUUGCUUUCUCGUAGGGAGUCGAGGAAGGAUCUCUGGGCGUUAAUGCUACAACAUGUUUGUUAAAUAUAAACUACUAUUCUUUACUCGUCUACAUGCUGCAAGAUGCUUGGAGCUGCUUGAAGAUGCUAGUCUUUGAUAGGCUAGGCCUUCCCCCCUAUUCCGGCAUUCUGUAGUUCAGUCCACAGAUACAACCCUUCCAUUUGAUACCAAUGCAUACUUAGUUUAGAUCUGAUGCUCGUGAGUUCUUUGGAUGUGUACUCACGGUUGCUUUGCUACCCCUUUUCCCCCUUCCUUCUUCUUUCCGGUUGAUGCAACCAGAUGGUGGAUCCUUAGAGCCAGAUGCCACCGCCAAUGGAUACUACUACACGGAGGCCGCCGAAGACCAGGAGUAGUUAGGAGGUCCCAGGUAGGAGGCCUUGCCUCUUCGAUUGUUGCUUCUUUUGUGCUUGCCUUCUUAAGGUAGUGUUGUCUAACUUAUGUCUAUACUCAGAUAUUGUUGCUUCCGCUGACUCUUGUGUAUCGAGCUUGUAUUCGAGCCCUCGAGGCCCCUGGCUUGUAAUAUGAAGCUUGCAUUGUUUUAUUUGUGUCUAGAGUUGUGUUGUGAUAUCUUCCCGUGAGUCCCUGAUCUUGAUCGUACACAUUUGCGUGUAUGAUUAGUGUACGGUCGAAUUGGGGGCGUCACACUUCACAAUCAAUUGAGGUCUCCAAUUGGAAUUUGGUCACCCGAUUUUGACCGGGUCAACAAUUUCUCAAAAUUCUCUCCUUCAAAUUUUUGUAUAAUACACUAUGCUUCCUAAUUUUUAAAACUUCACAAUCAAAUUGAAACUUCAAUUUAGAAAUGGGUCACUCGAUUUUGACCGGGUGAAGAAUUUCUCAAGAAGCUCUCCCAUUUAAUUAUUUUAAUUCUCUAUGUUUCCCAAUUUUAAAGCUCUUUCAUUCGAUUGAGGUAUUCAUUUUUGGAUUUGUUUAUGAUUUUGAUCGGGCCAACGAAUUUUCAAAUUAAUCAGCAGCAACCGGCCUAUAAAAACAUAUCAACCCCGCGCAGACUCCCAUCACCUAGAAAAAAGUGCCACCGUGUGAUACUAUAGCACGAAUAUAGUACAUGCAACCACCGAUGCAAAAAAAAAAUCCGGCAUAAAUAUGUGUUAAUUAUGAGAUAACGUAGAAUCACACCACAAAAGGCCCACCAAAUAACCACAUUACAAAUAAACAUAAAACACACUUCAUCAUCUCCCCCAUCGACCAAACUAAAUAUUCCCUCGGUGUCAAAAUAUAAGGGGUAUUAUUUUAUGGAAAGUAAAAUUUCUUUAACUUUGAACAAGUUUAGAGCCAAAAAUAUCGACAUCCGCAAUAUUAAACAAAAAUAUACGAAAAUUAAUUUCUUGAUGAAUCUAAUAACACCGAUUUGAUAUUAUGAAUUUUGAUUUAUUUAUCUACAAAUUUGAUCAAACUUAAAGAAGUUUAACUUUUCAAAAUAAUAAUACGCCAUAUAUUUUGAAAUUCAGUGAGUAAAGAAAUAUAAGAAUCCCAACAACAUCAACGGCGCAGCAAAGCGCGCCCAACCCUUCUAGUAUAAGGAGAUACCCCCUUUGUUACUUAAUAGAAGGUGCAAUUGGUUUUUGAUAAAAUUCCAUAAUGUAAGGUGCAUUUCUUCUAAUUCAUCAAUAAUUCUGUUUUAUCACUGUAGAAAAAAGGAAAGUAUCUCUCCCGAUUGCGUAAAUCUCUUACUUUUCUAGCCCAAAUGAUUUAGUUACCACUAAUCAAUGAUUUAGACAAGGUUAAUUUUUUCCUAACUUGUGUAUAAUUAUGUGUCUUGGUCACCAUGCCAAAAAUUAUACACCUUACAUAAAGGAAUGGAGGGAGUAAAUUAUUAGAGGUUGACUAGAGAUGCUCUUAGUAUUUGUUAAUAAGAUGGCAUAUUGGGUAGUUUCAAAGGAACUCCGAGGGCAGAUGGUAUGGUGGGUGAAGUGGAGCAGGUAAAGCAACCAUUUCUCUGCUCCAGUAAAAUGAACUAGAUGCUACUCCAGCUCCAAUCCACUAAGGAAUUGAAGUUGAGGUGUUUGAAACAAAUCUAUUGAAAUCAUGAAUUGGAGCAGUCCAAAACCACCCUCAAUCCGACAAGAACCAACCAGGAGCAUAUCCUAUAUGUGAAGGUCGACCGUGUUACUGGAUUGGUGGAUCUAGUUUGUUAAGUUGACUCGACGACUAGGGCUCCGGGGCACUAGUCCUUAAGGGCGCGUGCACGAAGACUUCUCGGGUGUAAUCGACAAGGUCAGGCCGGCUUCGACAACCAGCGCGUGAGCGGCUCAUUCUGGCGGUAGUGGUCGUUUGAUGGUCUAAGAACUUCUAUGUAUUUUUUAUCAUGUUUGGGAUGCUUUGUACAUUUGGUGAACUAUUUUUAAAAAAGACUCCGAAUUCAAUUGACUGUGAUAGACCAUCAUAAUAGUUUGCCCUUUAUGUUUAAAGUAUGGUCGGUAGAAUUGUAGAAACUUAUGUCUACUUGUAUAUUAACAGUAGCUAGUGCAAAUAGAAGUUGGUUUAUCAAGAUUCCAUGAAAACAUGAUGCAGAUACUGCACUAGGAUCAAUUUAUUUCUUCUAUCACCAAUUCAUCAUGAGCUAGCACACCAUAAAGACUUGUAAGAAAGUACAAAUACAAAGACGCACAUAUGCGCCAGAUCUAUUAAGAAGUGACAGCGAUCUUCAUGCCUUGCUGGCAGUGACCCGGAAGGCUACAGAUGAAGAAUGCUUUGCCUCCGCGGGCGAGCUGGAUGUGGUCAUUUCCGGAGGUGUAGGUCCUCGACGGGCCCGAGACCCUGCAUGAGUUGUAGUCGCCUUCUCCCACCUACACCACAUUGUGCAUACUCGGGUUGUACUUGAACACUGCGUGCAUUAGUUAACACAAGAAUACAGAUCAGAACACAUUAUAUACAUCAAGAAAAACCAAUCACUUGAUCUUUAGAGUUCUCACCAAGCACGUCGCCGGACUGGAUGUCCUUGCCACUCUCCCAUCCAGAGACGCCGAAGCUCCAUCCCUUGUUGUCACCAACAACCCACUCCUUGCCCUGGACGACGGUGGUUGCGCAGCAAACGACCAGAAGCAGCACCAAAAGGGUGGGUAUCAUGGUUGCCCGUGCCAUUGAUGGUGUUUCUCUUGACUUCUUGUUGAUACCGAAAAUCACAAGAACAAAAAAGUGAAAUAGUUGUCGAUUCCUCAAGUGAUGGCUUGCGUUCGAUCUCCUUCUCGUAUGAUAUAUAUAGGCGGUCGGCUAAAAUCAUUGUUUUAAUGUGGACAAAUAAUGAGAAUCUUGCCUUAAAUAAGACAAAUCAACAUUUGUGAUAUGCAACAUUAGUUAGUAUAUGCUACCAAAUCCUCCAACUUAUAUAAUCUGAUCUUGGAUUAAUGGAAAUGAACGAGGAUGCAUUUAUUUCCUACUUCAUGAUUUAGUAAAUAUUUCUCCUGGAUGCAUUAUUUGUAUAUCAGAUAUUUAUAUAUACUAGUAUUGGAUGAUAUAAUUGUAAUAAGAAAAUUUUAAAAUACAAAAUUAUUUUUUAUAAGGAGAAGUCCCUAAUCUUGACUUUUCAACGAUAGCUGCUAAAGCGAUUGGAGGCCAUGAUUUGCGAUUGUUUAGUCUCAAAUAAUUUGAAAUUGACAGGAAUAUUUUCAAUAAAUGGAGUUCAAAUGAAUUUAAGAAGUUUAAAAAUUGAAUUCAUUAGAUUCAUAUAAGAAUUUUAGGCUAGGUUAAUUUGGAACAAUUGAAAAAGAAAAGAGCCCCGAUUGGUUAACAAAGCAGUAAACCCGACGAGAUUCUGAAGGAUCUAAUUUAGAGGAAAAUUUGUGAGACUUACCAAGAACUUGUAGCCACUUUGGACGGAGACGAUUACCUCAAGGGCGCCCUCCGUGGAAAGUCCGCAACUACUCCUGAUCAACGAAAUUGGCCCUAAACUAACCAUCCUGGCACAAACUGGAAUGACCUACUAAUAACCCUCAAGUAUAGGGGAUCAUGAUAGUCUUCAAGGGUUGUAUUUCAUCCAAAUUUAUUGAUUCGACACAAGGGGAGCCAAAGAAUAUUUAUGAGCCUUUGCAGUUGAGUUGUCAAUUCAACCACACCUGGGAAAUUAUAUUUCUGCAACAAAGUGUUUAGUAACAUGGUAGUUUGAUAGUUUUGAUAGUAGCUGUAACAGUAGCAAUAGUAACAGGAAAAAUAAAAAUAGCAGUUUGUGAUGAUUAUAACAACAACAACAAUAGUAACUUAGCAAAGACCGAUAUGAGAAAAGCGUAGGAAUUGGGUCAGCGAUUGAUACGUCUCCGACGUAUCUAUAAUUUAUGAAGUAUUCAUGCUGUUAUAUUAUCAUUCUUGGAUGUUUUAUAAUCAUUUUAUAGCAACUUUUUAUCAUUUUUUGGGACUAACCUAUUGACAUAGUGCCCAGUGCCAGUUGCUGUUUUUUUUUUCUUGUUUUUUACAUCGUAGAAAAAUCAAUACCAAACGGAGUCCAAACGCAGCGAAACUUUUUGGAGAUUUUUUCUGGACCAGAAGACACCUGGUGGGCCAAAGAAGUACCAGAGGGGAGCUCCGAGGAGAGCACAACCCACUAGGGAACGCCUGGGGGCCCAGGCACACCCAGGUUGGUUGUGCCCACCUCGGUGGCCUCCCCACUACUAAGGAAAACCUUAUACAGAGAAGCUUACCAGUAGCGAUGGUCAAAAACAUGCGCUACUACUAUGUACGAGUAGCGCGUUGUGCACAAGCCCACUACUACUAUAUAAGUAGCAGUAGCGCGUCCCAGGUAAAAAGCGCUACUACUAUAACUGCCACACCGUUGCCGGCAAGCUAGGUAUAGUAGUAGCACUGGUCUAAUACCAAUGCUACCGUUAUUGGUCUUAGCAGUAGCUCUCUUCCUGGAACCGCACUACUGCUAUGGGUGACUUAUCCCCAAAUUUUUCUCCCCCGCGCCCCGACCAUCUUCUUCCUCCCCUCACUCCCUGAUACGUCUCCAACGUAUCUCUAAUUUAUGAAUUAUUCAUGCUGUUUUAUUAUCAUUCUUGGAUGUUUUACAAUCAUUUUAUAGCAAAUUUAUAUCAUUUUUUGGGACUAACCUAUUGACCCAGUGCCCAGUGGCAGUUGCAGUUUUUUGCUUUUUUUUACAUCGCAAGAAAUCAAUAUCAAACGGAGUCCAAACACCGCGAAACUUUUUGUGGAUUUUUUAUGGACCAAAAGACAUCCAGUGGGCCCGAGAAGCACCUGGGUGGUGCCUCGAGGGAGGAACAACCCACCAGGGCGAGCCUGGGGGCCCAAGCGCGCCCAGGUGGGUCGUGCCUACCUCGGUGGCCUCCCGGACCCCCUCUUUGCCCUGUAAAUCACCAAAUAUUCCAAAAACCCUCGGGGAGACCCUAGACCAGAAGUUCCGCCACCGCAAGGCUCUGUAGCCACGAAAAACAAAUCUAGACCCCGUGUCGGCACUCCGUCGGAGGGGCAAAUCGUCACCGGUGGCCAUCUCCAUCAUCUCGGCGGCCACCACGAUGAGGAGGGAGUAGUCCACCCUCGGGGCUGAGGGUUUGUACCAGUAGCUAUGUGCUUAAUCUCUCUCUCUUUCUCUCUCUCUCUCUCUCUCUCUCGUGUUCUCGAUAUGCCACGAUCUUGAUGUAUCGCGGGCUUUGUUAAUAUAGUCGGAUCAUAUGGUGUUUUCCCCUCUCUAUCUUGUUGUGAUGAAUUGAGUUUUCGCUUUGAGAUUUCGUUAUCGGAUUGAAUACUUUUAUGGAUUUGAGAGCACUUGAUAUAUGUCUUGCAUAUGAAUACACGUGGUGACAAUGGGGUAUCAUAUUGGUUCACUUGAUAUAUGUUUUGGCACUCAACUCACGGAUUCCCAAGGUGACAUUGGGGUAAUCUAUGCAUAGGGGUUGAUGCACGUUCUUCUCUUUGUUUCUCCAGUAGAAAUCUUGGGGCACUCUUUGAGGUUCUUUGUGUUGGAUUGAAUAUUACGAAUCUGAAUUUGCUUUGGUGUUAUUUUAGUACGAACUCUUGGAUAGAUCGAUCGGAAAGAAUAGCUUUGAGGUGGUUUCGUACCCUACAAACAAUUUAUUCUUAUGUUCUCCGUUAGAUAAGAACUUUGGAGUGAUUCUUCAUCACACGUGAGAGAUGUUUAUAUGAUCCAAUUAUUAGCAUUGUUGAGAGAUUGCACUAGCGAAAGUACGGACCCUAGGCCUCAUUUUCAAGCAUUGCAAUACCGUUUGUGCUCCAUUUUAUCAAUUGCUACCUUGAUGUUUUUAUUUAUUCAGAUUAUAAAAAUAUAUUUAUACCAUCCAUAUUACACUUUUAUCACUAUCUCUUUGCCGAACUAGUGCACCUAUACAAUUUGCCAUUAUAUUGGGUGUGUUGGGGACACAAGACAUUUCUAGUAUUUGGUUGUAGGGUUGUUUGAGAGAGACCAUAUUCAUCCCACGCCUCCCACAGAUUGAUAAACCUUAGGUCAUCCACUUCAGAGAAAAUUGCUAGUGUCCUACAAAACUCUGCGCUUGGAGGCCCAACACGAGUCUACAAGAAUAAAGUCGCGUAGUAGACGUCACUCCCCGCUGCCUCACUCCUCCGCCGCCGCCACAUUGCUGUCGCCACCGCAUUGCCGCCGCAGUCCUCCCUCCUCCUUCCUCGGUAUACCCUCCUCCCUCCUCCUCUCUCCUCCUCCGGCCGCCCCCUCCUCCCACCGCCCUCCUCCCCCUCCUCCUCUCUCCUNNNNNNNNNNNNNNNNNNNNNNNNNNNNNNNNNNNNNNNNNNNNNNNNNNNNNNNNNNNNNNNNNNNNNNNNNNNNNNNNNNNNNNNNNNNNNNNNNNNNNNNNNNNNNNNNNNNNNNNNNNNNNNNNNNNNNNNNNNNNNNNNNNNNNNNNNNNNNNNNNNNNNNNNNNNNNNNNNNNNNNNNNNNNNNNNNNNNNNNNNNNNNNNNNNNNNNNNNNNNNNNNNNNNNNNNNNNNNNNNNNNNNNNNNNNNNNNNNNNNNNNNNNNNNNNNNNNNNNNNNNNNNNNNNNNNNNNNNNNNNNNNNNNNNNNNNNNNNNNNNNNNNNNNNNNNNNNNNNNNNNNNNNNNNNNNNNNNNNNNNNNNNNNNNNNNNNNNNNNNNNNNNNNNNNNNNNNNNNNNNNNNNNNNNNNNNNNNNNNNNNNNNNNNNNNNNNNNNNNNNNNNNNNNNNNNNNNNNACUCCCUCCUCCCUCCCUCAUCUCUCCUCACUCCGUUCUUGCAUAGAGUAGAUUUUUUAGUAAAUUAGUAAAAAUUCAAACUAGCUACGUUAACUAGGCUGGCUAGCUAGGUUAACUAGUUUAUUUAGGUUAAUUAUCUAGGUUAACUAGCUAGGUUAACUAACUAGGUUAUUUAUAGUAAGUGCUUAAUAGAACUAGUUUAUUUAUAGCAAGUGCUUAAUAGAACUAGUUUAUUUAUAGUAAGUGCUUAAUAGAAUUAGUUUAUUUUUAGUCAGUGGUUAAUAUAUUUUGUUUGUGCAGAAAUCAAGUUUACCCCUGCCUCAUCCCCGCAGUAGUCCCCAUCGUCGACCCCUUCAGACCUCUAGGUGAGAAUAGCCAAAUGAUAAUGUGUUGUAAAUGUCGAUGAUGAAAAUGCUAGUGCUAUAUAGUUGCCAUGUCAUUGAUGUCGAUGAUGAUGCACUCUGAGUAUAGAGGAUGUCUGGGUGUUCUUGUUUGCAAUGUGCCUCCGAGUGGCCUAUGUUUUGCUGGAAUGUUGAUUUGUUUCCGUCCGGGAAAAUUUCAGGCGCUCGAUAUCUCCUAUCUUUAGCAAAGUUCAUGCCAUUUUUUUUCAUACAUUUUAGCAUGACUUGUGCUACAAUGUAGGGCAUAUCGAGUGCUUGUGAUUUGCCAGAACGGGAAUUCAAUUAUAUUUCGGCAAAACAUAGGAAAUUUUUUCUAUGUCAUUGCUCGAUAUAUGGAACAGGUUGACUUUAGGUAUGUUUCGGCUCCUUGUGUGUCUUUCAGUGAGGGAGAGUGUCCACCAUAUAUAUAUAUAUAUAUAUAUUUCAGAGAGGAAGAAUGCCGACUGUUGUCGUGGGGGUCGCUUCUCCUUCUUCUCUUUGUGCUAGACCUUUGUUACACACUAGGGGAAGAAGGAGUAGUGACCAUCAUCGACGACCGAAAUGGUGAGGGAGUGUCCACCAUAUAUGAGAGAAGAAGAAUGCCGACUGUUGUCGUUGAAGGAAAUAUGCCCUAGAGGCAAUAAUAAAGUUUUUUUUGCGGAGGAGGCAAUAAUAAAGCUGUUAUUUAUAUUUCCUUAUAUCAUGAUAAAUGUUUAUUAUUCAUGCUAGAAUUAUAUUAACCGAAAACUUAGUACAUGUGUGAAUACAUAGACAAAACAGAGUGUCCCUAGUAUGCCUCUACUUGACUAGCUCGUUAAUCAAAGAUGGUUAAGUUUCCUAACCAUAGACAUGUGUUGUCAUUUGAUGAACGGGAUCACAUCAUUAGAGAAUGAUGUGAUGGACAUGACCCAUCCGUUAGCUUAGCAUAAUGAUCGUUAAGUUUUAUUGCUAUUGCUUUCUUCAUGACUUAUACAUAUUCCUAUGACUAUGAGAUUAUGCAACUCCCGAAUACCAGAGGAACGCUUAGUGUGCUAUCAAACGUCACAAUGUAACUGGGUGAUUAUAAAGAUGCUCUACAGGUGUCUCCGAUGGUGUUUGUUAAGUUGGCAUAGAUCGAGAUUAGGAUUUGUCACUCCAUGUAUCGGAGAGGUAUCUCUGGGCCCUCUCGGUAAUGCACAUCACUAUAAGCCUUGCAAGCAAUGUGACUAAUGAGUCAGUUACGGGAUAAUGCAUUAUGGAACGAGUAAAGAGACUUGCGAGUAACGAGAUUGAACUAGGUAUGAUGAUACUGAUGAUCGAAUCUCGGGAAAGUAACAUACCGAUGACAAAGGGAACAAUGUAUGUUGUUAUGCGGUUUGACCGAUAAAGAUCUUCAUAGAAUAUGUGGGAGCCAAUAUGAGCAUCCAGGUUCCGCUAUUGGUUAUUGACCGGAGAGGUGUCUCGGUCAUGUCUACAUAGUUCUCGAACCCGUAGGGUCCGCAUGCUUAACGUUCGAUGACGAUUUUAUAUUGUAUGAGUUAUGUGAUUUGAUGACCAAAUGUUGUUCGGAGUCCCGGAUGAGACCACGGACAUGACAAGGAGUCUCGAAAUGGUCGAGAGGUAAUGAUUCAUAUACAGGAUGAUAGUAUUUGGACACCGGAAGUGUUUCGGGGGUACCAGAUACAUAUCGGGUCACCGGAAAGGGGUUCCGGGCACCCCCGACCAAGAUAUGGGCCUUAUUGGGCCUAGGGUGGGACAGACCAGCCCCUACUGGGCUAGUGCACCCCAUACAUGUCCAAAUAGGGUGGGAGAAAGUAAAGGGAGAGGAGAGAAAGGAAGGGGGGCAAUUCGGCCUCCCCUUUCCUUCUCUUCCCCUCCUCUUUCCUUCUCCCUCCGAAAAACAUGGAAAGGGGGGAGGCCGAAUAGGAUUAGGCCCCAAGUAGGAUUCCUCCUACUUGGGGCGCGCCUCCUGCUACUCCCGCCCCCACCUAUAUAUAUGUGUGGGGGGCACCGCUAGAACACACACCAAGUCUUCUCUUAGCCGUGUGCGGUGCCCACUCCACAGUUACACACCUCGAUCAUAUCGUCAUAGUGCUUAGGUGAAGCCCUGCACCGGUAACUUCAUCAACACCGUCGCCACGCCAUCAUGCUGACGGAACUCUCCCUCGGCCUCAACUGGAUCAAGAGUUCGAGGGAUGUCACCAAGCUGAACGUGUGCUGAUCGCGGAGGUGCCGUACGUUCAGUACUUGGAUCGGUUGGAUCGCGAAGAUGUUCGAGUACAUCAACCGCGUUACUAAACGCUUCUGCUUUCGGUAUACAAGGGUACGUAGACACACUCUCCUCGAGAUAGAUCUUGCGUGAUCGUAGGCAAUUUUUUUGAAAUACUGUGUUCCCCAACAGUCGUGGGGGUCGCUUCUCCUUCUUUUCCUUGUGAUAGAUAUUUGUAAUGCACUAGGGAAAGGAGGAGUAGCGACCAUCAUCGACGGGCGCAAUAUCAGAGAGGGAAUGCCCACCAUAUACGUGAGAUGAUAGUUCAGCAAGGAAGACUCGACAUACCUAAAGUCAACCCGUUGGAUAUUGAGUAAUAGUGAUCUAUGUGCUGAGUUUCCUGGUAGUUGCCUUCGAUCGAUUUUCAAUUAAUGUUUCAACUAUGAAGAUAGGAAAUGUCUGACGACGAUAAGGAAUUCGGUAUGUGCGAGUACUGCGAGACGAGCGCGGCCUGUGUGACAGGCCUCACCUAGUUGGUGGUAGGCGCUUCAGCAUCAAGCUGGAUGGGACCUUCGAAGUGGAUACUGUAAGUCACAACGACAAGUCUUUUAUGGUAAUUAAGCAUGAAUUCUGCUUCUUUUGCUUCAACUUAUUAUUUUAAUUUUUUACCAUUAUACUAGCGUAUCCCCUGCCAUGCAAGAAUUUAUGUCUUGGAUAUGAUUGUUUCAGUACUAUGGAAAGUAUGGAGGUAAAGAGAGUUCACUUGAGGAUCGAGCAUGGUUAUACUUUUGCCGUCAAAUUAUAGAAUGCAGACACCUACACCUAUUUUGAAUGCAAAAAUUGGAGAGCACUAUGCAAGGCUUAUGCAUUUGAGCCUGAUAUGCUUGUCACCUUUGAUAUUCGUCCGGAAGAUGAUAUUGAAGGUAAUAUCGACAUCUGGGUCGAUGUGCAGACGCCUCCAGUUCUACCAUUAUGUGAGUUUCUCAACCAUAUUUAUUAAGUAAUUUAUAUUGUUUAUUUAAAAAUAGUUGACAACUAAUUUCCAUUGAAAGCUUAUUUCCAUUCAAGCAAACCUGUCUGGCACUUGGUAGAUAGCACCUACUACUGUCCCGGAGCUGAACUAAACUGUGAGGAGAUAGGUCAUUAUGUUUCAUGGCUCGAGGAUCUUGAUACUGCCAAGACAGGUUAUUUUUGUGGACUUCAAGAUAUUAGUACUCAAAACAUGCGACCUCUAGUGUGCGUAUUGAAAUACGGUCACAUCUAUUUAGGAAAGAUGGUAAUAUUUUUACUAUUUGUCCUCAAUGCAUCUUUUGCAUACAUUAUUUUUUAAGCUAAACUUCAUUGCUAAGUAUGUUACUACGAUGUUCUUCAACAGGGACUCCCGAUGAUAGUUGUGCCUCAUUGCAUCGAGGCUAAAGGUCACAUGACAAUGGUUAGCUUGCGGCCAAGACACCCUACAUUGCACAUGAGUGCAUUUAGGAUUUCUCAAGCGAGCAAGUCUUAAUAGUCAAAGAUUGGAGCAAUGUGAAGGAUCACAGCAGAGAAGUACUAGGGGGCAGCAAUUAGAAGCGCGGCCCACAAUUAGGAGACAGGUUUAUCUGCAUGCUCCAAUAUGAUGAAGCAGGAGAGCUACACAUGUUCUAUGCUAUUUUACCUGAGAGAGAGCAGCAGGAGUGAUUAGCUAGCUAGAAUGAGUUUGAAGAUGAUGAUGUGCUACACUAUGACUAUGAUGAUUGAAUAGCUAGUGUUGGUGGUAAUGACUAUGAUGAUUUUUAUUAGCUAGUGUUGGUGGUGAUUAGAUAGCUACACUAUGACUAUGAUGAUUAAAUAGUGUUGGUGGUAAUGACUAUGAUCAUUAUUAGCUAGUGUUGUUGGCGAUGAUAUGAUGCAAGAGUUUUUAUAUUAAUAUGAUGAUGAUAUUGAUCACGAUUAUCAUGAUGAUUUGUUAUUAUGAUCAUGAUUAGUUAUUAUAUCAUAGGUGGAAGGAACGCGGAUUAGAUUCAUGUGGAUGGAUCAAAAGUGACAAAAAGUUGAAUUAGUAGGAUCGUCGUCCUAAUUCAACUUUUGAUUCAUCCAAAUGAAUCUAAUCCAUGUUUCUUCCUCACAAUGAUAUAUUAAUUCAUCAUGGACACAAUCAUAUAACAACCUAUUAAUUGGUAUUGUAUCAAAAUUUGUAUAACAACGUAUAAAUACACUAAAAAAAAUGAAAAACAGAAUAGUGGUAGCGCGGGGGCACGGAAAAUGCUACUACUAGUUAGAUUAGCAGUAGCGCUUGUAUGGACAGCGCUACUGCUAAGUUGCUAUAACAGUAGCGUGGGUAGGAACGCCUACUGCUAAGUGUUAGCUGUAGCGCCGUAUCAGUAGCGCGGUUCCCCAUGCUACUGAUAGCCCUCAGACCUACACUACUCCUAGGCUUUUCCCUAGUAGUGCCCGCACCGCCUCUUCACCCUAUGAAUUCCCAGAUAUUCCAAAAACACUUAGGGUAACCCUAGAUCAGAAGCUCCGCGGCCGCAAGCCUCUGUAGCCACGAAAAACCAAUCUAGACCCCGUUCCGGCACUUGGCUGGAGGUGGAGAUCAUCACCGGUGGCCAUCUUCAUCAUCCAGGCGGCCACCAUGAUGAGGAGGGAGUAGUCGGCUGAGGGUUUGUACCAGUAGCUAUGUGUUUAAUCUCUCUCUCUCUCUCUCGUGUUCUUGAGAUGUCACGAUCUUGAUGUAUCGCGGGAUUUGUUAAUAUAGUCGGAUCGUAUGGUGUUUUCCCCUCUCUAUCUUUAUAUGAAUUGAGUUUUCCCUUUGAGAUUUCGUUUUAUAGGAUUGAAUACUUUUAUGGAUUUGAGAGCACUUGAUGUAUGUCUUGCUAUGAAUACCCGUGGUGACAAUGGGGUAUCAUAUUGAUUCACUCGAUAUGUGUUGUGGCACUCAACUCGCGGAUUCCCGAGGUGACAUUGGGGUAAUCUAUGCAUAGGGGUUGAUGCACGUUCUCGUCUUUUGUUUCUCCGGUAGAAAUCUUGGGGCACUCUUUGAGGUUCUUUGUGUUGGAUUGAGUAUUAUGAAUCUGAAUUUUCUUUGGUGUUAUUUUAGUACGAACUCUUGAUAGAUCGAUCGGAAAGAAUAACUUGGUGUUAUUUUAGUAUGAACUCUUGGAUAGAUCGAUCGGAAAGAAUAGCUGCAAACAAUUUAUUCUUAUGUUCUCCGCUAGAUAGGAACUUUGGAGUGAUUCUUCAUCACACGUUGAGGGAUGGUUAUAUGAUCCAAUUAUAUUAGCGUUGUUGAGAGACUGCACUAGCAAAAGUACGGACCCUAGGCCUCAUUUUCAAGCAUUGCAAUACCGUUUGUGCUCACUUUUGUUACUUGCUACCUUGCUCUUUUUUAUUGUUCGUAUUACAAAAAUCAAUAUCUACUAUCAUUACUACACUUGUAUCACCAUCUCUUUGCCGAACUAGUGCACCUAUACAAUUUACCAUUGUAUUUGGUGUGUUGGGGACACAAGAGACUUUUUAUUAUUUGGUUGCAGGGUUGUUUGAGAGACCAUCUUCAUCAUACGCCUCCCACGGAUUCAUAAACCUUAGGUCAUCCACUUGAGGGAAAUUUGCUACUGUCCUACAAAACUCUGCGCUUGGAGGCCCAACACGAGUAUACAAGAACUAGUUGUGAGUAGACAUAAAGCUCUUUUUUGGCGCCGUUGCCGGGGAGGUGAGUGCUUGAAGGUAUAUCUUUAGAUCUUGCAACUGAAUCUUUUAGUUUCUUGUUUUAUCACUAGUUUGGUUUAUAAAAGAAAACUACAAAAAAAUGGAAUUGAGGUUGCAUUAUAUUAUUCAUCUUUAUAAUGUAUUUUGUGAAAAUGAUGGAAAGGAAAAUUGUGCUCAAUUGAUAGAAGAAUAAUUCAAUAGAAUGUUUGGUAUAAAUGAUUAGCAUGAUUGCAAUGUUGUUAGUACUAAUUCUUUGAAUAUCCAUAAUGAUAUGCAAAGCCAUAAGCUUGGGAUGCUAUGUUCGAUGAAGAUGAUAUUUUUAGUCCCCCAAGAUUUGAUGUGCAAAUUUGUUAUAAUGAUUGCAUGCCUCCUAUUUAUGAUGAUUAUAAUGAUGAAAGUGGAUUUGGAGAGGUCAUGACUUUAUUUAGUGAUGAAUCCACCAUUUUGGAUGAGGCUUCAAUUGACUAUGAUAACAAAGUUGCUAUCUAUGAUAAUUAUGGUGAUGACAUGUAUGCUAUAAAGAAUAAUGAUAACCUUGAAACUUGUCGUCAUGAUUUUAAUUUUCACUCUCAUGAUUUUAAUCUUCCCUUCCCUCACCGUUGUCGAGCGUUCUUGAUUCUAGCGGCCGAUGCUUGGGCUGCGUCACUGGGUCGCGGCGAUGCCGGAGCACGAGGACGGCGAGGUCGGGUGCCACGGCAACGCGUUGGCCACGGCCGGUGAAGGGGCGAAGAAGGGCGGCUUCCCUGGCCGUGGCCGUGGCCGUGGCCCAGGGAGUUGGUGCGGCGGAAGCGGCACUUGAAGGACCCGGCGUGGGUGGCCGGCGAGCAGACGCACUUGGAAGCGGGACCAUGGCCCACGCCGGACGGUGCCGACGCCGACCCGGGCCACCUCCUCCGCGUAUUCUUGGAGCUGUGGCUGGCCGAUUUACAUGAAAUUAAUUCCCUCAGUUGUGGUGGCAAAUAUAAUACACAUAAUCCAUAUUCUUAUGCACUAGCGUGUGUGUGUGUGUGUGUGUGUCAAAUAGAUGGAUUAUGGUCUCGUACCCAAUAAGAUGGAUAUGUGUGUGUGUUAGAGAGGGAGAGAGAGGGAUAGGGGGAGAGAGAGUGAGGAAGAGGGAGGGAGAGAACAUGUGUGUGAUGAUUUGAUGGUAAAAAAAGGGUCGCCAAUGUCACUUGAUAUGUAUGAGAAUAUUAAUAUUGAACUCUUAAAGUUGUUUGCUCACAAAAUCCCUAUUCAUAGGAAGUGGGUUAGACUUAAAUGUGAUUGCCAUGUGAUUCAUGAUGCUCUCUUUACGUUUCAAUUCUUAUCUUUCAUGCGAGCAUCAUUGAAAUCAUCAUGCCUAGCUAAUAGGCAUUAAAGAAAAGCGCUUGUUGGGAGACAACCCAACACUUUUACCUACUAUUUUUGUGUGUUCACAUGAUUAUUAUACUGUAUUAUUAUGCUGCUUUUGAUCUGAAUUUUUUACAGGUGAUAGAUAUACAAAUUCCCUACAUUUUCCUAAUUUUUCAGAAUUUUUGGAGUAGCACAAGUAAGGUUGGAGUACAGAUUACUACAGACUGUUCUGUUUUGAUAGAUUCUGUUUUCAAUGCAUAGUUUGCUUGUUUUAUAUUUUCUAUGGCUUAUAUUGCUCAAUAUACAUUGUAGAAAUGAAUGGGUACAGUAGGCAUUGUGUGAAAAAAAUUAUGAAUCUUGUCUUUUACAGUACCAAAGUGAAUGGUUUGCUCUUUAUCAUACUAACCUAUCUCACGAAGUUCCGUUAAGUUUUGUGUGAUUGAAGUUUUCAAGUUUUGGGUGAGACAUCGAUAUGAGGAGAAUAAGGAGUGACAAAACCCUAAGCUUGGGGAUACCCAAGGCAUCCCAAGUUAAUAUCCAAGGAAGAUCCAAGCAACUAAGCUUGGGGAUGCCCCAGAAGGCACCCCCUCUUUCGUCUCCAACAUUAUCAGUAACUUCACUUGGAGCUAUAUUUUGAUUCGUCACAUGCUAUAAGUUCUGCUUGGUGCAUUAUUUUAUUUUACUAGGAUUUUCUUGCUGUUAUUUAGAAUAAUGUUUUGCAUCUUUUAUUUCAAUAAAAGUGGCAAUGAUAGCCUUUACUAUGCUUAUUUUAAAAGUCUACAUGUUGCUGUUUGAAAACAGAAAGUUUAUCGUUGUUGCAAAAAUUCUCUUGAAAAGUCAGAAUGUGAUAAAAUGUUGAAUUAGUUUUGCACAAUAAGAUAUGAUAAAUUUUUCUACAGUAUCGUAAAUUUUCAGAAUUUCUGGAGUUAAGUAAGUAUUGAUAUUCUUGCAUUCUUUAUAGACUGUACUGUUUUGACAGGUUGCUGUUAUGUUUGCAUUAUUUACAUAUGUUUGCUUGUUUAAUGAUUCUAUUUGAGGAUAGGAGUAUUGAAUAUGCAGAGGCAUUUAGUAUGCAAUGUUGAAUAAUAAUUUUAGUGAUAUAGAGAAUGAUAAGGUUUUGCAUUGAUUUAUACUAACUUAUCUCACGAGUUCUUGUUGAGUUUUGUGUGGAUGAAGUUUUAAAGAUUUAGGGAAACCGUGAUAUAAAAGGAAUUAAGGAGACACAAAAGUCAAGCUUGAGGAUGCCCAUGGCAUUCCGAGAUAAUAUUUCAAGAAGUCUCAAUCAUCUAAGCUUGGGGAUGCCCCGCUAGGCAUCCCACCUUUCUUCAUCAACAAUUAUCGGUUAGUCUCGGUUGAGCCUAAGUUUUUGCUUCUUCACAUGAUGUGUGCUAUUCUUGGAAUGCCAUUUUAUUUUGUUUUGCUUGUUGUUUUAAUAAAAUACUUAAAUCAGAAAGUUUUUAAAUAAGAGAGAGUCCACAAUUAGCUACCUAUUUACAUAACUACUCGCUUGAUCUUCACUUAUAUCUUUUCGGAGUAGCUUGUCAUUUACUCUUGUGCUUCACUUAUAUCCUAUGAGUAAAUUGUUGAAUGAAUUGAAUAUCAUGAAGUUGAAAUUAUAUCAUGCCUAGUAGUAGCUUCACAUUGGGUUUGGAAAGUGAAAUCUUUUAAAGCUUGGCAAUCACAAUAUUGGUCAUACAAGCAAUUCAUGAAUGAUUAGUAUAAGGAAGAGAACUUUCACAUGCAAAUAUAUUAUCUUGGACAUCUUUUAUGAUUGUGAAUACCCAUUAAUUAUUUUCAAACUUGAGCAAAUUAGCUGAAAUUGGACAAGAAAGAGAACGUAAUGAGUUAUGUUUGUGUAUUUUUGCAUAGAAGUUAUAUUGUCAUAGAUCCUCCAACAUGUGGUGUUUGCCUAGGAUCUUUUGCUAGCCAAAAAUUCGUACUAAGGAGAGAUACUACUUGUGCAUCCGAAAACCCUUAAACCCAGUUUCUUGCCAUGAGUGUCCACCAUACCUACCUAUGGAUUGAAUAAGAUCCCUCAAGUAAGUUGUCAUCGGUGCAUAAGGCAAUAAAAAUUGCUCCUAAAUAUGUUUGAUUUUUAUUGUAAGGGAAAAUUGAGCGUUGUACGAACUUGUGAUGGCAAAGUAAUAAAAGCGAUGGACUGCAUAAUAAAGGUUGCUAUCAUAAGGGGCAAUUAACGUGAUGUUCCUAUUCAUUAAGAGCUUGGGCAUCCAAAUAAAAAGCGCAUGAAAACCUCCGCUUCCCUCUGCGAAGGGCCUAUCUUUUACUUUUCAGUAUUUACUUUUCUGCAAAGAGUCAAUAGUAUGCUUUCUCAUUUCAAUCUCAAUUACUCUGUAAUUGGCAAGCAUCAUGUGGUGCGGAAAGAUCUAGGCACAUAUGACCAAUCAAAUAUAUUUGAUCAUGAUUUAUUAUUGUUGACAAUUAUCUCUAUGAUAAAUGAGUUGGGAGGCAAAAUAUUAAGCCCCUAUCUUUCUCUGUGUUCAUUGGAUGCCAUUUGUUCUAAGAAUAUGCGUUGAGUAGUAGCAAUCAUGGAAUACUAUAUGAUGAUUAACUAUGUGGAGCUCUUACUUACACUCUGUUGAAUAAUUUGAAUUGCAAUUGUUUGGUGACUAAGAAUAUAGGUUGUUGAGUUUCAAGAGAAUUCAUUGUUUGAACCUUCACAUGUGAAUUGGUUGCUACUUUGUCAUGAUGAGUUUUAUGAGAAAUAAUUGCUGUUAUGAUGCUAGGAAAAGUGAUUUAAAUUCUCAUUGAUCAAAAUUAUGCACUUUGCUAGCAUUCACACUUCAUAAAUUAUUUCUUUUGUCAUUUACCUACUCGAGGACGAGUAGGAAUUAAGCUUGGGGAUGUUGGUACGUCUCCAACGUAUCUACAAUUUAUGAAGUAUUCAUGCUGCUAUAUUAUCAUUCUUGGAUGUUUUACAAUCAUUUUAUAGCAAUUUUUUUUUCAUUUUUGGGACUAAACUAUUGACAUAGUGCCCAGUGCCAGUUGCUGUUUUUUGCUUGUUUUUUACAUCGCAGAAAAUCAAUACCAAACGGAGUCCAAAAGCAGCGAAACUUUUUGGAGAUUUUUUCUGAACCAGAAGACACCCGGUGGGCCAAAGAAGUACUAGAGGGGAGCUCCAGGGAGAGCAAUACCCACCAGGGCACACGUGGGGGCCCAAGCGCGCCCAGGUGGGUUGUGCCCACCUCGGUGGCCUCUCGCACCGCCUCUUCACUCUAUAAUUCCCAAAUAUUCCAAAAACCCUUGGGGUAACCCUAGAUCAGAAGUUCCACUACUGCAAGCCUCUGUAUCCAUGAAAAACCAAUCUAGACCCCGUUCCGGCACUCCGCCGGAGGGGGAGAUCAUCACCGGUGGCCAUCUUCAUCAUCUCGGCGGCCACCAUGAUGAGGAGGGAGUAGUCCACCCUCGGGGCUGAGGGUUUGUACCAGUAUCUAUGUGUUUAAUCUAUCUCUCGUGUUCUUGAGAUGUCAUGAUCUUGAUGUAUCGCGGGCUUUGUUAAUAUAGUCGGUUCAUAUGGUGUUUUACCCUCUCUCUCUCUUGUGAUGAAUUGAGCUUUCCCUUUGAGAUUUUGUUUUAUCGGACUGAAUACUUUUAUGGAUUUGAGAGCACUUGAUGUAUGUCUUGCUAUGAAUACCCAUGGUGACAAUGGGUAUCAUAUUGAUUUACUUGAUAUGUGUUUUGGCACUCAACUCGCGGAUUCCCGAGGUGACAUUGGGGUAAUCUAUGCAUAUGGGUUGAUGCAUGUUCUCGUCUUUUGUUUCUCCGGUAGAAAUCUUGGGGCACUCUUUGAGGUUCUUUGUGUUGGAUUGAGCAUUAUGAAUCUAAAUUUGCUUUGGUGUUAUUUUAGUACGAACCCUUGAUAGAUCGAUCAGAAAGAAUAACUUAGUGUUAUUUUAGUACGAACUCUUGAUAGUCGAACAGAAAGAAUAACUUUGUGUUAUUUUAGUACGAACUCUUGGAUAGAUCGAUAGGAAAGAAUAGCUACAAACAAUUUCUUCUUAUGUUCUCCGCUAGAUAGGAACUUUGGAGUGAUUCUUCAUCGCACGUUGAGGGACGGUUAUAUGAUCCAAUUAUAUUAGCAUUGUUGAGAGAUUGCACUACCAAAAGUAUGAACCCUUGGCCUUGUUUUCAAGCAUUGCAAUACCGUUUGUGGUCACUUUUGUUACUUGCUACCUUCCUGUUCUUUAUUGUCACUAUCACAAAAAUCAAUAUCUACUAUCAUUACUACACUUGUAUCACCAUCUCUUCGCCGAACUAGUGCACCUAUACAAAUUUCCAUUGUAUUUGGUGUGUUGGGGACACAAGAGACUUUUUAUUAUUUGGUUGCAGGGUUGUUUGAUAGAUACCAUCUUCAUCCUACACCUCCCACGGAUUGAUAAACCUUAGGUCGUCCACUUGAGGGAAAAUUGCUACUGUCCUACAAAACUCUGCGCUUGGAGGCCCAACACAAGUCUACAAGAAUAAAGUUGUGUAGUAGACAUCAGCGAUUUAUGUUUGUGUUGGAUGACACUCAUCAUAUAACAGUCACAACCUAGAGUGAUACACAAUAGCUCCAAUUCGUCAAUGAAAUAUAGGCAUGUAUUCCGUAUACAGUCAUACAUGCUUAUAAUAAGAAAUUGCAUGACAUCUUUUGUCCUACCCUCCCAUGGCAGCGGGGUCCUUAAGGAAACUAAUCGAUAUUAAGGCCUGCUUGCAAUAGAGAACCGGAACAAAGCAUUAACACAUGGUGAAUACAUGAACUCCUUGAAUUACAGUCAUUCCAGAGAGUGUCCCAAUUAUUGUCACUUUGGGGUCUAAUGAUCAGAACAAUAACAAGUGCAUAUAACUAGGAGAUAGGAUCAGGAACUCAAAUAUAUUCAUGAAAACAUAGAGGGUUCAGAUCUGAAAUCAUGGUAUUCGGGUCCUAGUGACAAGCAUUAAGCAUAUCAAAGUCAUAGCAACAUCAAUCUCGGAACAUAGUGGAACUAGGGAUCAAUCCCUAACAAAGUGACUCGAUUACAUGACAAAUCUCAUCCAACUUCAUCACCGUCCAGCAAUCCUACGAAGCUAUUACUCACUCGACUGGUGAGCAUCAUGGAAUUGUUGAUGAUGACGACAACGACGAAUCCCCCUCUUCGGAGCCCCGAACAAACUCCAGAUCAGCCCUCCGGAUGAAGAAGAGGAGGUGUCGGCAGCUCCGUCUCGCAAAACAUGAUGAAACUUUCUCUCUGAUUUUUCUCUACGUGAGACGAUACUUAUGGAGUUGGAAUUAGGGCAAACGGAGGCUCAUGGGGCCCAUGAGCUCACAUGGCGCUCUCUGGGAGGGAUUGGGUGGGCAUGCCCCCUGAGCUCAUGGUUCCUGAGUGGCCCCCUCCAGUAGGUCUCUUCUGAAAUAAUCUCCAUAAAAUUUCAGCCCAAUCUGAGAGCUUUUAUUUCCGCACAAAAAUGACACCAUGACGAUUCUGCUGAAAAAUGCGUCAAUCCAGGUUAGUUUCAUUAAAAUCAUGCAAAUUAGAGUCCAAAACAAGAGUAAAAGUGUUUGGAAAAGUAAAUACGUUUGGGAUGUAUCAACUCCCCAAGCUUAUCUCAUUGCUUGUCCUCAAGGAAUUUAGUUAACAAACUGAAAGUGAUAAAGAAAAACUUCUACAAACUAUUUUGUUCUUGAUGUUGUAUAUAUGCUUAACUAGUGUACAAGUUUUCAACAAAGAUUAUGAACUAACCACAUGAAUGAUAACACUUAGGUCUCAUUUUUACUCAUGACAAUAGCACAACCAACUAAUGAGCAAUAAUAAGAUAUCUCAGAUGCCAACAAUUUGUCAAAAUAAUUAUGAUAUACUAUAUCACUAAGCUCCCUAGGACUGGAGGCCUCACAAUCAAUUGAGGUCUCCAAUUGGAAUUUGGUCAACCAAUUUUGACCGGGUCAACAUUUCUCAAAAUUCUCUCCUUCAAUUUUUUGUAUAAUACGCUAUGCUUCCUAAUUUUUAAAACUUCACAAUUAAUUGUAACUUCAAUUUAGAAUUGGGUCACUCGAUUUUGACCGGGUAAACAAUUUCUCAAGGAGCUCUCCCAUUUAAUUAUUUUAAUUCUCUAUUUUUCCCAAUUCUAAAGCUCUUUCAUUCAAUUGAGGUGUUCAAUGUUGGAUUUGUUUAUGAUUUUGAUCGGGCCAACGAUUUUUCAAAUUAACCAGCAGCAACCGGCCUAUAAAAACAUAUCAACCCCGCACAGACUCCCUUCACCUAGAAAAAAGCGCCACCGCGUGAUACUAUAGCACGAAUAUAGUACAUGCAACCACCGGUGCAAAAAAAAUCCCGCAUAAAUAUGUAUUAAUUAGCGGAUAACGUAGAAUCACACCACAAAAGGCCCACCAAAUAACCACAUUACAAAUAAACAUUAAACACACUAAUAACCCACAAGCAUAGGGGAUCGUUUGUAGCCUUCUUCGAUAAAUAAGAGUGUCGAACCCAACGAGGAGCUAAAGGCAGAACAAAUAUUCCCUCAAGUUCUAUCGACCACCGAUACAACUCUACGCACACUUGACGUUUGCUUUACCUAGAACAAGUAUGAAACUAUUUUGCAAGAAUAAAACUACGAGUACUUUGAGAGAAUAAAACUAAGAAUAACUUGCAAGGUAGUAAAAGUAGAUAGCUUUUGUCAACAAUAAAGUCAUUUGUCCCUAGGAAAUCGAUAAUAAGUACCGGUAAUUAUUCUUGCAAUUUUAUAUGAGGGAGAGGCAUGAGCUAACAUACUUUCUCUACUUGGAUCAUAUGCACUUAUGAUUGGAACUCUAGCAAGCAUUCGCAACUAUUAAAGAUCAUUAAGGUCAUGAAACCCAACCAUAGCAUUAAGUAUCAAGUCCUCUUUACUCCCAUACGACAUAACCCACUUAUCCGCGUUUAGGCUGCUGUCACCACCGCAACACCGACAAAAAGCAAACCAUGAACAUAUUGCAACACCCUAUAGCAAGGACCCCUCACGUUUGCAUGAGAACGGAGGGCACCAUAGGACAACACCAUAAAUAAAAUAUACAAUCAUACCAACCAAGAUCACGAUUAACCCACAGGACAAAACAGAUCUACUCAAACAUCAUAGGAUAACCAUAGAUCAUUGGGAAAUAAUAUAUUGAGUUGAGCACCAUGUUUAAUUAGAGAUUACAGCGGGGAGAAGGGGUUACAUCGCUGCAUAGAGGGGGAGAAAGUUGGUCUUGACGGUAGCAAGAUUGUUGAUGUAGAUCGCCGCCCUAGCCCUGGCGGCACUCUGGUGCCACCGGGAGAGAGGGGAGAGAGCCCCCCUCCUCCUUCUUCUUCCUUGGCCUCCCCCCUAGAUGGGAGGAGAGUUCCCCCUCUGGUCCAUGGCCUCCAUGGUGGCGGAGGGGCGGGAGCCCCUCAGAGAUUAGAUCUCCCUCUCUGUUCUCUUCUGUUUCGCGCUCCUGAUCUGGCCGAAAACAGUUUCUUAUAUUCCAGGAGAUCCGUUACUCCAAUUGCGCUGAUAUUUUAACACAUUUUUUCGGAUAUAAGCUUCCUUGCGCCCGAAGUAGAGCACCAACCGACGUUCGAGGAGGGCACAACCCACCACCACGCGCCAGGGGCCUCUGGCGCGCCCUAGUGUCUUGUGGGCUGUGUGGGCCUCCGUUUGCGGUGAUUCUAAUUCCCAAAAAUAACAUAUAUUCAAAAAUAAUUCUCCAUGAAAUUUUAUUGCAUUUGGACUUCGUUUGAUAUGGAUAUUCUGUGAUACAAAAAACAUGCGAAAAACAAGAACUAGCACUGGGCACUGGAUCAAUAGGUUAGUCCAAUAAAUCAUAUAAAAAGUUGCCAAAAGUGUAUAAAAGUUGUAUAAUAUUGGCAUGAACCAAUAAAAAAUCAUAGAUACGACGGAGACGUAUCAGACACUUCAUCAUCUCCCCCAUCGACCAAACUAAAUAUUCCCUCAGUGUCAAAAUAUAAGGGGUAUGAUUAUAUGGACAGUCAAAUUCUUUAACUUUGAACAAGUUUAGAGCCAAAAAUAUCGACAUCCCCAAUAUUAAACAAAAAUAUAUGAAAAUUCAUUUCUUGAUGAAUCUCAUAACAUCGAUUUGAUAUUAUGAAUUUUGAUUUAUUUCUCUACAAAUUUGAUCAAACUUAAAGAAGUUUGUCUUUUCAAAAUAAUAAUACGCCAUAUAUUUUGAAAUUCAGUGAGUAAAGAAAUAUAAGAAUCCCAACAACAUCAACAGCGCAGCAAAGCGCGCCCAACCCUUCUAGUAUAAGGAGAUACUCCCUCUGUUACUUAAUAUAAGGUGCAUUUGUUUUUUGAUAAAAUUUAAUAAUGUAAGGAGCAUUUCUGCUAAUUCAUCAAUAAUUCCGUUUUAUCCCUCUAGAAAAAAAGGAAAGUAUCUCUCCCGAUUGAGUGUAUCUCUUACUUUUCUAGCCCAAAUGAUUUAGUUACCACUAAUCAAUGAUUUAACCAAGGUUAAUUUUUUCCUAACUUGUGUAUUAAUAUGUGUCUUGGUCACCAUGCCAAAAAUUAUACACCUUACAUAAAGGAAUGGAGGGAGUAAAUUAUUAGAGGUUGACUAGAGAUGCUCUUAGUAUUUGUUAACAAGAUGGCAUAUUGGGUAGUUUCGAAGGAACUCCAAGGGCAGAGGGGUAUGGUGGGUGAAGUGGAGGAGGUGAAGCAACCAUUUCUCUGCUCCAGCAAAAUGAACUAGAUGCUACUCCAGCUCCAAUCCACUAAGGAAUUGAAGUUGAGGUGUUUGAAAUAACUCUACUAAAAUCAUGGAGUGGUGCAGUCCAAAACCUACCCUCAAUCCGACAAGAACCAACUAGGAGCAUAUCCUAUAUGUGAAGGUCGACCGUAUUACCGGAUUGAUGGAUCUAGUUUGUUAAAUGACUCGACGACUAGGGCUCCGGGGCACUAGUCCUUAAGGGCACGUGCACGAAGACUUCUCAGGUGUAAUCGACGAGGUUAGGACGGCUCCGACAAGCGGCGCGUGAGCGGCUCAUUCUGGCGGUAGUGGUCGUUUGAUGGUCCAAGAACCUCUAUGUAAUUUUUAUUAUGUUUGGGGUGCUUUGUACAUUUGGUGAACUAUUAAAAAAAAGACUCCGAAUGCAUAUGACUGUGAUAGACCUUCAUAAUCGUUUGCCCUUAAUGUUCAAAGUAUGGUCGGUAGAAUGGUAGAAACUUAUGUCUACGCGUAUAUUUCCAGUAGCUAGUCCAAAUAGAUGUUGGUUUAUCAAGAUUCCAUGAAAACAUGAUGCAGACACUACACUAGGAUUAAUUUAUUUCUUCUAUCACCAAUUCAUCAUGAGCUAGCACACCAUAAAGACUUGGUAAAAAGGUACAAAUACAAAGAGACACAUAUGCGCGAGACCUAUUAAGCAGUGACAUCGAUCUUCAUGCCUUGCUGGCAGUGACCCGGAAGGCUGCAGAUGAAGAACGCUUUGCCUCCGCGGGAGAGCUGGAUGUGGUCAUUGCCAGAGGUGUAGGUCCUCGACGGGCCCGAGACCCUGCAUGAGUUGUAGUCGCCUUGUCCCACCUGCACCACAUUGUGCAUACUCGGGUUGUACUUGAACACUGCGUGCAUUAGUUAACACAAGAAUAUAGAUCAGAACACAGUAUAGACAUCAAGAACAACCAAUCACUUGAUCUUUAGAGUUCUCACCAAGCACGUCACCGGACUGGAUGUGCUUGCCACUCUCCCAUCCGGAGACGCUGAAGCUCUAUCCCUUGUUGUCACCAACGGUCCACUCCUUGCCAUGGACAACGGUGGUUGCACAGCAAACGGCCAGAAGCAGCACCAAAAGGGUGGGUACCAUGGUUGCCUGUGCCAUUGAUGGUGUUGCUCUUGACUUCUUGUUGAUACCGAAGAUCACAAGAACAAAAAAGUGAAAUAGUGGUCGAUUCCUCAAGUGAUGGCUUGCGUUCGGUCUCCUUCUCGUAUGAUAUAUAUAGGCGGUCAGCUAAAAUCAUUGUUUUAAUGUGCUCAAAUAAUGAGAAUCGUGCCUUAAAUUAGACAAAUCAACAUUUGUGAUAUGCAACAUUAGUUAGUAUAUGCUACCAAAUCCUCCAACUUAUAUAAUCUGAUCUUGGAUUAAUGGAAAUGAACGAGGAUGCAUUUAUUUCCUACUUUCAUGAUUUAGUAAGUAUUUCUUUUUCCUGGAUGCAUUAGUUGUAUAUCAAAUAUUUAUAUAUACUAGUAUUAGAUGAUAUAAUUGUAAUAAGAAAUUCUUAAAAUACAAAAUUAUUUUUUAUAAGGAGAAGUCCCUAAUCUUGACUUUUCAAUCAUAGCUGCUAAAGCGAUUGGAGGCCAUGAUUUGUGAUUGUUUAGUCUCAAAUAAUUUGAAAUUGAUAGGAAUAUUUUCAAUAAAUGGAGUUCAAAUGAAUUUCAGAAGUUGGAAAAUUGAAUGCAUUAGGUUCAUAUAAGAAUUUUAGGCUAGGUUAAUCAUGAACAAUUGAAAAAGAAAAGAGCCCCGAUUGGUUAACAAAGCAGUAAACCCGACGAGAUUCAAAAGGAUCUUGUUGAGAGGAAAAUUUGUGAGACUUACUAAGAACUUGUAGCCACUUGGGACGGAGACGAUGACCUCAAGGGCGCCCUCCGUGAAAACUCUGCAACUACUCCUGAUCGAUAAAAUUAGCCCUAAACUAACCAUCCUGGCACAAACUGGAAUGACCUACUGAUAGCCCUCAAGUAUAGGGGAUCGCGAUAGUCUUCAAGGUUAGUAUUACACCCAAAUUUGUUGAUUCGACAUAAGGGGAGCCAAAUAAUAUUUAUUAGCCUUAGCAGUUGAGUUGUCAAUUCAAUCACACCUGGGAAAUUAUAUUUCUGCAACAAAGUGUUGAGUAACAUGGUAGUUUGAUAGUUUUGAUAUUAGCAGUAACAGUAGCAAUAGUAACAGGAACAGUAAAAAUAGAAGUUUGUGAUGAUUGUAAAACCAGCAGCAAUAGUAACUUAGCAAAGACCAAUAUGAGAAAAGUGUAGGUAUUGGGUUAGCGAUGUAUAUUUGUGUUGGAUGAAAGCCAUCAUAUAGCAGUCACAACCUAGAGUGAUACACAAUAGCUCCAAUUCAUCAAUGUAAUAUAGGCAUGUAUUCCGUAUAUAGUCAUACAUGCUUAUAAUAGGAAAUUGCAUGACAUCUUUUGCCCUACCCUCCCGUGGCAGCGGGGUCCUUAAGGAAACUAAGAGAUAUUAAGGCCUCCUUGCAAUAGAGAAACAGAACAAAGCAUUAACACAUGGUGAAUACAUGAACUCCUCGAAUUACAGUCAUUCCCAGAGAGUAUCCCAAUUAUUGUCACUUUGGGGUCUAAGGAUCAGAACAAUAACAAGUGCAUAUAACUAGCAGAUAGGACCAGGAACUCAAAUAUAUUCAUGAAAACAUACAUGGUUCACAUAUGAAAUCAUGGUACUCGGGUCCUAGUGACAAGCAUUAAGCAUAUCAAAGUCAUAGCAACAUCAAUUUCGAAACAUAGUAGAACUAAGGAUGAAGCCCUAACAACUGGACUGGAUUAAUGACAAAUCUCAUCAAACUCCAUCACUGUCCCGCAAGCCUACGAGGCAAUUACUCACUCCCAAUGGUGAGCAUCAUGGACUUGUUGAUGAUGAUGACAACGACGAACCCCUUAUUUGGAGCCCCGAACAAACUCCAGAUCAGCCCUCCGGAUCAAGAAAAUGAGGUGUCGGCGGCUCCGUCUCGCAAAACAUGAUGAAACUUUCUCUCUGAUUUUUCUCUGCGCGAGACGGUAUUUAUGGAGUUGGAAUUAGGGCAAACGGAGGCAUGUGGGUCCCAUGAGGUCACAGGGCGCUCCCUGGGGGGAUUCGGUGGGUGCGCCCCCUAAGCUUAUGGUUCCGAAGUGGCCCCCUCUAGUAGGUCUCUUCGCCAAUAUUUUUCAUAUUUUUCAGAAAUAAUCUCCGUAAAAUUUCAGCCCAAUCUGAGAGCUUUUAUUGCCGCACAAAAAUAACACCAUGACAAUUCUUCUGAAAAAAGCAUCAAUCCAGGUUAGUUUCAUUCAAAUCAUGCAAAUUAGAGUCCAAAACAAGAGUAAAAGUGUUUGGAAAAGUAAAUACGUUUGGGAUGUAUCAACUCCCCAAGCUUAUCUCAUUGCUUGUCCUCAAGCAAUUUUAGUUGACAAACUGAAAGUGAUAAAGAAAAAAUUCUACAAACUCUUUUGUUCUCGGUGUUGUAUAUAUCACUACUGCAGGAUGCUGCUAACGCGACACUAUGAUCAGAGAUCCUUUCACGAAAUUGUGUGCGACGCAUUAAUCGCAAACGGGGAUGUAAAAAACGGUCAAAAAAGGUGCAAAACGUUUGCGAUGGCGUAGCCAUCAAACACGGUUCAGAUGGGCACACAGUUAAUAUCAAUAUGUGUGCGAUAUAUGGACAGAACAACAGAAAUGGGCAACCAUAUCAAUGUGUGUGCGAUAUAUGGCAUACAGUUCGCUCCGAUGAACGGUUUGCUAUUAGGGAGUGCAACAGAAACGGGUAGCCAGAUCAAAGUGUGUGUGAUAUACGGCAUACGGUUCACUCCGAUGAACUGUUUUCGAUUAGGGAACACAACAGAAACGGUUCAACUUAACAAGAUGUGUGGGAUACGUGGCAAACAGCCGACUCAGAUGAACGGAGCGCGCCGCGGCUGCCUCAACGGCGAGCAACCACGCGGUCAACCACGCGGUCAACCUUCUGCCAUCAAUAAAUUUUGACCUUAUUUCUCGUCACAUUGCAGAAUACAACGCAAUAAGUAAUUGCAAAUCUGUUCACACCUAUCAAACUAAUAUGUGUUCACACUUAGCACCGGGCUAUAAAAACUACCCACUUGAAAAUUACUUCACAGUUCCUCUCCUCAUCACCCACAAAACUGGUCUUUCCUGUCAAGUCGUUCCGCCAUGACCGGUAGGAGGAGUUUAGGGUGGACAUAUAACCAGGCAGCAAAGAACCGUUCUUACCUACGCAUCAAAACUACAAUGAUUAUUCGUCAAGUGUGUUGUUUUAACCUUCAACAAGGACCGGCCGUAGUCAAACUCGGUUGAACUAAAGUUGGAGAAACAGACACCCGCUAGCCACCUGUGUGCGAAGCACAUUGGUAGAACCAGUCUCAUGAACGCGGUCAUGUAAUGUCGGUCCAGGCCGCUUCAUCCAACAAUACCGCCGAAUCAAAGUAAUACAUUGGUGGUAAGCAGUAUGAUUAUUAUCGUCCACAACUCAUUGUGUUCUACUCGUGCAUAUAACAUCUACGCAUAGACCUGGCUCUGAUACCACUGUUGGGGAACACAGUAUUUCAAAAAAUUUCCCUACGAUCACGCAAGAUCUAUCUAGGAGAUGCAUAGCAACGAGACGGGAGAGUGUGUCCAUGUACCCUCAUAGACCGAAAGCGGAAGCGUUUAGUAACGCAGUUGAUGUAGUCAAACGUCUUCACGAUCCAACCGAUCCAAGUAUCGAACGUACGGCACCUCCGUGUUCAGCACACAAUUAGCUCCAUGACGUCCCUCGAGCUCUUGAUCUAGUUGAGGACGAGGGAGAGUUCCGUCAGCACGACGGUGAUGAUGAAGUUACCAGUGCAGGGCUUCGCCUAAGCACUACGACGAUAUGACCGAGGUGUGUAACUGUGGAGGGGGGCACCGCACACAGCUAAGACAAAUCUUGGAGUGCCUUUGGGGUGCCCCCUGCCCACAUAUAUAAAUGAAGGUGGGAGAGAGGCCGGCCCUCCUAGGGGCGCGCCAAGUGUAGGGAGUCCUACUAGGACUCCCAAGUCCUAGUAGGAUUCCCUUUCCUUUCGGAGUGGGAAAGAAGGAAAGGAGGGAGAGGGAGAAGGAAAGGGGGGCCGCGCCCCCACCCCUUGUCCAAUUCGGUUUGGGCAGGGGGAGGCGCGUGCCACCUCGUGACCCUUCUUCCCUCUCUCCACUAAAACCCAAUAAGGCCCAUUAACUUCCCCGGUGAAUUCCCGUAACUCUCCGGUACUCCGAAAAAUGCCCGAAUCACUCAGAAGCAUUCCGAUGUCCGAAUAUAGCCUUCCAAUAUAUGAAUCUUUACCUCUCAACCAUUUCGAGACUCCGCGUCAUGUCUGUGAUCUCAUCCGGGACUCCGAACAAACUUCGGUCAUCAAAUCACAUAACUCAUAAUACAAAUCGUCAUCGAACGUUAAGCGUGCGGACCCUACGGGUUCGAGAACUAUGUAGACAUGACCGAGACACAUCUCCGGUCAAUAACCAAUAGCGGAACCUGGAUGCUCAUAUUGGCUCCUACAUAUUCUCCGAAGAUUUUUAUCGGUCAAACCGCAUAACAACAUACGUCAUUCCAUUUGUCAUCGGUAUGUUACUUGCCCGAGAUUCGAUCGUGGGUAUCCUUAUACCUAGUUCAAUCUCGUUACCGGCAAGUCUCUUUACUCAUUCCGUAAUGCAUCAUCCCGCAACUAACUCAUUAGUCACAUUGCUUGCAAGGCUUAUCAUGAUGUGCAUUACCGAGAGGGCCCAGAGAUACCUCUCCGAUACUCGGAGUGACAAAUCAUAAUCUCGAUCUAUGCCAACCCAACAAACACCUUCAGAGACACCUGUAGAGCAUCUUUAUAAUCACCCAGUUAUGUUGUGACGUUUGAUAGAACACAAGGUGUUCCUCCGGUUUUCGGGAGUUGCAUAAUCUCAUAGUCAGAGGAAUAUGUAUAAGUCAUGAAGAAAGCAAUAGCAAUAAAACUAAACAAUCAACAUGCUAAGCUAACGGACGGGUCUUGUCCAUCACAUCAUUCUCCUAAUGAUGUGAUCCUGUUCAUCAAAUGACAACACAUGUCUAUGGUCAGGAAACUUAACCAUCUUUGAUUAACGAGUUAGUCAAGUAGAGGCAUACUAGGGACACUUUGUUUUGUCUAUGUAUUCACACAUGUAUCAAGUUUCCGGUUAAUACAAUUCUAGCAUGAAUAAUAAACAUUUACCAUGAUAUAAGGAAAUAUAAAUAACAUCUUUAUUAUUGCCUCUAGGGCAUAUUUCCUUCAGCAACAUCAUUUGGGAGGGAUACCUUUUUACCUCUACUUUUCCUUCUUUUCUUCUUCUUCACCACAUUAUGUGUGGGUUCAUUUAAUUUUUCCGAGCUUCUUAUUGAUGAGAUUAGUUGAAUAGUGAGCUCCUUUUCGUCACCUAUUUCAUCAUGAGAGACAAUAGGAGGGAAAGUAGAAAUCUUUACCCUGUCAUUAGUAUUCCUUUUAUAUUCUAUUGGUUUUCCCAUCUUUCGAUAGUUGGCAAUAUAAAAAUUCUCAUUGCAAUUUACCAUGCAAAACAUAUGUAUUUCUUUCAAAUUAGUUUCAGCAUGGUCUGUGAAUAUGAAUACUUCAACCAACCAUUUUUAUGUGAGAAUUCUUCACAAUCCAAAAAUAACAAAGUCCAUUAUAAAGUUCAAGGGUGAUCAGUUAUUGCAAUAUUUGGACAUGAUUCGAUCAUGAAAAAGCAUGCAUCGGAAAUUAAGGUAACCAACUUUAUUGCAAAGUUCACAAGUAAUAGGAUAAAGAGAACAUGAUUUUGUAGCAAAUUUAUCUAUCACUUUGAGCAAAAAUUUGUUUCUAUCAUGUUUGUGCUUCUUACAAAAUCUAUCAUCCCUAUAAGGCAUGUCUUCACAAAGUCUUUCCACUCCACAAAAAUUGACAUGCUUAUAAGAAACAUUUUUGGCAUGACUAGUGCAAUCAUCAUUAGCAUUUUGGAUAUUCACAGAGUUCAUACUAACAACUUUGCAAUCAUGCUCAUCAUACAAGGAUUUUAUGCCAAACAUUUCGUUGAAUUCUUCCUCUAUCAAUUGAGCACAAUUUUCGGAUCCAUCAUUUUCAAGAAAUACAUUAUAAAGAUGAACAAAAUGAGACCACCUCAAUUCCAUUUUUUGUAGUUUUCUUUUAUAAACCAAUCUAGUGAUAGAACAAGAAACUAAAAGAUUCACUUGCAAGCUCUAAAGAUAUACCUUCAAGCACUCACCUCCCCGGCAACGGUGCCAAAAAAGAGCUUUAUGUCUACUCACAACUUGUUCUUGUAGACUCGUGUUGGGCCUCCAAGCGCAGAGUUUUGUAGGACAGUAGUAAAUUUCCCUGAAGUGGAUGACCUAAGGUUUAGGAAUCCAUGGGAGGCAUAUGAUGAAGAUGGUCUCUCAAACAAACCUGCAACCAAAUAAUAAAAAGUCUCUUGUGUCCCCAACACACCAAAUACAAUGGUAAAUUUUAUAGGUGCACUAGUUCGGUGAAGAGAUGGUGAUACAAGUGUAGUAAUGAUAGUAGGUAUUGAUUUUUGUAAUAUGAACAAUAAAAAACAGCAAAGUAGCAAGUAAUAAAAGUGAGCACAAACGGUUUUGCAAUGCUUGAAAAUGAGGGCUAGGGUCCAUACUUUUGCUAGUGCAGUCUCUCAACAAUGCUAAUAUAAUUUGAUCAUAUAACCAUCCCUCAAUGUGUGAUGAAGAAUCACUCCAAAGUUCUUAUCUAGCGAGGAACAUAAGAAGAAUUUGUUUGUAGGGUACGAAACCACCUCAAAGCUAUUCUUUCCGGUCAAUCUAUCCUAGAGUUCGUACUAAAAUAACACCAAGCUAUUCUUUCCGAUCGAUCUAACCAAGAGUUCGUACUAAAAUAACACCAUAUGAUACACAUCAACCAACUCUAAUGUCACCUAGAUACUCCAAUGUCACCGCGAGUAUCCAUGAGUUGAUUAUACGAUAUCCAUCAAACAAUUUCAGAUUCAUAAUACACAAUCCAACACAAAGAACCUCAAAGAGUACCCCAAGAUUUCUACCGGAGAAACAAAGACGAGAACGUGCAUCAACGCCUAUGCAUAGAUUACCCCAAUGUCACCUCGGGAAUCUGCAAGUUGAGUGCAAAAACACAUAUCAAGUGAAUCAAUAUGAUACCCCGUUGCCACCACGGAUAUUCACAGCAAGACAUACAUAAAGUGUUCUGAAAUCCAUAAAAGUAUUAAAUCCGAUAAGAAUGAGAUCUCAAAGGGAGAACUCAAUUCACAACAAGAUAGAGAGGGGAAAACACCAUAUGAUCCAACUAUAUUAACAAAGCCCGCGAUACAUCAAGAUCAUGACAUCUCAAGAACACGAGAGAGAGAUUAAAAACAUAGCUACUGGUACAAACCCUCGGCCCCGAGGGUAGACUACUCCUUCCUCAUCAUGGAGACCAUAGGGAUGAUGAAGAUGGCCCCUGGUGAUGAUUUCCCCCUCCGGCAGGGUGCCGAAACGGACUCCCAAUUGGUUUUUCGUGGCUACAGAAGCUUGUGGCGGCGGAACUUCUGAUCUAGGAUUAUUUCUGAUGGUUUCUCUAUUUAAUGGAUUUUUCAGCGUUGGAAUCACGCAAAGAUAGGCCUCAAGGUGGGCACAAUCCACCUUGGCACGCCCAGGUGUCUUGUGCUCAGCUCCUUCACCUUUGGUCCUCCUACGAAGCUUCUAGUGCCUCUUUUGUUCAAAAAAAAUCGUCAAAAAGUUUCGUUGCAUUUGGAGAACUUUUAUUUCUGCACAAAAAACAACACCACGGUAGUUCUGCUGAAAAGAGCGUCAGUCCGGUUAGUUCCAUGCAAACCAUACCAAAACUAUAUAAAAUUGUUGUAAACAUGGCAUGAAUACUUCAUAAAUCAUAGAUAUGUUGGAGACAUAUCGGGAGGGCUGCCACCCCAUCGCGCCAUGCCGGAAGAGCUGCUAGGAUGAAUACCGAGCACGCUCUUCACCGUCUAUGUACCGCAUGAAACUGGGGUCAAAGCCACUGGACCGCCGGAGAAACUCCACCUUGGACAUGGGUAACUCCACGCUGUCCAGCCGUGGAUGACCUGGGCCUCACUGGCCACCGCCCCGGCACCCGCCACCGUGUAGCGAGGCGACCACCGCGGCUCGGCCAUGACCGAAGGCCACCACCGCAUGCACCCAGCCUGAUCUGCCACGUCCUCCACGGCGUCCUCUCCACGCCACCGCCACCGGUCUGCCACCAGAUGACCACGCUGCCGCCCAAGGCCACCGCCCGGAGCAAGCCGCUGCGCCGCCAAGAUCCAGAUCACGUCCGCGCCUCCUCGAGCGAGGAGAUCCCACCCCACCUCCCCCACCGCGAGUCAGGGAGGGGAUCCCCCGCCACCACCGUCGGCCAUUGGGUUUAGCCCUGUGGCAUCCUCCGACAACGACGGAGGGAGAGGAGGACGGAGAUAACGCCCGACGGCUAGGGUUUGGGGAGGCCCCAAGUCGCCAUGUGUGGGAGCGACACGGGGUGAAAAUGUCAUAUACAUGUAACCUAAGAUUCCACGAGUGGGCACGAUCUGAACCCAGCGGCAUCUGCACCCACUUUUCAAAAAAUAUGCAUUUUAAGUACGUUUUAAAAUCUAAAAAAAUCAAAAGAAAAUUCCAUGCAUACAUGUUCACAAAUGUGUGUGCGCGGUGCAAAGUUUUGUGAAAAAAAUGUAUUUUUGUUUUGUCUCUGCAAAAAAAGACAAAUUUUAGUGCUUCUAAAUAGUGUUUCACGACACAAUAUUUUGUCUUUUUUGCAGAGGCAAAAAAAAGUUAUUUUUCCGUGAAACUUUAUGCACACACAUUGAACAUGAAUACGUACCCAUACCGUCUUUUGCGGUUUUUUUCUAGCAUUUAGAAAUGUGUUUUUCAAAGUGGGUUCAUAUGUACCCAGGUUCAUCCAUGCACUUUUCAAGAUUUCACUCUAAAUUUACAUCGUGAGAUUUUUAUCCAUCAAUGUUUCUUGCCAAAACGCAGCUGCGUGGCGAGCACAGAGCGAACUAUUCUUUCGCCUUUUACUAAAGAAUACCGUGUCUGUCUCAAAAAAAAUGUUUCUUGCCAAACAAAAAACUUGACUCUUUUUGAAUUUUGUUACUUUUUUUUUGAAUUUUACUGUUUGUCCGGGAUCACUGGAGCUCAGGAUCACAUACUGCACGUCCGAAGUGUGUGCAGUGUUCCCAUAUCCCUAUGUAGGAGAAUCAUCGGUUUUUGCUGUACAAUGUGCAAGAUAGAUUGCCGAAUGUGAACAAUAAUUUUGGAAUGUGGUGUUUUAGUUGUCCUCGGAUCUUUGACGAUAUUUUGCGUCAAUGUAUAUUUGAAGUAGUACUGUUUGUAGUGCUUAUAUACAAGUGCGCCUAGUGCCACCACCACCAUCACACAUCGUCCCAGUAAAAAUGGAGGAUUGCGUCCCAGCCUCUGUGUGUGAGCCUCUAGUUACAUUCUUACAGAUCGAAGAACUUAACUUCACAAUCGAGGCGUACGUCUAAAUCAUCUAAAAAAAUCUGAACAGAUCAGAACUUUCCAUACUGGCGCAGGUUAUUUUGUAAUGUAGAAUCAAUCACGAACAAUCUCUAAAGAUCAAAUCUAAAUUAAUUAACCUUACCUUAAAUCACUCAAUCACAUUAAUUAGAAAAUUAAUAAUUGAUUUUCAAAAAAAUCGCUCAAUCACAUUAACCUUACCUUAAAUCACGGAUGGUAAUCAAUCUCCAAACAAAGGAAACAAUACAUCGGGGGAGCAGUAAAUAAACUCCCUUUCUUAUGACAUGUAUAUGAUCUUCCCUUCCCUCUCCGUUGUCGAGCGUUCUUGAUUCUCGAGGCCGAUGCUUGGGCUGCGUCCCUGGGUCGCGAUGGUGCCGGAGGACAAGGACGGCGAGGCCGGGUGCCGCGGCACCGCGUUGGCCGCAGCCGGUGAAGGGGGCGAAGAAGGGCGGCUUCCCUGGCCGUGGCCGUGGCCCUGGGAGUUGGUGUGGUGGAAGCGGCACUUGAAGGACCCGAUGUGGGUGGCCGGCGCGCAGACGCACUUGGAAACGGGCCCAUGACCCACGCCGGACGGUGCCGACACCGACCCGGGCCACCUCCUCCGCGUAUUCUUGGAGCCGUGGCUGGCCGAUUUACAUGAAAUUAAUUCCCUCAGUUGUGGUGGCAAAUAUAAUACACAUAAUCCAUAUUUUUAUGCACUAGUGUGUGUGAAAUAGAUGGAUUAUGGUCCCGUACCCAAUAAGAUGGAUAUGUGUGUGUGUGUGUUAGAGAGAGAGAGGGAGAGGGGGAGAGAGAGUGAGGAAGAGGGAGGGAGAGUGUGUGUGUGUGAGGAUUUGAUGGUAAAAAAGGUCGCCAAUGUCUCUUGAUAUGUAUGAGAAUAUUAAUAUUGAACUCUUAAAGUUGUUUGCUCACAAAAUCCCUAUUCAUAGGAAGUGGGUUAGACUUAAAUGUGAUUGCCAUGUGAUUCAUGAUGCUCUCUUUACGUUUCAAUUCUUAUCUUUCAUGCGAGCAUCAUUGAAAUCAUCAUGCCUAGCUAAUAGGCAUUAAAGAAAAGCGCUUGUUGGGAGACAGCCCAACACUUUUAGCUACUGUUUUUGUGUGUUCACAUGAUUAUUAUACUGUAUUAAUCAUGUUUUAUUGCUUUUGUUUCAAUAAAGUGACAAGUAAAGCCUUUGGGAUAGUGUGGAUGAUAGUUGACUUGAUUCUAUCCAAAAACAAAACCUUUUGAGCUCAGUCCAGGAAUUUUGAAAAUUCUCUGGAAUGUGCUUUUGAUCAGAAAUUUUUACAGGUGAUAGAUAUACAAAUUCCCUACGUUUUCCUAAUUUUUCAGAAUUUUUGGAGUAGCACAAGUAAGGUUGGAGUACAGAUUACUACAGACUGUUCUGUUUUUGAUAGAUUCUGUUUUCAAUGCAUAGUUUGCUUGUUUUAUAGUUUCUAUGGCUUAUAUUGCUCAAUAUAAAUUUUAGAAAUGAAUGGGUACAGUAGGCAUUAUGUGAUAAAAAUUAUGAAUUUUGUCUUUUACAGUACCAAAGUGAAUGGUUCGCUCUUUAUCAUACUAACCUAUCUCAUGAAGUUCCGUUAAGUUUUGUGUGAUUGAAGUUUUCAAGUUUUGGGUGAGACAUCGAUAUGAGGAGAAUAAGGAGCGACAAAACCCUAAGCUUGGGGAUGCCCAAGGCACCCCAAGUUAAUAUCCAAGGAAGAUCCAAGCAACUAAGCUUGGGGAUGCCCCAGAAGGCACCCCCUCUUUCGUCUCCAACAUUACAGUAACUUCACUUGGAGCUAUAUUUUGAUUCGUCACAUGCUAUAAGUUCUGCUUGGUGCAUCAUUUUAUUUUAGUAGGAUUUUCUUGCUGUUAUUUAGAAUAAUGUUUUGCAUCUUUUAUUUCAAUAAAAGUGGCAGUGAUAGCCUUUACUAUGCUUCUUUUGCAAGUCUACAUGUUGCUGUUUGAAAACAGAAAGUUUAUCGUUGUUGCAAAAAUUCUCUUGAAAAGUCAGAAUGUGAUAAAAUGUUGAAUUUUUUUUGCAUAAUAAGAUAUGAUAAAUUUUCUACAGUAUGGUAAAUUUUCAGAAUUUCUGGAGUUAAGUAAGUAUUUAUAUUCUUGCAUUCUUUAUAGACUGUACUGUUUUGACAGGUUGCUGUUAUGUUUGCAUUAUUUACGUAUAUUUUCUUGUUUAAUGAUUCUAUUUGAGGAAAGGAGUAUUAAAUAUGCAGAGGCAUUUAGUAUGCAAUGUUGAAUAAUAAUUUUAGUGAUAUAGAGAAUGCUAAGGUUAUGCAUUGAUUUAUACUAACUUAUCUCACGAGUUCUUUUUGAGUUUUGUGUGGAUGAAGUUUUUAAGAUUUAGGGAAACCGUGAUAUAAAAGGAAUUAAGGAGACACAAAAGUCAAGCUUGGGGAUGCCCAUGGUAUUCCGAGAUAAUAUUUCAAGAAGUCUCAAUCAUCUAAGCUUGGGGAUGCCCCGCUAGGCAUUCCACCUUUCUUCAUCAACAAUUAUCGGUUAGUCUCGGUUGAGCCUAAGUUUUUGCUUCUUCACAUGAUAUGUGCUAUUCUUGGAAUGCCAUUUUAUUUUGUUUUGCUUGUUGUUUUAAUAAAAUACUUAAAUCAGAAAGUUUUUAAAUAAGAGAGAGUCCACAAUUAGCUACCUAUUUACAUAACUACUCGCUUGAUCUUCGCUUAUAUCUUUUCAGAGUAGCUUGUCAUUUACUCUUGUGCUUCACUUAUAUCCUAUGAGUAAAUUGUUGAAUGAAUUAAAUAUCAUGAAGUUGAAAUUAUAUCAUGCCUAGUAGUAACUUCACAUUGGGUUUGGAAAGUGAAAUCUCUAGUCCCAUCAUUAUCAAGAUUCAUAUUGCAAAACAAAGAUUUAAUAGGAGACACAUCAAUAAUUUUUAGAUCUUCAUCUUUAUUCUCAUAAAAACUAGAAGAACACGCCUUCACAAAACAAUCUUUUUUAGCACGCAUCCUAGCGGUUCUUUCUUUGCACUCAUCAAUGGAAAUUCUCAUGGCUUUGAGAGACUCAUUGAUAUCAUGCUUAGGUGGAAUAGAUCUAAGCAUCAAAGAAUCAACAUCAAGAUAAAUUCUAUCCACGUUCCUAGCCAAUUCAUCAACUUUAAGCAUUUUUUCUUCAAGCACGGUAUUGAAAUUCUUUUGUGAAUUCAUAAACUCUUUAACACUAGUCUCAAAAUUAGAGGGCAACUUAUUAAAAUUCGCAUAAGAAUUGUUGUAGGAAUUACCAUAAUUAUUAGAGGAAUUAUUAGGGAACGGCCUAGGAUUAAAGUUUCCUCUAUACGCGUUGUUACCAAAAUUGUUCCUACCAAAAAAAUUCACAUCCAUAGAUUCAUUAUUAUUCUCAAUCAAAGUAGACAAAGGCAUAUCAUUAGGAUCAGAAGCAACACUCUUAUUAGCAAACAAUUUCAUAAGUUCAUCCAUCUUUUCACUCAAAACAUUAAUUUCUUCAAUCACAUGAACCUUUUUACUAGUAGAUCUUUCAGUGUGCCAUUGAGAAUAAUUAACCAUAAUAUUAUCUAGGAGUUUAGUAGCUUCUCCUAAAGUGAUUUCCAUAAAAGUGCCUCCCGCGGCCGAAUCUAAAAGAUUUCUAGAAUGAAAAUUCAAUCCGGCGUAAAUUUUUUGUAUAAUCAUCCACAAAUUCAAACCAUGAGUAGGGCAAUUACGUAUCAUUAAUUUCAUUCUCUCCCAAGCUUUUGCAACAUGUUCAUGAUCAAGUUGCUUAAAGUUCAUAAUAUCGUUUCUAAGAGAGAUGAUCUUAGUGGGAGGACAAUACUUAGAGAUAAAAGCAUCUUUGCACUUAUUCCAAGAAUCAAUACUAUUUUUAGGCAAAGACGAAAACCAAGUUUUAGCACGAUCUCUAAGAGAAAAGGGAAAUAGCUUCAAUUUGACAAUAUCAUUGUCCACAUCUUUCUUCUUUUGCAUAUCGCACAAAUCAACAAAGCUAUUUAGAUGGGCAGCGGCAGCUUCACUAGGAAGGCCGGCGAAUUGAUCUUUCAUGACAAGAUUCAACAAAGCAACAUUAAUUUCACAAGAUUCAGCUUCGGUAAGAUGAGCAAGUGGAGUGCUAGGAAAAUCAUUGUCGUUGGUAUUGGUAAAGUCACACAAUUUAGUAUUGUCUUGAGCCAUCGUGACAAGCAAGCAAUCCAACACACGAGCAAACAAGAAGCAAGCAAAAAAGAGGCGAACGGAAAGAGAGGGCAAAUAAAACGGCAAGGGUGAAGUGGGGGAGAGGAAAACGAGAGGAAAAUGGCAAAUAAUGUAAUGCGAGGGAUAAGAGUUUGUGAUGGGUACUUGGUAUGUCUUGACUUGUGCAUAGACUCCCCGGCAACGGUGCCAGAAAUCCUUCUUGCCACCUCUUGAGCACUGCGUUGGUUUUCCCUUGAAGAGGAAAGGGUGAUGCAGCAAAGUAGCGUAAGUAUUUCCCUCAGUUUUUGAGAACCAAGGUAUCAAUCCAGUAGGAGACCACGCUCAAGUCCCUCGCACCUACACAAACAAAUAAGAACCUUGCAACCAACGCGAUAAAGGGGUUGUCAAUCCCUUCACGGCCACUUGCAAAAGUGAGAUCUGAUAGAGAUAAUAAGAUAAUAUUUUUGGUAUUUUUAUGAUAAAGACAAAGAGUAAAGAUUGCAAAAUAAACGGUAAUGAAAAUAGCUUGUUGACGAAAGAUUAAUAUGAUGGAAAAUAGACCCGGGGGCCAUAGGUUUCACUAGUGGCUUCUCUCAAGAUAGCGUAAGUAUUACGGUGGGUGAACAAAUUACUGUCGAGCAAUUGAUAGAAUUGAGCAUAGUUAUGAGAAUAUCUAGGUAUGAUCAUGUAUAUAGGCAUCACGUCCGUGACAAGUAGACCGACUCCUGCCUGCAUCUACUACUAUUACUCCACACAUCGACCGCUAUCCAGCAUGCAUCUAGAGUAUUAAGUUCAUAAGAACAGAGUAACGCUUUAAGCAAGAUGACAAGAUGUAGAGGGAUAAACUCAUGCAAUAUGAUAUAAACCCCAUCUUUUUAUCCUCGAUGGCAACAAUACAAUACGUGUCGUUUCCCCUACUGUCACUGGGAUCGAGCACCGCAAGAUUGAACCCAAAGCUAAGCACUUCUCCCAUUGCAAGAAAGAUCAAUCUAGUAGGCCAAACCAAACUGAUAAUUCGAAGAGACUUGCAAUUAUAACCAAUCAUACAUAAAAGAAUUCAGAGAAGAUUCAAAUAUUGUUCAUAGAUAAUCUUGAUCAUAAACCCACAAUUCAUCGGAUCUCAACAAACACACCACAAAAAGAGUUACAUCGAACAGAUCUCCAAGAAGAUCGAGGAGAACUUUGUAUUGAGAUUUAAAGAGAGAGAAUAAGCCAUCUAGCUAAUAAUUAUGGACCCGAAGGUCUGAGGUAAACUACUCACACAUCAUCGGAGAGGCUAUGGUGUUGAUGUAGAAGCCCUUCGUGAUCAAUGCCCCCUCCGGCGGAGCGCCGGAAAAGGCCCAAUAUGGGAUCUCACGGGUACAGAAGGUUGCGGCGGUGGAAAUAGGGUUUUGGCUCCUCUGCUGAUGGUUUGGGGGUACGAAGGUAUAUAUAGGAGGAAGAAGUAGGUCGGUGGAGCCACGAGGGGCCCACGAGGGUGGAGGGCGCGUCCAGGGGGUAGGCGCGCCCUCCUGCCUCGUGGCCUCUUCGUUGGUUGCUUGACAUCCACUCCAAGUCCUCUGGAUCACGUUUGUUCCGAAAAUCACGUUCCCGAAGGUUUCAUUUCGUUUGGACUCCUUUUGAUAUUCUUUUCCUUUGAAACACUGAAAUAGGCAAAAAACAGCAAUUUGGGCUGGGCCUCCGGUUAAUAGGUUAGUCCCAAAAAUAAUAUUAAAGUGUGUAAUAAAGCCCAUUAAAUAUCCAAAACAGAAUAUAUACUAGCAUGGAACAAUCAAAAAUUAUAGAUACGUUGGAGACCAUCAAGCAUCCCCAAGCUUAAUUCCUGCUCGUCCUCGAGUAGGUAAAUGAUAAAAACAGAUUUUUUGAUGUGGAAUGCUACCUAGCAUAUUUCUCAAUGUAAUUUUCUUUAUUGUGGCAUGAAUGUUCAGAUCCGAAAGAUUCAAGAUAAAAGUUUAAUAUUGACAUAAAAAUAAUAAUACUUCAAGCAUACUAAUCAAGCAAUUAUGUCUUCUCAAAAUAACAUAGCCAAAGAAAGCUCAUCCCUACAAAAGCAUAUAGUUUGGCCAUGCUUCAUUUUCGUCACACAAGAUGCUCUCAUCUUGCACAACCCCGAUGACAAGCCAAGCAAUUGUUUCAUACUUUAGUAAUCUCAAACUUUUUCAACUUUCACGCAAUAAAUGAGUGUGAGCCAUGGAUAUAGCACUAUGGGUGGAAUAGAAUAUAAUGAUGGGGGUUGUGUGGAGAAGACAAAAAAGGAGAAAGUCUCACAUUGACGCGGCUAAUCAACGGGCUAGGGAGAUGCCCAUCAAUUGAUGUCAAUGCAAGGAGUAGGGAUUGCCAUGCAACGGAUGCACUAGAGCUAUAAAUGUAUGAAAGCUCAACAAAAGAAACUAAGUGGGUGUGCAUCCAACUUGCUUGCUCACGAAGACCUAGGGCAUUUGAGGAAGCCCAUUGUUGGAAUAUACAAGCCAAGUUCUAUAAUGAAAAAUUCCCACUAGUAUAUGAAAGUGACAAAACAAGAGACUCUCUAUCAUAAAGAUCAUGGUGCUACUUUGAAGCACAAGUGUGGAAAAAGGAUAGUAACAUUGUCCCUUUUUAUUUCUUCUUUUUUCUUUUUUUCUUUUUUUGGGCCUUCCCUUUUUUUUGGCCUUUCUCUUUUUUUUGGGACAAUGCUCUAUUAAUGAUGAUCAUCACACUUCUAUUUAUUUACAACUCAAUGAUUACAACUCGAUACUAGAACAAAAUAUGACUCUAUAUGAAUGCCUCCGGCGGUGUACCGGGAUGGGCAAUGAAUCAAGAGUGACAUGUAUGAAAUAAUAUGCAUGGUGGCUUUGCCACAAAUACAAUGUCAACUACAUGAUCAUGCAAGGCAAUAUGACAAUGAUGAAGCAUGUCAUAAUAAACGGGACGGUGGAAAGUUGCAUGGCAAUAUAUCUCGGAAUGGCUAUGGAAAUGCCAUAAUAGGUAGUUAUGGUGGCUGUUUUGAGGAAUAUAUAAGGAGGUUUAUGUGUGAUAGAGCGUAUCGUAUCACGGGGUUCGGAUGCACCGGCGAAGUUUUCACCAACUCUCAAGGUGAGAAAGGGCAAUGCACGGUACCGAAGAGGCUAGCAAUGAUGGAAGGUUGAGAGUGCGUAUAAUCCAUGGACUCAACAUUAGUCAUAAAGAACUCACAUACUUAUUGCAAAAAUCUACAAGUCAUCAAAAACGAAGCACUACGCGCAUGCUCCUAGGGGGAAAGAUUGGUAGGAAAAGACCAUCGCUCGUCCCCGACCGCCACUCAUAAGGAUGACAAUCAAAGAACACCUCAUGUUUCAAAUUUGUUACACAACGUUUACCAUACGUGCAUGCUAUGGGACUUGCAAACUUCAACACAAGUAUUUCUCAAUUUCACAAUUACUCAACUAGCACAACUUUAAUAUUACUAUCUCCAUAUCUCAAAACAAUCAUCAAGUAUCAAACUUCUCUUAGUAUUCAACGCACUCAAUAUGGACGUUUUUAUUAUAUCCAUCUUGGAUGCCUAUCAUAUUAGGACUAAUUUCAUAAUUAAAGCAAAUUACCAUGAUGUUCUAAAGGACUCUCAAAAUAAUAUAAGUGAAGCAUGAGAGAUUAAUAAUUUCUAUAAAAUAAAACCACCACAGUGCUCUAAAAGAUAUAAGUGAAGCACAUAGAGUAUUCUAAUAAAUUCUGAAUCAUGUGUGUCUCUCUCAAAAGGUGUGUACAGCAAGGAUGAUUGUGGUGAACUAAAAAUCAAAGACUCAAAUCAUACAAGACGCUCCAAGCAACACACAUAUCAUGUGGUGAAUAAAAAUAUAGCUUCAAGUAAAGUUACCGACAGACGAAGACAAAAGACGGGAUGCCUUCAGGGGCAUCCCCAAGCUUAGGCUUUUGGUUGUCCUUGAAUUUUACCUUGGGGUGCCUUGGGAAUCCCCAUGCUUAGGCUCUUGCCAACCCUUGUUCCAUAAUCCAUCAAAUCUUUACCCAAAACUUGAAAACUUCACAACACAAAACUUAACAGAAAAAUCUCGUGAGCUCCGUUAGCGAAAGAAAGCAAAACACCACUUCAAGGUACUGUAAUGAACUCAUUCUUUAUUUAUAUUGGUGUUAAACUACUGUAUUCCAACUUCUCUAUGGUUUAUAAACUCUUUUACUAGCCAUAGAUUCAUCAAAAUAAGCAAACAACACACGAAAAACAGAAUCUGUCAAAAACAGAACAGUCUGUAGUAAUCUGUAACUAACGCAAACUUCUGGAACUCCAAAAAUUCUACCAAAAUAGGACGACCUAGAUAAUUUUUUUAUUGAUCUACUGCAAUUGUAAUCAGUAUUUUAUCACGUUCUGGUGAUUUUUAACAAUUGUUUUCAUGAACAGAAAGUUUCUGGAAUUUUCAGCAAGAUCAAAUAACUAUCAUGCAAGAAGAUCCGAUAGGUUUAACUUGGCACGAACACUAAUUAAAACACAAAACCACAUCUAACCAGAAGCUAGAUGGAUUAAUUAUUACUAAACAGAACGAAAAAGCAAGAAAAUAAAAUAAAAUUGGGUUGCCUCCCAACAAGCGCUAUCGUUUAACGCCCCUAGCUAGGCAUAAAAGCGAGGAUAGAUCUAGGUAUUGCCAUCUUUGGCUGGCAAUCCAUAAGUGGCUCUCAUAAUAGAUUCACAAGGUAAUUUAAUCUUCUUUCUAGGGAAGUGUUCCAUGCCUUUCCUUAACGUAAAUUGGAAUCUAAUAUUCCCUUCCUUCAUAUCAAUAAUUGCACCAAUCGUUCUAAGGAAAGGUCUACCAAGAAUAAUAGGACAUGAAGGAUUGCAAUCUAUAUCAAGAAAAAUAAAAUCAAUGGGCACAUAAUUCCUAUUUGCAACAAUAAGAACAUCAUUAAUUCUUCCCAUAGGUUUCUUAGUGGAAUCCGCAAGAUGCAAAUUUAAAGAACAAUCAUCAAUUUCACGGAAACCUAGCAAAUCACACAAACUUUUUGUGAUCGUGGAAACACUAGCACCCAAAUCACACAAAGCAUAGCAUUCAUGAUCCUUAAUUUUAAUUUUAAUAGUAGGUUCCCACUCAUCAUAAAGUUUUCUAGGGAUAGAAACUUCCAAUUCAAACUUUUCUUCAUAAGAUUGCAUCAAAGCAUCAACGAUAUGUUUAGUAAAGGCUUUAUUUUGACUAUAAGCAUGACGAGAAUUUAGCACGGAUUGCAACAAGGAAAUACAAUCUAUCAAAGAUCAAUUAUCAUAAUUAAAUUCCUUGAAAUCCAAAAUAGUGGGUUCAUUGCUAUCUAAAGUUUUAACCUCUUCAAUCCCACUUUUAACAAUUUUUGCAUCAAGAUCUAAAAACUUCGAAUUUUUGGGACACCUUCUAACUAAAGUUGACUCAUCUCCAGUCCCAUCAUUAUCAAGAUUCAUAUUGCAAAACAAAGAUUUAAUAGGAGACACAUCAAUAACUUUUAGAUCUUCAUAUUUAUUCUCAUAAAAACUAGAAGAACACGCCUUCACAAAACAAUCUUUUUUAGCACGCAUCCUAGCGGUUCUUUCUUUGCACUCAUCAAUGGAAAUUCUCAUGGCUUUGAGAGAGUCAUUGAUAUUAUGCUUCGGUGGAAUAGAUAUAAGCUUCAAAGAAUCAACAUCAAGAGAAAUUCUAUCCACGUUCCUAGCCAAUUCAUCAACUUUAAGCAAUUUUUCUUCAAGCAAAGUAUUUAAAUUCUUUUGUGAAUUCAUAAAAUCUUUAACACAAGUCUCAAAAUCAGAGGGCAACUUAUUAAAAUUCCCAUAAGAAUUGUUGUAGGAAUUACCAUAAUUAUUAGAGGAAUUAUUAAGGAACGGCCUAGGAUUAAAGUUUCCUCUAUACGCGUUGUUACCAAAAUUGUUCCUACCAACAAAAUUCACAUCCAUAGAUUCAUUAUUAUUCUCAAUCAAAGUAGACAAAGGCAUAUCAUUAGGAUCAGAAGCAACACUCUUAUUAGCAAACAAUUUCAUAAGUUCAUCCAUCUUUCCACUCAAAACAUUAAUUUCUUCAAUCACAUGAACCUUUUUACUAGUAGAUCUUUCAGUGUGCCAUUGAGAAUAAUUAACCAUAAUAUUAUCUAGGAGUUUAGUAGCUUCUCCUAAAGUGAUUUCCAUAAAAGUGCCUCCCGCGGCCGAAUCUAAAAGAUUUCUAGAAUGAAAAUUCAAUCCGGCAUAAUUUUUUUGUAUAAUCAUCCACAAAUUCAAACCAUGAGUAGGGCAAUUACGUAUCAUUAAUUUCAUUCUCUUCCAAGCUUGUGCAACAUGUUCAUGAUCAAGUUGCUUAAAGUUCAUAAUAUCGUUUCUAAGAGAGAUGAUCUUAGCGGGAGGACAAUACUUAGAGAUAAAAGCACCUUUGCACUUAUUCCAAGAAUCAAUACUAUUUUUAGGCAAAGACGAAAACCAAGUUUUAGCACGAUCUCUAAGAGAAAAGGGAAAUAGCUUCAAUUUGACAAUAUCAUUGUCCACAUCUUGCUUAUUUUGCAUAUCGCACAAAUCAACAAAGCUAUUUAGAUGGGUAGCGGCAUCUUCACUAGGAAGGCCAGCGAAUUGAUCUUUCAUGACAAGAUUCAACAAAGAAACAUUAAUUUCACAAGAUUCAGCUUCGGUAAGAGGAGCAAUCAGAGUGCUAAGAACAUCAUUGUUGUUAGUAUUGGUAAAGUCACACAAUUUAGUAUUGUCUUGAGCCAUCGUGACAAGCAAGCAAUCCAACACACGAGCAAAAAAAAAACAAGCGAAAAAGAGGCGAACGGAAAGAGAGGGCGAAUAAAAUGGCAAAUAAUGUAAUGCGAGGGAUAAGAGUUUGUGAUGGGUACUUGGUAUGUCUUGACUUGUGCGUAGACUCCCCGGCAACGGUGCCAGAAAUCCUUCUUGCUACCUCUUGAGCACUGCGUUGGUUUUCCCUUGAAGAGGAAAUGGUGAUGCAGCAAAGUAGCGUAAGUAUUUCCCUCAGUUUUUCAGAACCAAGGUAUCAAUCCAGUAGGAGACCACGCUCAAGUCCCUCGCACCUACACAAACAAAUAAGAACCUUGCAACCAACGCGAUAAAGGGGUUGUCAAUACCUUCACGGCCACUUGCAAAAGUGAGAUCUGAUAGAGAUAAUAAGAUAAUAUUUUUGGUAUUUUUAUGAUAAAGACAAAAAGUAAAGAUUGCAAAAUAAACGGUAAUGAAAAUAGCUUGUUGACGGAAGAUUAAUAUGAUGGAAAAUAGACCCCGGGGCCAUAGGUUUCACUAGUGGCUUCUCUCAAGAUAGCAUAAGUAUUACGGUGGGUGAACAAAUUACUGUCGAGCAAUUGAUAGAAUUGAGCAUAGUUAUGAGAAUAUCUAGGUAUGAUCAUGUAUAUAGGCACCACGUCCGUGACAAGUAGACCGACUCCUGCCUUCAUCUACUACUAUUACUCCACACAUCGACCGCUAUCCAGCAUGCAUCUAGAGUAUUAAGUUCAUAAGAAUGGAGUAACGCUUUGAGCAAGAUGACAUGAUGUAGAGGGAUAAACUCAUGCAAUAUGAUAUAAAACCCAUAUUUUUAUCCUCGAUGGCAACAAUAAAAUACAUGUCGUUUCCCCUACUGUCACUGGGAUCGAGCACCGCAAGAUUGAACCCAAAGCUAAGCACUUCUCCCAUUGCAAGAAAGAUCAAUCUAGUAGGCCAAACCAAACUGAUAAUUCGAAGAGAGUUGCAAAGAUAACCAAUCAUACAUAAAAGAAUUUAGAGAAGAUUCAAAUAUUGUUCAUAGAUAAUCUUGAUCAUAAACCCACAAUUCAUCGCAUCUCGACAAACACACCGCAAAAAGAGUUACAUCAAAUAGAUCUCCAAGAAGAUCGAGGAGAACUUUGUAUUGAGAUCCAAAGAGAGAGAAGAAGCCAUCUAGGUAAUAACUAUGGACCCGAAGGUCUGAGGUAAACUACUCACACAUCAUCGGAGAGGCUAUGGUGUUGAUGUAGAAGCCGUCUGUGAUCAAUGCCCCCUCCGGCGGAGCGCCGGAAAAGGCCCCAAGAUGGGAUCUCACGGGUACAGAAGGUUGCGGCGGUGGAGGGCGCGCCCAGGGGGUAGGCGCCCCCUGCCUCGUGGCAACCUCGUUGGUUGCUUGACGUCCACUCCAAGUCCUCUGGAUCACGUUUGUUCCAAAAAUCGCGUUCCCGAAGGUUCCAUUCCGUUUGGACUCCGUUUGAUAUUCUUUUCCUUCGAAACACUGAUAUAGGAAAAAAACAGCAAUUUGGGCUGGGCCUCCGAUUAAUAGGUUGUCCCAAAAUUAAUAUAAAAGUGUAUAAUAAAGCCCAUUAAACAUCCAAAACAGAAUAUAUACUAGCAUGGAACAAUAAAAAAUUAUAGAUACGUUGGAGACGUAUCACAUCCCGAGAUAAUAUUUCAAGAAGUCUCAAUCAUCUAAGCUUGGGGAUGCCCCGCUAGGCAUCCCACCUUUCUUCAUCUACAAUUAUCGGUUAGUCUCGGUUGAGCCUAAGUUUUUGCUUCUUCACAUGAUGUGUGCUAUUCUUGGAAUGCCAUUUUAUUUUGUUUUGCUUGCUGUUUUAAUAAAAUACUUAAAUCAGAAAGUUUUUAAAUAAGAGAGAGUCCACAAUUAGCUACCUAUUUACAUAACUACUCUCUUGAUCUUCACUUAUAUCUUUUCGGAGUAGCUUGUCAUUUACUCUUGUGCUUCACUUAUAUCCUAUGAGUAAAUUGUUGAAUGAAUUGAAUAUCAUGAAGUAGAAAUUAUAUCAUGCCUAGUAGUAGCUUCACAUUGGGUUUGGAAAGUGAAAUCUUUUGAAGCUUGGCAAUCACAAUAUUGGUCAUACAAGCAAUUUAUGAAUGAUUAGUAUAAGGAAGAGAACUUUCACAUGCAAAUAUAUUAUCUUGGUCAUCUUCUAUGAUUGUGAAUACCCAUUAAUUAUUAUAAAACUUGAGCAAAUUAGCUGAAGUUGGACAAGGAAGACAACGUAAUGAGUUAUGUUUGUGUAUAUUUGCAUAGAAGUUAUAUUUUCAUAGAUCCUCCAACAUGUGGUGUUUGCCUAGGAUCUUUUGCUAGCCAAAAAUUCGUACUAAGUAGAGAUACUACUUGUGCAUCCGAAAACCCUUAAACCCAGUUUCUUGCCAUGAGUGUCCACCAUACCUACCUAUGGAUUGAAUAAGAUCCCUCAAGUAAGUUGUCAUCGGUGCAUAAGGCAAUAAAAAUUGCUCCUAAAUAUGUUUGAUUUUUAUUGUAAGGGAAAAUUGAGCGUUGUACGAACUUGUGAUGGCAAAGUAAUAAAAGCGAUGGACUGCAUAAUCAAGGUUGCUAUCAUAAGGGGCAAUAUAACGUGACGUUCCUUUGCAUUAAGAGCUUGGGCAUCCAAAUAAAAAGCGCAUGAAAACCUCCGCUUCCCUCUACGAAGGGCCUAUCUUUUACUUUUCAGUAUUUACUUUUAUGCAAAGAGCCAAUAGUAUGCAUUCUCAUUUCAAUCUCAAUUACUCUCUAGUUGGCAAGCAUCAUGUGGUGGGGAAAUAUCUAGGCACAUAUGACCAAUCAAAUAUAUUUGAUCAUGAUUUAUUAUUGUUGACAAUUAUCUCUAUGAUAAAUGAGUUGGGAGGCAAAAUAUUAAGCCCCUAUCUUUCUCUGUGUUCGAUGGAUGCCAUUUGUUCUAAGAAUAUGCUUUGAGUAGUAGCAAUAAUGGAAUACUAUAUGAUGAUUGACUAUGUGGAACUCUUACUUAGACUCUGUUGAAUAAUUUGAAUUGCAAUUGUUUGGUGACUAAGAAUAAAGGUUGUUCAGUUUCAAGAGAAUUCAUUGUUUGAACCUUAACAUGUGAAUUGGUUGCUACUUUGUCAUGAUGAGUUUUAUGAGAAAUAAUUGCUGUUAUGAUGCUAGGAAAAGUGAUUUAAAUUAUCAUUGAUCAAACUUAUGCACUUUGCUAGCAUUCACACUUCAUAAAUUAUUUCUUUUAUCAUUUACCUACUCGAGGACGAGUAGGAAUUAAGCUUGGGGAUGUUGGUACGUCUCCAACGUAUCUACAAUUUAUGAAGUAUUCAUGCUGCUAUAUUAUCAUUCUUGGAUGUUUUACAAUCAUUUUAUAGCAAUUUUUUUCAUUUUUGGCACUAAACUAUUGACAUAGUGCCCAGUGCCAGUUGCUGUUUGUUGCUUGUUUCUUACAUCGCAGAAAAUCAAUACCAAACGGAGUCCAAACGCAGCGAAACUUUUUGGAAAUUUUUUCUAGACCACAAGACACCCGGUGGGCCAAAGAAGUACUAGAGGGGAGCUCCGAGGAGAGCUCUACCCACCAGGGCGCGCCUGGGGGUCCUGGCGCGCCCAGGUGGGUUGUGCCCACCUCGGUGGCCUCCCGCACCGCCUCUUCGCUCUAUAACUUCCCAUAUAUUCCAAAAACCCUCGGGGUAACCCUAGAUCAGAAGUUCCACUGCCGCAAGCCUCUGUAGCUAUGAAAAACCAAUCUAGACCCCGUUUCGGCACUCCGCCGGAGGGGGAGAUCAUCACCAGUGGCCAUCUUCAUCAUCCCGGCGGCCACCAUGAUGAGGAGGGAGUAGUCCACCCUCGGGGCUGAGAGUUUGUACCAGUAGCUAUGUGUUUAAUCUAUCUCUCGUGUUCUUGAGAUGUCACGAUCUUGAUGUAUCGCGGGCUUUGUUAACAUAGUCGGAUCAUAUGGUGUUUUUCCCUCUCUAUCUUGUUAUGAAUUGAGUUUUCCCUUUGAGAUUUCGUUUUAUUGGAUUGAAUACUUUUAUGGAUUUGAGAGCACUUGAUGGAUGUCUUGCUAUGAAUACCCGUGGUGACAAUGGGUAUCAUAUUGAUUUACUUGAUAUGUGUUUUGGCACUCAACUCGCGGAUUCCCGAGGUGACCUUGGGGUAAUCUAUGCAUAUGGGUUGAUGCAUGUUCUCGUCUUUUGUUUCUCCGGUAGAAAUCUUGGGGCACUCUUUGAGGUUCUUUGUGCUGGAUUGAGUAUUAUGAAUCUGAAUUUGCUUUGGUGUUAUUUUAGUACGAACUCUUGAUAGAUCAAUCAAAAAGAAUAACUUAGUGUUAUUUUAGUACGAACUCUUGAUAGAUCGAUCAGAAAAAUAACUUGGUGUUAUUUUAGUACGAACUCUUGGAUAGAUCGAUAGGAAAGAAUAGCCACAAAUAAUUUCUUCUUAUGUUCUCCGCUAGAUAGGAACUUUGGAGUGAUACUUCAUCCAACAUUGAGGGAUGGUUAUAUGAUCCAAUUAUAUUAGCAUCGUUGAGAGAUUGCACUAGCAAAAGUACGAACCCUAGGCCUUGUUUUCAAGCAUUGCAAUACCGUUUGUGCUCACUUUUGUUACUUGCUACCUUGCUGUUCUUUAUUGUCACUAUCACAAAAAUCAAUAUCUACUAUCAUUACUACACUUGUAUCACCAUCUCUUCGCCGAACUAGUGCACCUAUACAAAUUUCUAUUGUAUUUGGUGUGUUGGGGACACAAGAGACUUUUUAUUUGGUUGCAGGGUUGUUUGAUAGAGACCAUCUUCAUCCUACACCUCCCAUGAAUUGAUAAACCUUAGGUCAUCCACUUGAGGGAAAAUUGCUACUGACAAGAAUAAAGUUGCAUAGUAGACAUCAGCGAUGUAUAUUUGUGUUGGAUGACACUCAUCAUAUAACAGUCACAACCUAGAGUGAUACACAAUAGCUCUAAUUCGUCAAUGUAAUAUAGGCAUGUAUUCCGUAUAUAGUCAUACAUGCUUAUAAUAAGAAAUUGCAUGACAUCUUUUGUCCUGCCCUCCCAUGGCAGUGGGGUCCUUAAGGAAACUAAGAGAUAUUAUGGCCUCCUUGCAAUAGAGAACCGGAACAAAGCAUUAACACAUGGUGAAUACAUGAACUCCUUGAAUUACAGUCAUUCCAGAGAGUGUCCCAAUUAUUGUCACUUUGGGGUCUAAGGAUCAGAACAAUAACAAGUGCAUAUAACUAGCAGAUAGGAUCAGGAACUCAAAUAUAUUCAUGAAAACAUAGAGCGUUCUGAUCUGAAAUCAUGGUACUCGGGUCCUAGAGACAAGCAUUGAGCAUAUCAAAGUCAUAGCAACAUCAAUCUCGGAACAUAGUGGAACUAGUGAUCAAUCCCUAACAAAUUGACUCGAUUACAUGACAAAUCUCAUCCAACUCCAUCACCGUCCAGCAAUCCUACGAAGCUAUUACUCACUCUAGUGGUGAGCAUCAUGGAAUUGUUGAUGAUGACGACAACGAUGAAUCCCCCCCUUCGGAGCCCUGAACAAACUCCAGAAGAGGAGGUGUCAGCAACUCCGUCUCGCAAAACAUGAUGAAACUUUCUCUCUGAUUUUUCUCUCCGUGAGACGAUAUUUAUGGAGUUGGAAUUAGGGCAAACGGAGGCUCGUGGGGCCCAUGAGCUCACAUGGCGCUCUCUGGGAGGGAUUGGGUGGGCAUGCCCCCUGAGCUCAUGGUUCCUGAGUGGCCCCCUCCAGUAGGUCUCUUGGCCAAUAUUUUUCAUAUUUUUUAGAAAUAAUCUCCGUGAAAUUUUAGCCCAAUCUAAGAGCUUUUAUUUCCGCACAAAAAUAACACCAUGACGAUUCUCCAAAAAAACGUCAAUCCAGGUUAGUUUCAUUAAAAUCAUGCAAAUUAGAGUCCAAAACAAGAGUAAAAGUGUUUGGAAAGUAAAUAUGUUUGGGAUGUAUCAACUCCCCAAGCUUUUCUCAUUGCUUCUCCUCAAGGAAUUUAGUUGACAAACUGAAAGUGAUAAAGAAAAACUUCUACAAACUCUUUUGUUCUUGAUGUUGUAUAUAUGCUUAACUAGUGUUCAAGUUUUCAACAAAGAUUAUGAACUAACCACAUGAAUGAUAACAGUUAGGUCUCAUUUUUACUCAUGACAAUAGCACAACCAAAUAAUGAGCAAUAAUAAGAUAUCUCAGAUGCCAACAAUUUGUCAAAAUAAUUAUGAUAUACUAUAUCACUAAGCACCCUAGGAUUGGAGGCCUCACAAUCAAUUGAGGUUUCCAAUUGGAAUUUGGUCAACCAAUUUUGACCGGGUCAACAAUUUCUCAAAAUUCUCUCCUUCAAUUUUUUGUAUAAUACGCUAUGCUUCCUAAUUUUUAAAACUUCACAGUUAAUUGAAACUUCAAUUUAGAAUUGGGUCACUCGAUUUUGAACAGGUGAACAAUUUCUCAAGGAGCUCUCCCAUUUAAUUAUUUUAAUUCUCUAUUUUUCCCAAUUCUAAAGCUCUUUCAUUCAAUUGAGGUAUUCAAUUUUGGAUUUGUUUAUGAUUUUGAUCGGGCUAAUGAUUUUUCAAAUUAAUCAGCAGCAACCGGCCUAUAAAAACAUAUCAACCCCGCACAGACUCCCUUCACCAAGAAAAAAGCGCCACCGCGUGAUACUAUAGCACCAAUAUAGUACAUGCAACCACCGGUGCAAAAAUAAAUCCCGCAUAAAUAUGUGUUAAUUAGCGGAUAUCGUAGAAUCACACCACAAAAGGCCCACCAAAUAACCACAUUACAAAUAAACAUAAAACACACUAAUAACCCACAAGCAUAGGGGAUCGUUUGUAGCCUUCUAUGAUAAAUAAGAGUGUCGAACCCAAUGAGGAGCUAAAGGUAGAACAAAUAUUCCCUCAAGUUCUAUCGACCACCGAUACAACUCUACGCACACUUGACGUUUGCUUUACCUAGAACAAGUAUGAAACUAUUUUGCAAGAAUAAAACUACGAGUACUUUGAGAGAAUAAAACUAAGAAUAACUUGGCGUCUUGUGGGCUGUGUGGGCCUCCGUUUGCGGUGAUUCUAACUCCCAAACAUAACAUAUAUUCCAAAAUAAUUCUCCAUGAAAUUUUAUUGCAUUUGGACUUCGUUUGAUAUGGAUAUUCUGCGAUACAAAAACAUGCAAAAAACAGGAACCGGCACUAGGCACUGGAUCAAUAGGUUAGUCCAAUAAAUCGUAUAACAAGUUGCCAAAAGUGUAUAAAAGUUGUAUAAUAUUGGCAUGAAACAAUGAAAAAUCAUAGAUACGACGGAGACGUAUCAGACACUUCACCAUCUCCCCCAUCGACCAAACUAAAUAUUCCCUCGGUGUCAAAAUAUAAGGGGUAUUAUUAUAUGGAAAGUCAAAUUUCUUUAACUUUGAACAAGUUUAGAGCCAAAAAUAUCGACAUCCCCAAUAUUAAACAAAAAUGUACGAAAAUUCAUUUCUUGAUGAAUCUAAUAACACCUAUUUGAUAUUAUGAAUUUUGAUUUAUUUCUCUACAAAUUUGAUCAAACUUAAAGAAGGUUGUCUUUUCAAAAUAAUAAUACGCCAUAUAUUUUGAAAUUCAGUGAGUAAAGAAAUAUAAGAAUCCCAACAACAUCAACGGCGUAGCAAAGCGCGCCCAACCCUUUAGUAUAAGGAGAUAAUCCCUCUGUUACUUAAUAUAAGGUGCAUUUGUUUUUUGAUUAAAUUUAAUAAUGUAAGGAGCAUUUCUGCUAAUUCAUCAAUAAUUCCGUUUUAUCCCUCUAGAAAAAGGAAAGUAUCUCUCCCGAUUGAGUGUAUCUCUUACUUUUCUAGCCCAAAUGAUUUAGUUACCACUAAUCAAUGAUUUAGCCAAGGUUAAUUUUUUCCCUAACUUGUGUAUAAUUAUGUGUCUUGGUCACCAUGCCAAAAAUUAUACACCUUACAUAAAGGAAUGGAGGGAGUAAAUUAUUAGAGGUUGACUAGAGAUGCUCUUAGUAUUUGUUAACAAGAUGGCAUAUUGGGUAGUUUCAAAGGAACUCCAAGGGCAGAGGGGUAUGGUGGGUGAAGUGGAGGAGGUGAAGCAACCAUUUCUCUGCUCCAGUAAAAUGAACUAGAUGCUACUCCAGCUCCAAUCCACUAAGGAAUUGAAGUUGAGGUGUUUGAAAUAACUCUACUCAAAUCAUGGAGUGAAGCAGUCCAAAACCUACCCUCAAUCCGACAAGAACCAACUAGGAGCAUAUCCUAUAUGUGAAGGCCGACCGUAUUACCGGAUUGAUGGAUCUAGUUUGUUAAAUUGACUCGACGACUAGGGCUCCAGGGCACUAGUCCUUAAGGGCGCGUGCACGAAGACUUCUCAGGUGUAAUCGACGAGGUCAGGACGGCUCCGAUAAGCGGCACGUGAGCGGCUCAUUCUGGCGGUAGUGGUCGUUUGAUGGUCCAAGAACCUCUAUGUAAUUUUUAUUAUGUUUGGGGUGCUUUGUACAUUUGGUGAAAUAUUUUAAAAAAACACUACGAAUGCAUAUGACUGUGCUAGACCUUCAUAAUCGUUUGCCCUUAAUGUUCAAAGUAUGGUCGGUAGAAUGGUAGAAACUUAUGUCUACUCGUAUAUUUCCAGUAGCUAGUCCAAAUAGAUGUUGGUUUAUCAAGAUUCCAUGAAAACAUGAUGCAGACACUACACUAGGAUUAAUUUAUUUCUUCUGUCACCAAUUCAUCAUGAGCUAGCACACCAUAAAGACUUGGUAAAAAGGUACAAAUACAAAGACACGCAUAUGCGCGAGAUCUAUUAAGCAGUGACAGCGAUCUUCAUGCCUUGCUGGCAGUGACCCGGAAGGCUGCAGAUGAAGAACGCUUUGCCUCCGCGGGAGAGCUGGAUGUGGUCAUUGCCAGAGGUGUAGGUCCUCGACGGGCCCGAGACCCUGCAUGAGUUGUAGUCGCCUUCUCCCACCUGCACAACAUUGUGCAUACUCGGGUUGUACUUGAACAUUGCGUGCAUUAGUUAACACAAGAAUACAGAUAAGAACACAGUAUAGACAUCAAGAACAACUAAUCACUUGAUCUUUAGAGUUCUCACCAAGCAUGUCGCCGGACUGGAUGUGCUUGCCACUCUCCCAUCCGGACACGCCGAAGCUCCAUCCCUUGUUGUCACCAACGGUCCACUCCUUGCCAUGGACGACGGUGGUUGCACAGCAAAUGGCCAGAAGCAGCACCAAAAGGGUGGGUACCAUGGUUGCCCGUGCCAUUGAGGGUGUUGCUCUUGACUUCUUGUUGAUACCGAAGAUAACAAGAACAGAAAAGUGAAAUAGUGGUCGAUUCCUCAAGUGAUGGCUUGCAUUCGGUCUCCUUCUCGUAUGAUAUAUAUAGGCGGUCAGCUAAAAUCAUUGUUUUAAUGUGCUCAAAUAAUGAGAAUCUUGCCUUAAAUAAGACAAAUCAACAUUUGUGAUAUGCAACAUUAGUUAGUAUAUGCAGCCAAAUCCUCCAACUUACAUAAUCUGAUCUUGGAUUAAUGGAAAUGAACGAGGAUGCAUUUAUUUCCUAAUUUCAUGAUUUAGUAAGUAUUUCUUUUUCCUGGAUGCAUUAGUUGUAUAUCAGAUAUUUAUAUAUACUAGUAUUAGAUGAUAUAAUUGUAAUAAUAAAAUUUUAAAAUACAAAAUUAUUUUUCAUAAGGAGAAGUCCCUAAUCUUGACUUUUCAACCAUAGCUGCUAAAGUGAUUGGAGGCCAUGAUUUGCGAUUGUUUAGUCUCAAAUAAUUUGAAAUUCAUAGGAAUAUUUUCAAUAAAUGGAGUUCAAAUGAAUUUCAGAAGUUGGAAAAUUGAAUGCAUUAGGUUCAUAUAAGAAUUUUAGGCUAGGUUAAUUUGGAACAAUUGAAAAAGAAAAGAGCCGCGAUUGGUUAACAAAGCAGUAAACCCGACGAGAUUCAGAAGGAUCUAAUUGAGAGGAAAAUUUGUGAGACUUACUAAGAACUUGUAGCCACUUGGGACGGAGACGAUGACCUCAAGGGAGCCCUCUGUGAAAACUCCGCAACUACUCCUGAUUGACGAAAUUAGCCCUAAACUAACCAUCCUGGCACAAACUGGAAUGACCUACUGAUAACCCUCAAGUAUAGGGGAUGGCAAUAGUCUUCAAGGCUAGUAUUUCACCCAAAUUUAUUGAUUCGACACAAGGGGAGCCAAAGAAUAUUUAUGAGCCUUAGCAAUUGAGUUGUCAAUUCAACCACACCUGGGAAAUUAUAUUUCUGCAACAAAGUGUUUAGUAACAUGGUAGUUUGAUAGUUUUGAUAUUAGCAGUAACAGUAGCAAUAGUUACAGGAACCGUAAAAAUAGCAGUUUGUGAUGAUUGUAACAACAACAGCAAUAGUAACUUAGCAAAGACCAAUAUGAGAAAAGUGUAGGAAUUGGGUUAGCGAUGUAUAUUUGUGUUGGAUGAAAGUCAUCAUAUAGCAGUCACAACCUAGAGUGAUACACAAUAGCUCCAAUUCAUCAAUGUAAUAUAGGCAUGUAUUCCGUAUAUAGUCAUACAUGCUUAUAAUAAGAAAUUGCAUGACAUCUUUUGUCCUGCCCUCCCGUGGCAGCGGGGUCCUUAAGGAAACUAAGAGAUAUUAAGGCCUCCUUGCAAUAAAGAACCGGAACAAAGCAUUAACACAUGGUGAAUACAUGAACUCCUCGAAUUACAGUCAUUCCAGAGAGUGUCCCAAUUAUUGUCACUUUGGGGUCUAAGGAUCAGAACAAUAACAAGUGCAUAUAACUACCAGAUAGGAUCAGGAACUCAAAUAUAUUCAUGAAAACAUAGAUGGUUCACAUCUGAAAUCAUGGUACUCGGGUCCUAGUGACAAGCAUUAAGCAUAUCAAAGUCAUAACAACAUCAAUCUCGGAACAUAGUAGAACUAAGGAUGAAGCCCUAACAAAUGGACUGUAUUAAUGACAAAUCUCAUCCAACUUCAUCACUGUCCAGCAAGCCUACGAAGCAAUUACUCACUCCCAAUGGUGAGCAUCAUGGACUUGUUGAUGAUGAUGACAACAACGACAAACCCCCCCCCUCUUCGGAGCCUUGAACAAACUCCAGAUCAGCCCUCCGGAUGAAGAAAAUGAGGUGUCGGCGGCUCCAUCUCGCAAAACAUGAUGAAAAUUUCUCUCUGAUUUUUCUCUGUGCAAGACGAUAUUUAUGGAGUUGGAAUUGGGGCAAACGGAGGCUCGUGGGGCCCAUGAGGUCACAGGGCGCUCCCUGGGGGGAUUGGGUGGGUGCCCCCCCUAAGCUUAUGGUUCCAAACUGGCCCCCUCCAGUAGGUCUCUUCACCAAUAUUUUUCAUAUUUUUCAGAAAUAUUCUCCGUAAAAUUUCAGCCCAAUCUGAGAGCUUUUAUUUCCACACAAAAAUAACACCAUGACAAUUCUUCUGAAAAAGCAUCAAUCCAGGUUAGUUUCGUUCAAAUCAUGCAAAUUACAGUCCAAAACAAGAGUAAAAGUGUUUGGAAAAGUAGAUACGUUUGGGAUGUAUCAACUCCCCAAGCUUAUCUCAUUGCUUGUCCUCAAGCAAUUCAGUUGACAAACUGAAAGUGAUAAAGAAAAACUUGUACAAACUCUUUUGUUCUCGGUGUUGUAUAUUUCACUACAGCAGGAUGCUGCUAACGCGACACUAUGAUCAGAGACCCUUUCACGAAAUUGUGUGCGAUGCAUUAAUUGCAAACGGGGAUGUAAAAUAACGGUCAAAAAGGUGCAAAACGUUUGCGAUGGCGGAGCCAUCAAACACGGUUCAGAUUUUAGUUGCGUGUGCGAUGGAGGGUCACAGUUAAUAUCAAUGUGUGUGCGAUAUAUGGGCAGAACAACAUAAACAGGCAGCCAUAUCAAUGUGUGUGCGAUAUAUGGCAUACAGUUCGCUCCGAUGAACGGUUUGCUAUUCGGUAGUGCAACAGAAACGGGUAGCCAGAUCAAAGUGUGUGUGAUAUAUGGCAUACGGUUCACUCGGACGAAAUGUUUUCGGUUAGGGAACACAACAGAAACGGUUCAACUUAACAAGAUGUGUGUGAUACGUGGCAAACAGCCGACUCGGAUGAACGGAGCACGCUGCGGCCGCCUCAAUGGCGAGCAAAACCUCGAAAGGACGCGAGCAGAGCGCGCCACGGCCGCCUCAACGACGAGCAACCACGUGGUCAUCCUUCUGCCAUCAAUAAAUUUUGACCUUGUUUCUCGUCACAUUGCAGAUUACAAUGCAAUAAGUAAUUGCAAAUCUGUUCACACCUAUCAAACUAAUAUGUGUUCACACUUAGCACCGGGCUAUAAAAACUACCCACUUGAAAAUUACUUCACAGUUCCUCUCCUCAUCACCCACAAAACUGGUAUUUCCUGUCAAGUCGUUCCGCCAUGACCGGUAGGAGGAGUUUAGGGUGGACAUAUAACCAGGCAGCAAAGAACCGUUCUUACCUACGCAUCAAAACCACAACAAUUUUUCGUCAAGUGUGUUGUUUUAACCUUCAACAAGGACCAGCCGUAGUCAAACUCGAUUGAACUAAAGUUGGAGAAACAGACACCCGCUAGCCACCUGUGUGCGAAGCAUGUCGGUAGAACCAGUCUCAUGAACACGGUCAUGUAAUGUCGGUCCAGGCCGCUUCAUCCAACAAUGUCGCUGAAUCAAAGUAAGACAUUGGUGGUAAGCAGUAUGACUAUUAUCGCCCACAACUCAUUGUGUUCUACUCAUGCAUAUAACAUCUACGCAUAGACCUGGCUCUGAUACCACUGUUGGGGAACGCAGUAUUUCAAAAAAAUUACCUACGAUCACGCAAGAUCUAUCUAGGAGAUGCAUAGCAACGAGACGGGAGAGUGUGUCCAUGUACCCUCGUAGACCGAAAGCAGAAGCAUUUAGUAACGCGGUUGAUGUAGUCGAACGUCUUCACGAUCCAACCGAUCCAAGUACCGAACGUACGACACCUCCGUGUUCAGCACACAUUUAGCUCCAUGACGUCCCUCGAGCUCUUGAUCCAGUUGAGGACGAGGGAGAGUUUCAUCAGCAUGACGGUCAUGAUGAAGUUACCAGCGCAAGGCUUCGCCUAAGCACUACGGCGAUAUGACCGAGGUGUGUAACUGUGGAGGGGGGCACCGCACACGGCUAAGACAAAUCUUGGAGUGCCUUUGGGGUGCCCCCUGCCCAUGUAUAUAAAGGAGGGAGGGAGAGAGGCCAGCCCUCCUAGGGGUGCGCCAAGUGUAGGGAGUCCUAGUAGGAUUCCCUUUCCUUUUCGGAGUGGGAAAGAAGGAAAGGAGGGAGAGGGAGAAGGAAAGGGGGGCCAUUCCCCCACCCCUUGUCCAAUUCGGUUUGGGCAGGGGGGAGGCGCCUGCCACCUCGUGACCCUUCUUCCCUCUCUCCACUAAAGCCCAAUAAGGCCCAUUAACUUCCCCGGUGAAUUCCCGUAACUCUCCGGUACUUCGAAAAAUACCCGAAUCACUCGGAACCAUUCCGAUGUCCGAAUAUAUCCUUCCAAUAUAUGAAUCUUUACCUCUCGACCAUUUCGAGACUCCUCGUCAUGUCCGUGAUCUCAUCCGGGACUCCGAACAAACUUCGGUCAUCAAAUCACAUAACUCAUAAUACAAAUCGUCAUCGAACGUUAAGCGUGCGGACCCUACGGGUUUGAGAACUAUGUAGACAUGACCGAGACACAUCUCCGGUCAAUAACCAAUAGCGGAACCUGGAUGCUCAUAUUGGCUCCUACAUAUUCUCCGAAGAUUUUUAUCGAUCAAACCGCAUAACAACAUACGUCAUUCCAUUUGUCACCGGUAUGUUACUUGCCCGAGAUUCGAUUGUGGGUUCCUUAUACCUAGUUCAAUCUCAUUACCGACAAGUCUCUUUAUUCGUUCCGUAAUGCAUCAUCCCGCAACUAACUCAUUAGUCACAUUGCUUGCAAGGCUUAUCAUGAUGUGCAUUACCGAGAGGGCCUAGAGAUACCUCUCCGAUUCUCAGAGUGACAAAUCCUAAUCUCGAUCUAGGCCAACCCAACAAACACCUUCGGAGACACCUGUAGAGCAUCUUUAUAAUCACCCAGUUACGUUGUGACAUUUGAUAGCACACAAGGUGUUCCUCCGGUAUUCGGGAGUUGCAUAAUCUCAUAGUCAGAGGAAUAUGUAUAAGUCAUGAAGAAAGCAAUAGCAAUAAAACUAAACGAUCAACAUGCUAAGCUAACGGAUGGGUCUUGUCCAUCACAUCAUUCUCCUAAUGAUGUGAUCCCGUUCAUCAAAUGACAACACAUGUCUAUGGUCAGGAAACUUAACCAUCUUUGAUUAACGAGUUAGUCAAGUAGAGGCAUACUAGGGACACUUUGUUUUGUCUAUGUAUUCACACAUGUAUCAAUUUUCCGGUUAAUACAAUUCUAGCAUGAGUAAUAAAAAUUUAUCAUGAUAUAAGGAAAUAUAAAUAACAUCUUUAUUAUUGCCUCUAGGGCAUAUUUUCUUCAGCAACAUCAUUUGGGAGGGAUACCUUUUUACCUCUACUUUUCCUUCUUUUCUUCUUCUUCACCACAUUAUGUGUGGGUUCAUUUAAUUUUUCCGAGCUUCUUAUUGAUGAGAUUAGUUGAAUAGUGAGCUCCUUUUCAUCACCUAUUUCAUCAUGAGAGACAAUAGGAGGGAAAGUAGAAAUCUUUACCCUGUCAUUAGUAUUCCUUUUAUAUUCUAUUGGUUUCCCCAUCUUUCUAUAGUUGACAAUAUAAACAUUCUCAUUGCAAUUUACCAUGCAAAAUAUAUGUAUUUCUUUCAAAUUAGUUUCAGCAUGGUCUGUGAAUAUGAAUGCUUCAAACCAACCAUUUUUAUGUGACAAUUCUUCACACCCCAAAAAUAAACAAAGUCCAUUAUAAAGUUCAAGGGUGAUCAGUUAUUGCAAUAUUUGGACACGAUUCGAUCAUGAAAAAGCAUGCAUUGGAAAUUAAGGUGACCAACUUUAUUGCAAAGCUCACAAGUAAUAGGAUAAAGACAACAUGAUUUUGUAGCAAAUUUAUCUAUCACUUUGAGGAAAAAUUUGGUUCUAUCAUGUUUGUGCUUCUUACAAAAUCUAUCAUCCCUAUAAGGCAUGUCUUCACAAAGUCUUUCCACUCCACAAAAAUUGACAUGCUUGUAAGAAACAUUUUUGUCAUGACUAGUGCAAUCAUCAUUAGCAUUUUGGAUAUUCAUAGAGUUCAUACUAACAACUUUGCAAUCAUGCUCAUCAUUCAAGGAUUUUAUGCCAAACAUUUCAUUGAAUUCUUCCUCUAUCAAUUGAGCACAAUUUUCGGAUCCAUCAUUUUCAAGAAAGACAUUAUAAAGAUGAACAAUAUGAGACCACCUCAAUUCCAUUUUUUUGUAGUUUUCUUUUAUAAACCAAACUAGUGAUAAAACAAGAAACUAAAAGAUUCAGUUGCAAGAUCUAAAAAUAUACCUUCAAGCACUCACCUCCCCGGCAACGGCGCCAAAAAAGAGCUUUAUGUCUACUCACAACUUGUUCUUGUAGACUCGUGUUGGGCCUCCAAACGCAGAGUUUUGUAGGACAGUAGCAAAUUUCCCUGAAGUGGAUGACCUAAGGUUUAUGAAUCCGUGGGAGGCGUAUGAUGAAGAUGGUCUCUCAAACAACCCUGCAACCAAAUAAUAAAAAGUCUCUUGUGUCCCCAACACACCAAAUACAAUGGUAAAUUUUAUAGGUGCACUAGUUCGGCGAAGAGAUGGUGAUACAAGUGUAGUAAUGAUACUAGAUAUUGAUUUUUGUAAUAGGAACAAUAAAAAACAGCAAGGUAGCAAGUAACAAAAGUGAGCACAAACGGUAUUGCAAUGCUUGGAAAUGAGGCCUAGGGUCCGUACUUUUGCUAGUGCAGUCUCUCAACAAUGCUAAUAUAAUUGGAUCAUAUAACCAUCCCUCAACGUGUGAUGAAGAAUCACUCCAAAGUUCUUAUCUAGCGAGGAACAUAAGAAGAAUUUGUUUGUAGGGUACGAAACCACCUCAAAGCUAUUCUUUCCGAUCAAUCUAUCCUAGAGUUCGUACUAAAAUAACACCAAGCUAUUCUUUACGAUCGAUCUAACCAAGAGUUCGUACUAAAAUAACACCAUAUGAUACACAUCAACCAACUCUAAUGUCACCUAGAUACUCCAAUGUCACCGCGAGUAUCCAUGAGUUGAUUAUACGAUAUCCAUCAAAAAAUUCAGAUUCAUAGUACUCAAUCCAACACAAAGAACCUCAAAGAGUGCCCCAAGUUUUCUACCGGAGAAACAAAGACGAGAACGUGCAUCAACACCUAUGCAUAGAUUACCCCAAUGUCACCUCGGGAAUCUGCAAGUUGAGUGCAAAAACACAUAUCAAGUGAAUCAAUAUGAUACCCCGUUGUCACCACGGGUAUUCACAGCAAGACAUACAUAAAGUGUUCUGAAAUCCAUAAAAGUAUUAAAUCCGAUAAGAAUGAAAUCUCAAAGGGAGAACUCAAUUCACAACAAGAUAGAGAGGGGAAAACACCAUAUGAUCCAACUAUAUUAACAAAGCCCGCGAUACAUCAAGAUCGUGACAUCUCAAGAACACGAGAGAGAGAGAGAGAGAGAUAUUAAACACAUAGCUACUGGUACAAACCCUCGGCCCCGAGGGUAGACUACUCCUUCCUCAUCAUGAAGACCAUAGGGAUGAUGAAGAUGGCCUCCGGUGAUGAUUUCCCCCUCCGGCAGGGUGCCGAGACGGACUCCCGAUUGGUUUUUCGUGGCUACAGAGGCUUGCGGCGGCGGAACUUCUGAUCUAGGAAUAUUUCUGAUGGUUUCUCUAUUUAAUGGCUUUUUCAGCGUUCGAAUCACGCGAAGAUAGGCCUCAAGGUGGGCACAACCCACCUGGGCGCGCCUGGGCCUCCUGGCGCGCCCAGGUGUCUUGUGCUCACCUCCUUCACCUUCUGGUCCUCCCACGAAGCUUCUAGUGCCUCUUUUGUUCCAAAAAAACGUCAAAAAGUUUCGUUGCAUUUGGAGAACUUUUAUUCUACACAAAAAACAACACCACAGUAGUUCUGCUGAAAAGAGCGUCAGUCCGGUUAGUUCCAUGCAAACCAUACCAAAACCAUAUAAAAUUGUUGUAAACAUGGCAUGAAUACUUCAUAAAUCAUAGAUAUGUUGGAGACAUAUCGGGAGGGCUGCCACCCCAUCGCGCCAUGCCGGAAGAGCUGCUAGGAUGAAUACCGAGCACGCUCUUCAUUGUCUAUGUACCGCACGGAACUGGGGUCAAAGCCACUGGACCGCCGGAGAAACUCCGCCUUGGACAUGGGUAACUCCACGCUGUGCAGCCGAGGACGACCUGGGCCUCACUGGCCACCGCCCCGGCACCCGCUACCGUGUAGCGAGGCAACCACCCCGGCUAGGCCAUGACCGGAGGCCACCACCGCAUGCACCUAGCCUGAUCUGCCACGUCCUCCAUGGCGUCCUCUCCACGCCACCGCCACCGGUCUGCCACCAGAUGACCACGCCGUCGCCCAAGGCCACCGCCCGGAGCAAGCCGCUGCACCGCCAAGAUCCAGAUCACGUCCGCGCCUCCUCGAGCGAGGAGAUCCCGCCCCACCUCCCCCACCACGAGUCAGGGAGCGGAUCCCUCGCCACCGCUGUCGGCCAUUGGGCUUAGCCCUGUGGCGUCCUCCGACAGCGACGGAGGGAGAGGAGGACGAAGAUGACACCCGGCGGCUAGGGUUUGGGGAGGCCCCAAGUCACCCUGUGUGGGAGCGACACGGGGUGAAAAUGUCAUACACAUGUAACCUAAGAUUCCACGAGUGGGCACGAUCUGAACCCAGCGCCAUCAGCACCCACUUUUCAAAAAAAAUGCAUUUUAAGUACAUCUUAAAAUCAAAAGAGAAUUCCAUGCAUACAUGUUCACAAAUGUGUGUGCGCGGUGCAAAGUUUUGUGAAAAAAAAUGUAUUUUUGUUUUGUCUCUGCAAAAAAGACAAAUUUCAGUGCUUCUAAAUAGCGUUUCACGACAUAAUAUUUUGUCUUUUUUGCACAGGCCAAAAAAAGUUAUUUUUCCGUGAAACUUUAUGCACGCACAUAGAACAUGAAUACGUACCCAUGCCGUCUUUUUCGGUUUUUUCUAGCAUUUAGAAAUGUAUUUUUCAAAGUAGGUUCAUAUGUACCCGGGUUCACCCAUGCACUUUUCAAGAUUUCACUCUAAAGUUACAUCUUGAGAUUUUUAUCCAUCAAUGUUUCUUGCCAAAACGCAGCUGUGUGGCGAGCACAGAGCGAACUAUUCUUUCGCCUUUUACUAAAGAAUACCGUGCUGUCUCAAAAAAAAUGUUUCUUGCCAAACAAAAAACUUGACUCUUUUUGAAUUUUGUUACUUUUUUUUUUGAAUUUUACUGUUCGUCCGGGAUCACUGGAGCUCAGGAUCACAUACUGCACGUCCGAAGUGUGUGCAGUGUUCCCAUAUCCCUAUGUAGGAGAAUCAUCGGUUUUUGCUGUACAAUGUGCAAGAUAGAUUGCCGAAUGUGAACAAUAAUUUUGGAAUGUGGUGUUUUAGUUGUCCUCGGAUCUUUGACGAUAUUUUGCAUCAAUGUAUAUUUGAAGUAGUACUGUUUGUAGUGCUUAUAUACAAGUGCGCCUAGUGCCACCACCACCAUCACACAUCGUCCCAGUAAAAAUGGAGGAUUGCGUCCCAGCCUCUGUGUGUGAGCCUCUAGUUACAGUCUUACAGAUCGAAGAACUUAAACUUCACAAUCGAGGCGUAAGUCUAAAUCAUCUCAAAAAAAAAAAUUUCGAGGCGUCCAAGUCAUCUCAAAAAAAACAUCGAGGCGUCUGAUAGACUGGUGCCAGAUCCAUUUUAAUACCCUGCUUUCAAGGUUGCAAUCAAAAUCCACAGAUGAAAACCACCACAGGCCUAUAGCUCCGAACUGUGACACUGAACAACAUGCAACAUUCAUCGAACACCAGUAUCAGAAUCACCCGAACUUAAAAAACAGCACCAACUUGUCAUCAUCCCUUGAUCCAUCCAGGAUUCAACGCGCACACACACACGCACGCCACUAGCCAUCGCAUGGAGGCAUGAACACACAAACAGAGCGUAACCAUAACAGAGAACUACUACUAGUACUAAGUAAUACCAACAUAACUCAAGAAGUUGAACAUAACCAUUGCAUGGAUUCAGGCACAACCAAACAGAGCACGCACUCUGCACCCCGCAUCCGUCAGGGUCAGGCCGACGCCGCCGGGGCCUGGAAGAGACGCACGUGGGGCGUCGUAGGAAUGCGCGCCGUUCCAAACCUUGACGAUCUGGACGGGGACGACGCUGGAGGAGUCGUCGAACAUGUAGGCGAUCCGGAGCUCGCGCGGAGUUAAUUGCACAGAAGUACCACAAUUCGGGCAUCACAUACAGAUUGGUACCACGAUUGCUAAUUUUUGCGUGUCAGUACCAACAUUGCUCUAGAUUUUUGCAAAUAGGUCUAAACUGCGUAUAAACACGUAUUGACGGUGUAUCUGACUAGCGGGGCCCGCCCGUCAGGUGCCGACGUGGCAUGUUUUAGCAGAAAACCCCCGCCCUCGCCCUCGCCCUCGCUCUCGGCCUCCUCGGCGCUCGCCGCCGCAUCCCUCGUGCUGCUCGCACCCGCCGCCCUCGCCCUCGCCCUCGGCCUCCUCGGCGCUCGCCGCCGCAUCCCUCGUGCUGCUCGCGCCCGCCGCGUGAUCUGCUGGCCCUGCUGGUGCACCUGGAGCAGGGUCUUUGACGCGGUGUCCCGCAUCUCCUCGGCGACCCGGAGGCAGCCGUCGACCCGGCGCGUGGUCUCCUCGGCCUUGUAGGCCGCGUAGCCCUCCAGCUCCUGCACCGACUGCGCCUCCACGCCCCCCGAGUCCCGGAAGUCGUUCCUGUACCGGCCCCUGACCGCCGCCGCGGACGACGAGGACGCGAACCCGGACGGCCCGGGGCCCGCGGCGGCGGCGGCGGCGUAUAGGGCGCCCCGCUGGUCGGCCUCGACGGCGGGGGUCGGGACGGAGGAGGCCCGCGCGGGCGGCCUCUGCUGGAGCAUGCCGCCGUCGUCGUCGGAGUCGGAGUCGAAGGGGUUCCGGGCGGCGGGCUUCUUCUUCCCGUUUGACCCGAAGAAGGACGAGCUCGUGGCGCUCAUGGCGGAAGUUGCACGAGGGAUGCGGCGGCGAGCGCCGAGGAGGCCGAGGGCGAGGGCGAGGGCGAGGGCGGGGGUUUUCUGCAAAAAACAUGCCACGUCGGCACCUGACGGGCGGGCCCCGCUAGUCAGAUAUACCGUCAAUACGUGUUUAUACGCAGUUUAGACCUAUUUGCAAAAAUCUAGAGCAAUGUUGGUACUGACACGCAAAAAUUAACAAUCGUGGUACCAAUCUGCAUGUGAUGCCCGAAUUGUGGUAUUUCUGUGCAAUUAACUCGCUCCCGCAGGAUCUCUCGAGGGUGCCCGAGCUCAAGGACGACGCGGACCGUGGAGAGGUCGGGCGCCGUGAAGCAGGCCGGGUCGACCUCGCGCAGGAACCCGAAGCGCCGGCAGUUGUCCUCGAUGUCCUCGGCGGUCCGCUGCUCCACCGGGUAGUCGUGCAGGGCGACGUGGGCCAUGCAGUCGUCCAUCUCGGGGACGGGGACGUUGGGGACGCUCUCGGUGUCCCGCAGGAGCUUCACCGUGACGCCGUCGACCUCGAACGGCUGCCUGCGCAUCGCCGCCUCCCGCUCGGCGGGCGUGCCGAAGCGGAGCGUGGCGUCGCCGUACCCGCAGCUCGGGAAGACCUCAAAGGUCUGCGGCAGGUCGGGGGCCAGUGCGCGGAAGACGCGGCGGAUGAAGGGCACCGGGUCCUCCCGGCACGGGGCCGGGGUGAUGUACGCGUACGCGAAGCGCUUCGCGUAGAGCACCUCCCCCGGGCUGCGGCGCAGCGUAACGUACGCGAGGUCCGGACGGGACCGGGGCGUCUGCGACGGCGGGACGGCCAGGCGGACGGCGGUGGCGGCCGGCAAGACAUCGUACCCCUUGAAGAUGCCGUAGAAGGCCGGACGGUCGGUGGGAAUCCGCAACGCCGUCGCCCCCUCCGGGAGCAAGGGGACGGUGGUGCGGGCAGGCAUCUCGACUUCUCGAGGCAGUGGAGCGAAUGGAACGGGAGGAGCGUUGCGAGGAAGAGUGUGGUGUCCGAUUUUAAGGUGCUCGGGGCUUCCACCACAGACCACUAGAGGAGGGAGAGGUUGGUGCUGGUGCAGUAAUGGCAGCGUGAACCGGCGAGUUGGAAGGAAGGUGGCGUGCCUUGCGGGUUUUGGCGCGUGGGAAGUCAGGGUUGGCGUGAUGCCAUGCACAUCGCACGCACCUUGACGCUCGAGUUCAUGGUCAGGUUAAAUCCAAGGCAGGCAGAGGCAGGGUUGGCGUGACAGGACAUGGCCUAUAUGCAGCAUUCGAAUAAAUUAAGGGGCUUGUUAAACUUUUUUUAAACACAAUACAGACCAAGCGCUCAUAUACACGCGCAUACCCCUAUGAACGCACAUACGCACGCCAUAUUUCUAUGAGCAUCUUCGAAAGGAUGAGCUGGCAUAUCAUCUUAAAAUUUGCGAAGUCACCGUAGGCACCUCGUCAUCAACGGAAACGUCUACUCCCACUGAAUGCGCAUCGCCGGAAAUUCUGAAAUAAAUCCAGAAAUAAAUGCGAGCACCUGGACUUGAACCCUAAUGGCUGGUGUUACCACAGUCCCUCUAACCAUCAGAAAUUGGUUCGCUCGUUAAAUCUCGGUUGACUAAGAUUAGCAAAGUCUUGAUAAUCUUCUACACCAUUGGAUCCUUGCUUAACGAUUCAUGCACUUUGAGGUGGUCUGGUUGCCGUUGUGUUUGUUCGCCCAGAACAGGUGUAUGUCCGUCGGACCUUUUUUCUUGUCGAGUUACGUCAACCAUAAAUACAUAAUUCUUAACUUAAAAAAAAUACAUAGUUCUUUUUUCUUUUUUCUGCUCAAUGUACCAGUCUCUUUUUUUUGCAAGAAGAUGUACCUAUUAUAUGUCCGUCGAACCUUUUUUCUUGUUGGGUUAGGGCAUCUCCAAAGCUGAUCUGCAAAUGUCUUUGGUAUAUGUCCGUUUUUAUGUCUGGACGUGGUCUACAUACAUGAUGUGGAAGGGAACCAUUCAAUGCUAAUCACAAAGUAUCCGUUUAGAAGGAGAAUAAGUAGGCCGGGACCGUGCAUAUGAUGAGAUAUUUGUAUUUUGGUGUCCGAUUAGGAGAAAAAAGAGAAGAGAGUGACCAUCACGUGUGGUUAGGAGGAGAGAGAAUAGAGGACCAUGCCCGUGAUUGCUACGGCAAAGUCCCCAGGUUUGUCUCAAGGAUACCGAAAUCUGUACCUCCGAAUAGCAAAGCAGACAUAUACAGAUCCUCAUUGGAUGGCAAAAGUGGUUUGGACACUGUUGUCCAGACAUAUAGUAAAGAUUUAAGGGUCCACUUUGAAGAUGCCCUUACAUCUUUUGUUUUCUUGUGUUCGAGGAAUAUAUAGAUAGAACAUGGUGAGCCCUUUUUUUCUUUUGUUCACGCGAAGACAGUGUGUUCUGUUUAGUUCCGUCGUCAGUAAACAAACACUUAAAUGAUAGCAUGAUGACCUUUUCUUAAUGUGUAUGGACAUAAUUGUAAAUCAAUGAAUUCUUAGCCAACUAAGCACUAAUUGUUCCUUUUUUAUCAAUACUUAAAUUUACUCCUUUUUUCCCUAUGAUUAUCCAUCGAGGGGAUCCAAUGUGAAGGGCUACUGAUGGGAAACAAGCAUGUAUCUAGAAAAUCGAACUAAACCAACAUGUCCACCACCAAUCACUCCUCCAAAUCACCUUCAACCACUCUCUCGUUGCCAUGAAAAAAAAAUUGCCAUUGAAUGGACUGUAUAAUUGCGUUUCCUUGUCUUUUCCGAACCAAACAAGGAAUAGUAUAUACUUGUUGUGACAUAAAACUAUCCAAGACUGGUUUUCCUAAAAAUCCUCCACAAACUGGUUUUCUAAAAUCUCAAAUAUAAUCAUUCAUAUCCAAACAACCCCUAAAGACAAAGAAAGCGCACAAAAACUUCACUCCAGCUCCUGGGCAUAGUGUCAACUAAAACGCGUGCCGGCACCGCACGACGAACAAAUGAUGCUGCUGCGUGUUAACGAUCCAACGGUCAUUAAAUUUGACUUGAAGCCAAAUGAAAAUCAUGUCGACAUAUCUUUAGCAAAUAUGUAGAUAUAAAAUCAAAAACAAUAAGGCUAUUUCAAGAUAGCCAAAAAUAUCUCAAAUCACACGCAUAAAUCAGAAGCUAAGGAUGAUGUUACCAAUCAAAACAUCCACUUGACAAAUAAAAAUUCAGUUUCACAAGUACCACGAUAGGUUUCUUCUUGCAUAAUAUGAAGUCUAAAAAAAAGACAAAUAGUAAGCAGUAAUUCAACGAAACAGUGUCUAGCUAGGUGCUACUCUUUUUCUACUCAAAAGCCCACUGGUUCUCCCUGCGGAUCUCAGCCUCCUCCUCGGGUGUGAAGUCAUUCUUGAUGUUGAAAGUCUUACGGAUCUCCUCCGGAGUCUUCCCCUUGAUCAUAUCUGCAACAGUCUGGCAAGUAAGGUCGAGCAAUCCCUUGAUGUUGAGGUAGUUUGCAGCCAGGAUGAGGUCGAAGAGGGUGUUCUGGUCGACCUUGAUGAACUCAGCGUCAAAGCUCUUGAGGUCCUCGGCGGAGGCGGCGACUGCAGUAGAGGUGGAGGAGCUGGCGUCGACGGCGGCGCCAGAGUUGGCCGGUUUGGGGCUGGCCUGGACAUGCUUCUUGCAAUACUCAAUGACCUUGGAGAGGAUCUUGGAGUCGACGUUGGGAAGCGGGAUGCCAUUGUCGGCGCAGUCGUCCUCGAUCAUGUGGCGGAUGGUCUGCGACUCCAUGGCGACCGCCUCCUCGACCUGAAAUUCCUCACCGUCCGAGCUCUUGAGCGUGAUCAUCUUCUUCUCGCCUUCCUCGGCCGCCAUCGAUCGGACGAUUGGGAGGCCAAACGAAACCCUAGCAACAAGACGCGGCGGCGGAAGAGCUAACGAAAGACACAGGAGCUUCUUUGCGUACGUGUUGGGCCAGGGUGGGGAACCGGGGAUAUUUAUUGGGGCCGGGAGACGUGCCUAGGGUGGACUCGGGGUCGUGCUCGUUUCGUAUUCAUCUUCGCCAGGAGGAGACGACUCGAGUAGGGACCGACCACCUCUAGUAGUUUCCGUUUCCAUCUUCGCUAGGGCGAGUAGAUCGCGGAGUCAGCCCGUCGGACGGAGCUGCGUGGUCACGGCCAAGUGCCGCCGCGCGUCAUAUCUGGAGCCAUCGCGGAUGCCCGCUCCGUCGCCGGGUGUGGAGGAGCACAGGCAGUCCGCGGCAGCCGCACGAGGAGGACCACGGGAGUGUCUGCGGUGUCCGUGCAUGGACGUUCGCUCGGCUAGACGCUUGAAUCCCUCGUCGGCCGUGAGUGCCUCUUCUCGCUCCCGUCUCUCAGGUCAAUUUAGUGUUGCUGGCUUGCUUGCUGCUGCUUUAAUCAAUCAAUUUUUGGUCAACCAAUUAAUUUUGAUUUGUGUCUUCUUCAGGGUACAUUAUUACAGAUUUUCCCAUGGCUUCAGAGAACUAAAUUUUCCAUCUCACCAGAAUUUCGCCAUUUCAACUAAAUUUGCCAUGUUUCUAUUUAGUUUUGCUGCUGCUGCAAUCAGUCGGCCAAUCAAUCAUUUUUUAUCUGCUAUGCUUGUGUCUUCUUCACGGUACAUACAUUUCCUAAUUUGGCAUGUUUUCAAAGAACUAAAUUUACCUUCUCACCUAAAUUUGCCUUGUCAACUAGAUUCAACAUGUGUUUUGGAGAACUAGAUCCUUCGAAAAAAACUCUUAAAUUAUCCAUGUAAUUAUUACAGGUUCCCAAAGUUGUCAUGUUUCACGACAAAAUGUGAAAAAAAAACAGAAUGAUGUGCGGAGAUCAUUAUAAUCAUGUUUUACUACCCAUGGCAAACUUAGAAGUAUUUCUAAAUUUUCACAUGGCAAAUUCAUAACAUUUUUUGUCUCCCACACAUGGAAAAUUUACAUCUUUUUGCCACACUCCCAUGGCAACCUUUAGGAUUUUUUUUCUCACUUAACCAUGGCAAAUUUACUUUAUGGGUCAUGGCAAAUUUGCUUUCUGAAACAUUGCAAAUUUACUUUAUGGACCAUGGCAAAUAUUUUAACUUCAUAGUUACCAUUGUAGUAGACAAAUGAUUGCCCUCAUGUUUCGUAAAAAAAUUCUGUCGGGAUUAUUAAGCAAUUCUAUGUAUUUGACGUAUCAUCCACUCAUGAUGAUUUGUCACGGGAACUUAGGUUUUGACCAUGCCAAAUUUAUUUUUGUUACAAUGGAAAAUUUUAUAUUUUGGACCAUGAAAAAUUUAUUUUUUGUAGCAUGGCUUUUUACUUGGUGGACCAUGGUUAAUAAUUUGCCAUGGCAAAAAAAGUUGUGCAUAGCAAAAAAUGGAACAUGUUAUAUAUGUUACCAUGGCAAAAAAGUGUGGAACAUGGAAAAUUUGUUUCACAAACCAUGGAAAGUUUCUUUUUUAUCACGACAAAAAUUUAUUUUGGCCAUGGAAAUUUAUUUUUGUUACCAUGAUUUUUUUAUAUAUAUUUGGACCACAGCAAAUUUACUUUUUGUACUAUGGCUUUGUACUUGGUGGACCAUGGUGAAUACAUUUUAGAACAUGGCCAUAUAUCUUUUUGAAACAUGGGAAAUUUGUUUCACACAUCAUGGCAAAUUUCUUUUUAUUAUCAUGGAAAAUUUGACCAUCGUAAUUUUACUGUAUGUAGCAUCACAGUCUUAGUAUUUAGACCAUGUCAAUUAUAUUAAUUAGACUAGAUAACAGCGGCAAAUUACCCAUCGAAAACUUUUUCAUGUUUUAGCCAUGGGCAAACUUAAGUUUUAUACAACAUUCCAAGAUUGUUCUAAUGGAAAAUGACAUUUUUCCAUUGUCAAUGGCAAAUUUAUUGUUAUUUAGAUCAUGCAUUUCUUUAUUUUAGACUGCCAUGGCAAUCUCUUUUUUCUUUUGAAAUUAGCACAUAAAAUUUUAUUGUGCAAAAUCUAUAAGUUUUGUCUCAUAAAAAAAACGGCGAGGCUCCGGCGAUGCUCUCACGGCCGCCGUCGAGCUCCUCCAGUUCUCUGGCAAUGCUUCGGCCUUCCGCCUACUCCGGCGACACUUCGGUGGCCGCUACCCAGCUCCUCCGCCUGCUCCGUCGAUACUCCGGCUGUCCGCCUACUCCGGUGACAGUCCAGUGGUCGCCGCCGAGCUCCCCAGCCUGCUCCGUCCAUGCUCCGGCCGUCCGCUGCCGAGCUCCUCCGCCUGUUCUGGCAUUGACCGGUUUAUAGUUUUAAUAUACGGGGACUUGCCAAACGGCUCAAAAACUGCAGAUUUAAUGUAUGUAGGGGAUAAUAUAUGGGGACCUAUAAUAUUUUGUAGGCAUCAGCCGUUUUACGGGAUCUAUAUGGUGCGUUUUACGGGAUCUAUACUGUAAAUUCAGAGGUUUGACCGCUUAUAGCGUAUCCUCUAGAGAUGCUCUAACUUGGAUAGACGGUCAUAUUUUGCUACUACGGGAAAGACCUCGUGUAUUCCUUUAGGAGUAUGCUUUGGAAGAACCGAAUAAUUAAUGGUGGAAACGUGAAGUCGUAUACUAAGCUUUUCCAAAUAGAAGUUGGUUUAACAUUGUGCCAUUAAAAUAUGAUGAAGAGACACCGCUGAGACAAACUUAUUUCUUCUAUCACCGGUUCACCAUAAGAGCAUGCAGCAUAAAAGACACGCAUAUACGUGAUACCUAAUGGGCGCAUGUACUAUCAUGAGAGGGAUCAUGUCUAUCUAUUCGACAGUGACGGCCAUCUUCAUGCCUUGCUCGCAAUGACGCAUAACGCUGCAGAGGAAGAAGGCUUUGCCGCCGGCGAGUUGGAUGUGGUCGUUGCCAGAGUCGUGGAACUUCGACGGGCCGACGACCAAGCACGAGUUGUAGUCGCGUUCUUCCACUUGGACCAGGUUGUGCAUCGCUGAUUCGUACUUGAACACUACAUGCAUGAGUUAAAUAUAUUAAAUUAGAGAUCAGAAAAUAUAUCUAUAUACUUCCUCUGUUUUUAUUUACUCCGCGUAUUAACUUUGGUCAAAGUCAAAUUUUAUAAUUUUUGACAAAGUUUAUAGACAAAAAUAUUAACAUAUACAAUAACAAAUCAACAUCAUUAAAUUCAUUAUCAAAUGUACUUUCACAUCAUAUAGAUUUGUAAUGAUAAAUAUUUAUAUUUUUUUCUAUAAACUUGAUCAAACUUUUAGAAAGUUUGACUUUAGUCAACUCUAAUAUGCAGAGUAAAUAAAAACGGAGGAGUCCAAUACAUCUUGCUAUUUAGAGUUCUCACCGAGCACGUCACCAGACUUGAAGCGCUUUCCGUUCUCCCAGCCGGAGAUACCAAUGGUCCACCCCUUGUCGUCGACGAUCCACUCCUUGCCAUGGACGAGGGUGGUUGUGCAGCAAACAGCCAGAAGCAGCACCAGAAGGGUGGCUACGAUGGUUCCCUGUGCCAUCGAGGAUGUUGCUUGACUUCUUGACACUACAGAAGAUCACAAGAACAGCAAAUUGGAACACUAGUCGAUUCCUCAAAUGAUGGCUUGGGUUCGAUUCCUCAAGUGAUGGCUUACUAUCACAUUUGUCAAUUUAUCUCAUUUAAAGGGAGAUUUUCAAUUAUUUGAGCAAAAUAAUGUGCUCAAAUAAGUGAAAAUCUUCUUUUAAAUGAGACAAAUCAACAAAUGUGAUAGUAUAUGAAACAUUAAUCGGUAAACUACCAAAUCCUCCAACAUGUAUACUCGGAUAUAGUAUUAAUUAAAAUGAUUGUGGAUGCAUUUAUUUUCCUUCUUUCAAGAUUUGGCGAUAUUUUUUCCUAAUGCAUUAGUUGUACUUACUCCUAUAUAAGAUAUUCAGACGGCUGACAUUUAGCAAAAUCUUAGUCACCUGCAUUAUCAUUGGAUAUUUAUGCAUCUAGAUUCAGAAGUUAUCCAGGCGGGCUGCCUUUUGUUGUCCCCGUGCUUAUUGUUGGAUCCACGGGAGCGAGCCAGGUUAUGCGCUUUUCUUUCUUUCUGUUCACUGGACUGUGUGACUGGUCACACGCUUUUUUACCGCGUCUCAGCUUUUGUUAUUUCAGCGCGACGUUUUUCGUGUCAUGGCCCGUUUCUAUUUUCCUUUUUAGUCCAAAUACGACUAAUGUAUGAUCCAUGUUUUUCUUUUCUUUUCUUUAUUUUUUUGUAGUUAUACUUUUUUUGCAGGGUGAAAGGGAGUUUUAUUCCUAAAUUAUAGGGUUACAAUCCCGAGCCAACUGUUCCACACAACACGCAGGACUCGAAUUCAACCAUACCGCAGUAUAACACUCGGUAUGGCUAUAAAGUGCCAAGAGAUGUGCUACCCUAUUAUGCUCUCUACCAAUUUUACGAGGAACAAACUCCCUAACAUCCAAGUUAGCUUUAAUCUCAGCGUCAAGAUGACCGUAGGCUGAUUUGGAUAGUGUGUCACCGGUAAGAGUUACCAAUGCAUUUGAAGAAUCCGAUUGGACCAUCACCGGCUUAUAUGAAUGUUGGAUGGCCAAAGCCAUGCCUUGCAUGAUUGCAUGCAUUUCUGCUUCAAGGGUGUCAUUAUAAUGAAAGAUGUACCAGUAGUAGAAAAAGGGUCAAAUGUGAAGCAUAUUAGUGCCGGUUUGAUUUUGAGCCGGCACUAAUGUGUCCAUCAGUGCCGGUUGAUGAGGACAUAGAACUGGGGUAGGGUAAUAGGCCUGACCUAUACCUCCUACCUAAGGUCCUUGUCCUAGAAGCAAAGAGGUUCAAGAGUAAAUAGAGGGGACCCAACAAAGGUGUCGAGUGUAAUCCACUCGACCUACCAUUCACUCGGAGACCCCCCUUUGUUUAUGUCACUCGACCACUAAACCACUCCUAAAGCCACUCCGCGCAGCAACGGUCGGGCAUUUACUCUUAGACUUAAUAGUCAUUUAUAUUACUUUACUACAGACGUUACCUGUAACGCUCCUGCUUUAUGAACAUUGAACUCCUUGUAACGUGGGCUGGCCGGGGUCCUGGCGCACUCUAUAUAAGCCACCCCCCUCCACUGGCACAAGGGUUCGCACCCCCUGUAACACACACGCAUAUAAUCCAGUCGACCGCCUCCGGGCUCCGAGACGUAGGGCUGUUACUUCCUCCGAGAAGGGCCUGAACUCGUAAAACUCGUGCAUACAACUUCUCCAUAGCUAGGACCUUGCCUUUACAUCCCAACCCCCCAUCUACUGUCAGACUUAGAACCACGACAGUUGGUGCCCAUCGUGGGGCAGGUGUUUUAGCGACUUGUUGGAGAAGUUGCAAUUUUUCCGAUCCCCAUCAGCAUGGUUUCAGGCGGAGGAUUAACCGAGGGCCGCGAGAUCCGUCUCGGCGCGCUCGUGUUCGUCGCAGACGACUCCGCUUGGCUCCAAGAGGCUCCACUCGACGUCGAGGCGCUCCCCGUCCGCGGGGCAACGCACUUUCGCGCGUGCGUCCGCGGCGUCCUCCUGCGGCAGCCGUCGACCCAGUAUCGGUCGGCUCAUGUGGCGUCUUCACUCCCUGCAGCCCGCCGGCACAAGCGUUCCGGUCGGUCGAGGCUCCAGCGGUGGGUGAGGCACGCGGUGGCUUGCCAGUCGGCCACCCCUCAAGUCGCGGCAAUCGAGCCCGACGAAACUCUCUACGGCCUGUUCGACUGGCUCCGUUGAGACCGCAUCCGAGUGCGACAGCAGUGACCCUACGACGGAAGUCCUAAUGGUCAACGGACCGCGCAGUCCUCCUGGCUUCCCCCGCGUCGACGGUGGUGAUGGCGGAAGCGAUCCGUCGCGUGCCCACGAGGAGUACCGCCCCGAGCCCCUCUCUUCGCAGCAGAGGGAAGAGCUUCGCCGCCAUAACAUGGAUGCACUUCACACUCCUAUCGUUGGAGAAACCCCCGAGGCCCGGGCCUUGGAGGAGGUGCGCCUGGCCAACUUGGCUGAGCGCACUCGACUGGAGAAUCUCCAGCACGCACUCGACGAGUGUGCUUGGCAGCGAGUUCCUGAAUCCAGUCGACGUCAACUCUUUCCGCCUCCAACCCAGGUAUAUCGAACUGCGAUCCAGAAUCUCACAGCUGCUCCCCGAAUAGCUGGUAGGGGUUUGAUGCAGAUCCAGGCUUUGCUCCGGGUGGCGGGGGAGCAGAACACAGUUGUGUCACAGUCUCGGAAUAGGAUUCAUAGUAGGUCUGUGAUGGCAGAUACAGUUCAGUCGGCUCACAGCCCGAGAUCGCCUCCAAGGCGUGAGGGACGUGGAGAUCGACAGGAUCAGUACAGGAACCGUGAGCAGUACGAUCGUCGUCGAGUACCCACGCCUCCCCCAAGGAGUGGGUCAUACGCGCCUUGGCAACACGAUGACAGACGCCCUCACAGUGGUGGGCGAAGGAUUCCAGUCGACCCCCGGGAGCCGGGUUUUGACGCGAGAUCCAUUCUCGUUCAAGGUCUGGUUGACAGGAACAGAGCACACAGAGAUGGCCAUGAUAGAGAUUACCCGACCGGCAGCAGGGUGCAUGUUUCAGGUCCCGAGUGUUUCAGCAGAGCCAUCAGAGCAGCAAUGAUUCCUCCCAACUUCAGGUUGGCGACUGGAGUCAGCAAGUUCACUGGUGAAUCCAAGCCUGACACUUGGCUUGAGGACUACCGAGUGGCUGUGCAGAUUGGUGGUGGUAAUGAUGAAGUGGCCAUGAAGCACCUUCCUCUGAUGUUAGAGGGCUCGGCCAGAGCGUGGUUGAAUCAGCUAGCACCUGGCAGUAUUUAUAGCUGGGAAGAGCUUGCCCGAGUAUUUGUCAGAACAUUUGAAGGUACAUGCAAACGGCCAGCAGGGCUGACAGAGCUACAGUCUUGUGUGCAGAAGUCGAAUGAAACUUUGAGAGAUUAUAUCCAGAGAUGGAUCACGUUGCACCACACGGUGGAGAAUGUGUCUGAUCACCAAGCAGUUUGUGCCUUCAAGGAAGGCGUCAAGUAUCGGGAAUUGAAUCUGAAGUUCGGUCGGACCGGAGAUAUGUCUCUGAGUCGAAUGAUGCAAAUUGCCACCAAGUAUGCUAAUGGUGAAGAGGAGGAUCGGCUCCGGAGUGGCAAGCACAAAACAGUCGCCCACGAAACCGGGGGAGGGAACUCCAGUCGGAAGCAGAAGCGCAAAGCCGAGCCAGCUGCUCCCGGAGAAGCCUUAGCCGUGACUCAAGGAAAGUUCAAGGGGAACCCAAAGGGCCAUGGAACCCCAAGAAGGUAAAAGAUCAAGAUGGAAAUGAUGUAUUGGAUUUACCGUGCCACAUUCACACCAAAAAAGAUGAGGAGGGUAAUCUCAUUUACCCGAAGCAUACCACUCGACAAUGUCGUCUCCUAAUCCAGCAAUUCCGAGAGAAACAACCCAAAGAGAAGGAGAAAGAAUCGGACAUGGUUGAGGAUAAGGAAGAGGACGAUGAUGGUUACCCCCACGUCAAUUCAACUCUGAUGAUUUUUGCUGAUGUUGAGAGCAAAAGUCGACUGAAAGUCAUCAACAGAGAAGUGAACAUGGUCGCCCUAGCGACGCCCAGUUAUUUGAAGUGGUCUUAGACUGCCAUUACAUUCGACCAGUCUGAUCACCCAACACACAUCGCCACCCCUGGGAGGCAAGCGUUGGUGGUCGACCCAGUUGUCGAAGGCACUCGGUUGACUAAGGUUCUGAUGGAUGGUGGCAGCGGCCUGAAUAUACUGUAUGUAGAGACCUUGAAAGGAAUUGGCAUUCUGAUGUCUAGACUCAGUGAAAGCCAUAUGAUUUUCCAUGGAGUUAUUCCUGGCAAGAAGGCUGAAUCACUCGGCUAGAUCGCCCUUGAUGUGGUUUUCGGUGAUUCCAAGAAUUACCGCAAAGAAAAGUUGACGUUUGAAGUUGUCGAUUUCCAGAUUGCUUAUCACGCUAUCCUGGGCAGGCCGGCUUAUGCACGUUUUAUGGCCCGACCAUGCUACGUGUACCUCAAAUUGAAGAUGCCUAGUCCCAAAGGAGUGAUCACUAUCACUGGCAAUCGGAAGAAGGCGGAAGAGUGCUUUCAGAAGGGCUCAAAGAUCGCCGAUGCACAAAUGGCAAUAGUGGAAUUGCAAGAGUAUCAAAAGAACGCAGAUCUGAGUGAUUUGUUGCGAGCAAAGAAGCCUGCCACGGAUUCAACAUUUCAGUCUUCUGGUGAAACGAAGCCGAUUCAUAUUCACCCGACCGAUCCCAAUGAAGGAAAUAUGCCCUAGAGGCAAUAAUAAAGUUAUUAUUUAUUUCCUUAUAUCAUGAUAAAUGUUUAUUAUUCAAGCUAGAAUUGUAUUAACCGGAAACAUAAUACAUGUGUGAAUACAUAGACAAACAGAGUGUCGCUAGUAUGCCUCUACUUGACUAGCUCGUUAAUCAAAGAUGGUUAUGUUUCCUAGGCAUAGACAUGAGUUGUCAUUUGAUUAACGAGAUCACCUCAUUAGGAGAAUGACGUGAUUGACUUGACCCAUUCCGUUAGCUUAGCACCCGAUCGUUUAGUAUGUUGCUAUUGCUUUCUUCAUGACUUAUACAUGUUCCUCUGACUAUGAGAUUAUGCAACUCCCGUUUACCGGAGGAACACUUUGUGUGCUACCAAACGUCACAACGUAAAUGGGUGAUUAUAAAGGUGCUCUACAGGUGUCUCCAAAGGUACUUGUUGGGUUGGCGUAUUUCGAGAUUAGGAUUUGUCACUCCGAUUGUCGGAGAGGUAUCUCUGGGCCCACUCGGUAAUGCACAUCACUAUAAGCCUUGCAAGCAUUGUGACUAAUGAGUUAGUUGCGAGAUGAUGUGUUACGGAAUGAGUAAAGAGACUUGCCGGUAACGAGAUUGAACUAGGUAUCGAGAUACCGACGAUCAAAUCUCGGGCAAGUAACAUACCGGUGAAAAAGGGAACAACGUAUGUUGUUAUGCGGUCUGACCGAUAAAGAUCUUCGUAGAAUAUGUGGGAGCCAAUAUGGGCAUCCAGGUCCCGCUAUUGGUUAUUGACCGGAGACGUGUCUCGGUCAUGUCUACAUAGUUCUCGAACCCGUAGGGUCCGCACGCUUAACGUUACGAUGACAGUUUUAUUGAGUUUUGAUGUACCGAAGGAGUUCAGAGUCCCGGAUGAGAUCGGGGAUAUGACGAGGAGUCUCGAAAUGGUCGAGACGUAAAUAUCGAUAUAUUGGACGACUAUAUUCGGACUUCGGAAAGGUUCCGAGUGAUUCGGGUAUUUUUCGGAGUACCGGAGAGUUACGGGAAUACGUAUUGGGCCUUAUUGGGCCAUACGGGAAAGAAGGAAAAGGGCCUCAAGGGUGGCCGCAGCCCUCCCCUUGGUCUGGUCCGAAUUGGACUAGGGAAGGGGGGCGCCCCCUUCCUUCCUUCUCUUUUUCCCUUCCUCUUUUCCUAUUCCAUAUGGGAGGUGGAAUCCUACUAGGACUAGGGACUCCUAGUAGGACUCCACACUUGGUGCGCCCCCUCCUAGGGCCGGCCUCCUCCUCCCUUGCUCCUUUAUAUACGGGGGCAGGGGGGCACCCCAGAGACACAACAAUUGAUCCUUCAGAUCUCUUAGCCGUGUGCGGUGCCCCCCUCCACCAUAUUACACCUCGAUAAUACCGUUGCAGAGCUUAGGCGAAGCCCUGCGUCGGUGGAACAUCAUCAUCGUCACCACGCCGUCGUGUUGACGGAACUCUUCCUCAACACUCGGCUGGAUUGGAGUUCGAGGGACGUCAUCGAGCUGAACGUGUGUAGAACUCAGAGGUGCCGUACGUUCGGUACUUGAUCGGUCGGAUCGUGAAGACCUACGACUACAUCAACCGCGUUGUGAUAACGCUUCCGCUGUCGGUCUACGAGGGUACGUGGACAACACUCUCCCCUCUCGUUGCUAUGCAUCACCAUGAUCUUGCGUGUGCGUAGGAAUUUUUUGAAAUUACUACGUUCCCCAACAGUGGCAUCCGAGCCUGGUUUUAUGCGUUGAUGCUAUGCACGAGUAGAACACAAGUGAGUUGUGGGCGAUAUAAGUCAUACUGCUUACCAGCAUGUCAUACUUUAGUUCAGCGGUAUUAUGAGAUGAAGCGGCCCGGACCGACAUUACGCGUACGCUUACGCGAGACUGGUUUCACCGUUCGGAGCACUCGUUGCUUAAAGGUGACUGGCGGGUGUCUGUCUCUCUCACUUUAGUUGAACCGAGUGUGGCUAUGCCCGGUCCUUGCGAAGGUUAAAACAGCACCAACUUGACAAACUAUCAUUGUGGUUUUGAUGCGUAGGUAAGAACGGUUCUUGCUAAGCCCGUAGCAGCCACGUAAAACUUGCAACAACAAAGUAGAGGACGUCUAACUUGUUUUUGCAGGGCAUGUUGUGAUGUGAUAUGGUCAAGACAUGAUGUGAUAUAAUGUGUUCUAUGAGAUGAUCAUGUUUUGUAACCGAGUUAUCGGCAACUGGCAGGAGCCAUAUGGUUGUCACUUUAUUGUAUGAGAUGCAAUCGCCAUGUAAUAGUUUUACUUUAUCACUAAGCGGUAGCGAUAGUCCUAAAAGCAAUAAGUUGGCGAGACGACAACGAUGCUACGAUGGAGAUCAAGGUGUCGCGCCGGUGACGAUGCUGAUCAUGACGGUGCUUCGGAGAUGGAGAUCACAAGCACAGUGCUUCGGAGAUGGAGAUCACAAGCACAAGAUGAUGAUGGCCAUAUCAUAUCACUUAUAUUGAUUGCAUGUGAUGUUAAUCCUUUAUGCAUCUUAUCUUGCUUUGAUUGACGGUAGCAUUAUAAGAUGAUCUCUCACUAAAAUUUCAAGAUAAAAGUGUUCUCCCUGAGUAUGCACCGUUGCAAAAGUUCUUCGUGCUGAGACACCACGUGUUAAUUGGGUGUGAUAGGCUCUACGUUCAAAUACAACGGGUGCAAAACAGUUGCACACGCGGAAUACUCAGGUUAAACUUGACGAGCCUAGCAUAUACAGAUAUGGCCUCGGAACACAGAGACCGAAAAGUCGAGCGUGAAUCAUAUAGUAGAUAUGAUCAACAUAGUGAUGUUCACCAUUGAAACUACUCCAUCUCACGUGUUAAUCGGACAUGGUUUAGUUGCUUUGGAUCACGUUAUCACUUAGAUGAUUAGAGGGAUGUCUAUCUAAGUAGGAGUUCUUAAGUAAUAUGAUUAAUUGAACUUAAAUUUAUCAUGAACUUAGUCCUGAUAUUUUUUUUGCAAAUUAUGUUGUAGAUCAAUAGCUCGCGUUGUUGCUUCCCUGUGUUUAUUUUUGAUAUGUUCCUAGAGAAAAAUUAUGUUGAAAGAUGUUAGUAGCAAAGAUGCGGAUUGGAUCCGUGAUCUGAGGAUUAUCCUCAUUGCUGCACAGAAAAAUUAUGUCCUUGAUGCACCGCUAGGUGACAGACCUAUGGCAGGAGCAGAUGCAGACGUUAUGAACGUUUGGCUAGCUCAAUAUGAUGACUACUUGAUAGUUUAGUGCACCAUGCUUAACGGCUUAGAAUCGGGACUUCAAAGACGUUUUGAACGUCAUGGACCAUAUGAGAUGUUCCAGGAGUUGAAGUUAAUAUUUCAAGCAAAUACCCGAGUUGAGAGAUAUGAAGUCUCCAACAAGUUCUAUAGCUAAAAGAUGAAGGAGAAUCGCUCAACUAGUGAGCAUGUGCUCAGAUUGUCUGGGUACUACAAUCUCUUGAAUCAAGUGGGAGUUAAUCUUCCAGAUAAAAUAGUGAUUGACAGAAUUCUCUAGUCACCAUCACCAAGUUAGUAGAACUUCGUGAUGAACUAUAGUAUGCAAGGGAUGACGAAAGUAAUUCCCGAGCUCUUCGUGAUGCUGAAAUCGACGAAGGUAGAAAUCAAGAAAAACAUCAAGUGUUGAUGGUUGGCGAGACCACUAGUUUCAAGAAAAGGGCAAAGGGAAGAAGGGGAACUUCAAGAAGAACGGCAAGCAAGUUGCUGCUCAAGUGAAGAAGCCUAAGUCUGGUCCUAAGCCUGAGACUAAGUGCUUCUACUGCAAAGGGACUGGUCACUGGAAGCGGAACUACCCCAACUAUUUGGUGGAUAAGAAGGAUGGCAAAGUGAACAAAGGUAUAUUGAUAUACAGAUUAUUGAUGUGUACUUUACUAGUGUUUAUAGCAACCCCUCGGUAAUUGAUACUGGUUCAGUUGCUAAGAGUAGUAACUCGAAACGGGAGUUGCAGAAUAAACAGAGACUAGUAAAAGUGAACAAAGGUAUAUUUGAUAUACAGAUUAUUGAUGUGUACUUUACUAAUGUUUAUAGCAACCCCUCGGUAAUUGAUACUGAUUCAGUUGCUAAAGAGUAGUAACUCGAAAACGGGAGUCGCAGAAUAAACAGAGACUAGUAAAAGGCGAGGUGACGAUGUGUGUUGGAAGUAGUUCCAAGAUUGAUAUGAUCAUCAUCACACACCCCCUAUACUUUCGGGAUUAGUGUUGAAACUAAAUAAGUGUUAUUUGGUGUUUGCGUUGAGCAGGAAUAUGAUUUGAUCAUGUUUAUUGCAAUACGGUUAUUCAUUUAAGUUAGAGAACAAUUGUUGUUCUGUUUACAUGAAUAAAACCUUCUAUGGUCAUACACACCAACGAAAAUGGUUUGUUGGAUCUCGAUCGUAGUGAUACACAUAUUCAUAAUAUUGAAGCCAAAAGAUGCAAAGUUAAUAAUGAUAGUGCAACUUAUUUGUGGCACUGCCGUUUAGGUCAUAUUGGUGUAAAGCGCAUGAAGAAACUCCAUACUGAUGGGAUUUUGGAAUCACUUGAUGCUUGCGAACCGUGCCUCAUGGGCAAGAUGACUAAAACGCCGUUCUCCGGAACUAUGGAGAGAGCAACAGAUUUGUUGGAAAUCAUACAUACAGAUGUAUGUGGUCCGAUGAAUAUUGAGGCUCGUAGCAGGUAUCAUUAUUUUCUGACCUUCACAGAUGAUUUGAGCAGAUAUGGGUAUAUCUACUUAAUGAAACAUAAGUCUGAAACAUUUGAAAAGUUCAAAGAAUUUCAGAGUGAAGUGGAAAAUCAUCGUGACAAGAAAAUAAAGCUUCUAUGAUCUGAUCGUAGAGAAGAGUAUUUGAGUUACGAGUUUGGCCUUCAGUUAAAACAAUAGGAAAUAGUUUCACUACUCACGCCACCUGGAACACCACGGUGUAAUGGUGUGUCCGAACGUCAUAAUCGUACUUUAUUAGAUAUGGUGCGAUAUAUGAUGUAUCUUACCGAUCUACCACUAUCGUUUUGGGGUUAUGCAUUAGAGACAGCUGCAUUCACGUUAAAUAGGCUACCAUCUAAAUCCGUUGAGACGACAUCUUAUGAACUGUGGUUUGGCAAGAAACCAAAGUUGUCAUUUCUUAAAGUUUGGGGUUGCGAUGCACAUGUGAAAAAGUUUCAUCCUGAUAAGCUCAAACCCAAAUCGGAGAAAUGUGUCUUCAUAGGAUACCCAAAGGAGACAGUUGGGUACACCUUCUAUCACAGAUCCGAAGGCAAGACAUUCGUUGCUAGGAAUGGAUCCUUUCUAGAGAAGGAGUUUCUCUCGAAAGAAGUGAGUGGGAGGAAAGUAGAACUUGAUGAGGUAACUGUACCUGCUCCCUUAUUGGAAAGUAGUUCAUCACAGAAAUCUGUUCCUGUGACUUCUACACCAAUUAGUGAGGAAGUUAAUGAUGAUGAUCAUGUAACUUCAGAUCAAGUUACUACCAAACCUCGUAGGUAAACCAGAGUAAGAUCCGCACCAGAGUGGUACGGUAAUCCUGUUCUGGAGGUUAUGUUACUAGACCAUGACGAACCUACGAACUAUGAAGAAGCGAUGGUGAGCCCAGAUUCCGCAAAAUGGCUUGAGGCCAUGAAAUCUGAGAUGAGAUCCAUGUAUGAGAACAAAGUGUGGACUUUGGUUGACUUGCCCAAUGAUCGGCAAGCAAUUGAGAAUAAAUGGAUCUUCAAGAGGAAGACGGACGCUGAUAGUAGUGUUACUAUCUACAAAGCUAGAAUUGUCGGAAAAAGGUUUUUGACAAAGUUCAAGGUGUUGACUACGAUGAGAGUUUCUCACUCGUAUCUAUGCUUAAGUCUGUCUGAAUCAUGUUAGCAAUUGCCACAUUUUAUGAAAUAUGGCAAAUGGAUAAACAAAACUGCAUUCCUUAAUGGAUUUAUUAAAGAAGAGUUGUAUAUGAUUCAACCAAAAGGUUUUGUCAAUCCUAAAGGUGCUAACAAAAUAUGCAAGCUCCAGCGAUCCAUCUAUGGACUGGUGCAAGCAUCUCGGAGUUGGAAUAUACACUUUGAUAAGUUGAUCAAAGGAUAUAGUUUUAUACAGACUUGCGAUGAAGCCUGUAUUUACAAGAAAGUGAGUGGGAGCACUACAGCAUUUAUGAUAAGUAUAUGUGAAUGACAUAUUGUUGAUCGGAAAUAAUGUAGAAUUAUUCUGCAAAGCAUAAAGGAGUGUUUGAAAGGAGUUUUUCAAAGAAAGACCUCGGUGAAGCUGCUUACAUAUUGAGCAUCAAGAUCUAUAGAGAUAGAUCAAGACGCUUGAUAAGUUUUUUCAAUGAGUACAUACCUUAACAAGAUUUUGAAAUAGUUCAAAAUAGAACAGUCAAAGAAAAGAGUUUCUUGCCUGUGUUACAAGGUGUGAAAUUGAGUAAAGACUCAAAGCCCGACCACGGCAAAAGAUAGAAAGAGAAUGAAAGUCAUACCCUAUGCCUUGGCCAUAGGUUCUAUAAAGUAUGCCAUGCUGUGUACCAGAUCUAUUGUAUACCCUACACUGAUUUUGGAAAGGGAGUACAAUAGUGAUCUAGGAGUAGAUCACUGGACAGCGGUCAAAAUUAUCCUUACUGAAAUAAGGAUAUGUUUCUCGAUUAUGGAAGUGACAAAAGGCUCGUCGUAAAAGGUUACGUCGAUGCAAGUUUUGACACUAAUCUAGAUGACUCUAAGUCUCGGUCUAGAUACAUAUUGAAAGUGGGAGCAAUUAGCUAGAGUAGCUCCAUGCAGAGCAUUGUAGACAUAGAAAUUUGCAAAAUACUUACGGAUCUGAAUGUGACAGACCCGUUGACUAAAAUUAUCUCACAAGCAAAACAUGAUCACACCUUAGUACUCUUUGGGUGUUAAUCACAUAGCGAUGUGAACUAGAUUACUGACUCUAGUAAACCCUUUGGGUGAUGGUCACAUGACGAUGUGAAACAUGGGUGUUAAUCACAUGGUGAUGUGAACUAUUCAUGUUAAAUCACAUGGCGAUGUGAACUAGAUUAUUGACUCUAGUGCAAGUGGGAGACUGAAGGAAAUAUGCCCUGGAGGCAAUAAUAAAGUUAUUAUUUAUUUCCUUAUAUCAUGAUAAAUGUUUAUUAUUCAUGCUAGAAUUGUAUUAACCGGAAACAUAAUACAUGUGUGAAUACAUAGACAAACAGAGUGUCGCUAGUAUGCCUCUACUUGACUAGCUCGUUAAUCAAAGAUGGUUAUGUUUCCUAGCCAUAGACAUGAGUUGUCAUUUGAUUAACGAGAUCACCUCAUUAGGAGAAUGACGUUAUUGACUUGACCCAUUCCGUUAGCUUAGCACCCGAUCGUUUAGUAUGUUGCUAUUGAUUUCUUCAUGACUUAUACAUGUUCCUCUGACUAUGAGAUUAUGCAACUCCCGUUUACCGGAGGAACACUUUGUGUGCUACCAAACGUCACAACGUAAAUGGGUGAUUAUAAAGGUGCUCUACAGGUGUCUCCAAAGGUACUUGUUGGGUUGGCGUAUUUCGAGAUUAGGAUUUGUCACUCCGAUUGUCGGAGAGGUAUCUCUGGGCCCACUCGGUAAUGCACAUCACUAUAAGCCUUGCAAGCAUUGUGACUAAUGAGUUAGUUGCGAGAUGAUGUGUUAUGGAACGAGUAAAGAGACUUGCCGGUAACGAGAUUGAACUAGGUAUCGAGAUACCGACGAUCAAAUCUCGGGCAAGUAACAUACCGGUGACAAAGGGAACAACGUAUGUUGUUAUGCGGUCUGACCGAUAAAGAUCAUCAUAGAAUAUGUGGGAGCCAAUAUGGGCAUCCAGGUCCCGCUAUUGGUUAUUGACCGGAGACGUGUCUCGGUCAUGUCUACAUAGUUCUCGAACCCGUAGGGUCCGCACGCUUAACGUUACGAUGACAGUUUUAUUGAGUUUUGAUGUACCGAAGGAGUUCGGAGUCCCGGAUGAGAUCGGGGAUAUGACGAGGAGUCUCGAAAUGGUCGAGACGUAAAUAUCGAUAUAUUGGACGACUAUAUUCGGACUUCGGAAAGUUUCCGAGUGAUUCGGGUAUUUUUCGGAGUACCGGAGAGUUACGGGAAUACGUAUUGGGCCUUAUUGGACCAUACGGGAAAGAAGGAAAAGGGCCUCAAGGGUGGCCGCACCCCUCCCCUUGGUCUGGUCCGAAUUGGACUAGGGAAGGGGGGGCGCCCCCUUCCUUCCUUCUCUUUUUCCCUUCCUCUUUUCCUAUUCCAUAUGGGAGGUGGAAUCCUACUAGGACUAGGGACUCCUAGCAGGACUCCACACUUGGUGCGCCCCCUCCUAGUGCCGGCCUCCUCCUCCCUUGCUCCUUUAUAUACGGGGGCAGGGGCACCCCAGAGACACAACAAUUGAUCCUUGAGAUCUCUUAGCCGUGUGCGGUGCCCCCCUCCACCAUAUUACACCUCGAUAAUACCGUUGCGGAGCUUAGGCGAAGCCCUGUGUCGGUGGAACAUCAUCAUCGUCACCACGCCGUCUUGGUGACGAAACUCUCCCUCAACACUCGGCUGGAUCGGAGUUCGAGGGACGUCAUCGAGCUGAACGUGUGUAGAACUCGGAGGUGCCGUACGUUCGGUACUUGAUCGGUCGGAUCGUGAAGACGUAUGACUACAUCAACCGCGUUGUGAUAACGCUUCCGUUGUCGGUCUACGAGGGUACGUGGACAACACUCUCCCCUCUCGUUGCUAUGCAUCACCAUGAUCUUGCAUGUGCGUAGGAAAUUUUUGAAAUUACUACGUUCCCCAACACCCAAUGCUGCUCCGACUCACAUUUCGACAACGCUCGACUCCAAAUAGGAAGAAGCGCUCAUCCAGUUCCUCCGUGAGAACUGGGACAUCUUUGCAUGGAAACCUUCUAACAUGCCGGGUGUUCCCAGGGGGCUGGCUGAGCACCGUUUGCGAGUCGGCCCAAAAGUGAAACCAGUCAAAGAACAUCUUCGACGGUCCACCGUACAGAAGAGAAAAGCGAUCGGUGAAGAAGUAGCUCGGCUCCUAGCAGCUGAGUUUAUUCGAGAGAUUUACCACUCCGAGUGGCUAGCCAAUGUUGUCAUGGUCCCCAAGAAGGACGACUCACUUCGCAUGUGCAUUAACUUCAAGCAUAUCAAUCGGGCCUGCCCGAAAGAUCACUUUCCUCUACCCCGCAUCGAUCAAAUAGUCGACUCGACUGCAGGGUGUGAGCGCUUGUCCUUUUUGGACGCUUAUUCCGGGUAUCAUCAGAUCCGACUGUAUGGACCCGAUGAGAUAAAAACUUCUUUCAUCGCUCCAUUUGGGUGCUUCUGUUAUGUCACCAUGCCAUUCGGCCUGAAGAAUGCUGGAUCCACAUUCAUGAGGAUGAUUCAGAAGUGUUUACUCACUCAAAUCAGUCGGAAUGUGGAAGCAUACAUGGAUGACAUUGUAAUCAAGUCACGUAAAGGUUCCGACCUGCUAGCUGACCUUGCUAAAACUUUUGCCAACCUCAGAAGGUAUGAUAUCAAGCUUAAUCCAUCAAAGUGCACAUUCGGAGUUCCGGGCGGAAAAUUACUCGGUUUUCUUGUUUCUAAACGAGGGAUCGACGCUAACCCAGAGAAAGUUGGUGCCAUUCUCCGAAUGAAACGCCCUGUGCGUGUGCACGAUGUUCAGAAGCUUACAGGUUGUUUGGCCGCCUUAAGUCGAUUCAUUUCUCGCCUCGGUGAAAAGGCAUUGCCUCUUUACCGACUGAUGAAGAAGUCUGAUAAGUUCGAGUGGACUCCUGAAGCUGAUGCAGCAUUUGCAGAGCUCAAAGCCCUGCUUUCCACCCAGUCGGUGCUUGCUGCCCCAAUCAGCAAAGAGCCUUUACUGCUUUACAUUGCAGCCACUGGACAAGUCGUUAGUACAGUACUUACGGUCGAGCGGGAAGAAGAAGGAAAAGCCUAUAAAGUUCAGUGCCCAGUAUAUUAUGUUUCUGAAGUUUUGACUCCAUCAAAGCAAAGAUAUCCACAUUAUCAGAAGCUUGUUUAUGGGAUUUAUAUGACCACGAAGAAGGUUGCACAUUAUUUCUCUGACCACUCCAUUACAGUCGUCAGCGACGCUCCAUUAUCAGAGAUUCUGAACAACAGAGAUGCAACUGGUCGAGUGGCAAAGUGGGCGAUUGAACUUCUUCCCUUGGAUAUCAAGUUUGAGGCAAAGAAAGCUAUCAAGUCCCAAGCAAUAGCAGAUUUCCUCGCCGAGUGGAUCGAACAGCAACUGCCAACUCAAGUCCACUCGGAGCACUGGACCAUGUUCUUUGAUGGUUCCAAGAUGCUGAAUGGUUCCGGUGCUGGGGUGGUACUGGUAUCUCCCUGAGGAGACAAGCUUAGAUAUGUUCUCCAGAUUCACUUUAAUUCCUCCAAUAACGAAGCAGAAUACGAAGCACUCUUAUAUGGGUUACGUAUGGCCAUCUCACUCGGCGUCCAUCGCCUCAUGGUCUACGGAGACUCAGAUUUGGUAGUCAAUCAAGUGAUGAAGGAGUGGGACGUCAGAAGCCCAGCUAUGACUGGUUAGUGCAAUGUGGUGAGGAAGUUGGAAAAGAAAUUUGAGGGGCUAGAGCUCCAUCAUAUACCCCGACUGAAAAAUCAAGCAGCCAAUGAUUUAGCAAAGAUAGGUUCCAAGAGGGAAGCCAUUCCAAGCAACGUGUUUUUGGAACACAUUCAUACACCUUCAGUUCAAGAAGAUCCUUUCACUGAAGAGCCCCCGCAGCCUAAGAGCGCCACAGAUCCGACUGAAGUCGAAGUCCCAGCCGUGGUCGACCUGAUCAUGGAGGUUUUGGUCAUCACUCCCGAUUGGACAGUACCAUACAUUGCGUAUAUCCUUAGGAAAGAACUCCCAGAGGACGAAGAAGAGGCUCGACAGAUCGUCCGUCGAUCCAAAGCCUUUACUGUGAUAAAAGGACAACUGUUUAGGGAAAGUGUAACUGGAGUCAGCCAGAAAUGCAUCACACCGGAAGAAGGUCGAGUGAUCCUCAACGACAUCCACUCGGGGACCUGUGGUCAUCAUGCGUCCUCUCGGACCAUUGUGGCCAAAGCAUGCCGAGCCGGAUUUUAUUGGCCACGAGCAAAUGAAAUGGCGAAAGAUAUAGUCAACAAAUGUGAAGGCUGCCAGUUUUUCUCCAAUAUGUCCCACAAGCCUGCGUCAGCCCUGAAGACUAUUCCACUCGUCUGGCCCUUUGCCGUUUGGGGGUUGGAUAUUGUUGGACCCCUGAAGACUGGUUGGAGCGGCUUCACUCAUGUGCUUGUAGCAGUCGACAAGUUUACCAAGUGGAUUGAAGCCAAGCCUAUCAAGAAUCUUGAAGCCAGUACUGCCAUCAGCUUCAUCAGAGAAUUGACAUUCAGAUAUGGAGUUCCGCACAGCAUCAUCACUAACAACGGGUCGAACUUCGAUUCUGAUGAGUUCAGAGCCUUCUGUGCUUCCCAAGGCACGCGAGUCGACUAUGCUUCAGUCGCCCACCCCCAGUCGAAUGGACAAGCAGAAAGAGCAAAUGGCUUGAUUCUCAGAGGACUGAAACCCCGACUGAUGCAUGAUCUCAAACACGCAGUAGGCGCCUGGGUCGAUGAACUUCCGUCAGUUCUUUGGGGAUUGAGGACAACUCCCAAUCGGUCGACUGGCCGAACUCCAUUCUUCUUGGUUUAUGGAGCUGAAGUUGUUCUACCGAGUGACUUGCUUCACAAUGCACCGCGAGUCGAGCUCUUCUCUGAAGAUGAAGCAGAACAGGCCCAGCAGGACGCAGUCGAUCUCCUAGAGGAGGAAAGAGACUUGCGUCGAUUCCAUGCCAGAAACGUGAGGGGCCGAGCUUUUCAAGAGGGAGACUUGGUUCUUCGAGUUGAUCAGCAGAAACCACACAAGCUCGCCCCUGCUUGGGAAGGUCCCUUCAUUGUCACCAGAGUUCUCCACAAUGGAGCAUACCAUCUUUACAAUGUCAAGCAUCAGAAAGACGAGCCACGGGCUUGGAACGCGGAGCUGCUCCGCCCCUUUUAUACUUAAGUACUCAUUUGGAUGAGAUGUAAUAAGAAGUACCUUUGUAGUUUGUUUAUCAGAGACAAGAGCUUUACAGUCUUCCUAAAUGGUUGUUUUUACUUUUGUUUACGUCUGAAAUCCCCCAGUGGGUGACUUUGCCGCGAAUCCGUUUCGCCUAAGUUUGAAAAAUCCUACCGAGUGGUGAGCAAGCCUCUCACUCGGGGACUUAGCCGCGAAUCCGUUUCGCCUAAGUUUGUAAAAUCCUACCGAGUGGAGAGCAACCCUCCCACUCACGGGCUUACCUGCAGUCCAGUACUCGCCUAAGUUUGAAAAAUCCCACCGAGUGAUGAGCAAGCCUCUCACUCGGGGGCUUAGCUGCAGUCCAGUACUCGCCUAAGUUUGUAAAAUCCUACCGAGUGCGGAGCAACCCUCCCACUCGGGGGCUUAGCUACAGUCUAGUACUCGCCUAAGUUUGAAAAAUCCCACCGAGUGAUGAGCAAGCCUCUCACUCGGGGGCUUAGCUGCGGUCCAGUACUCGCCUAAGUUUGAAAAAUCCUACCGAGUGGUGAGCAACCCUCCCACUCGGGGGCUUAGCUGCAGUCUAGAACUCGCCAAAGUUCGAAAAAUCCUAGAGUGGAGAGANNNNNNNNNNNNNNNNNNNNNNNNNNNNNNNNNNNNNNNNNNNNNNNNNNNNNNNNNNNNNNNNNNNNNNNNNNNNNNNNNNNNNNNNNNNNNNNNNNNNNNNNNNNNNNNNNNNNNNNNNNNNNNNNNNNNNNNNNNNNNNNNNNNNNNNNNNNNNNNNNNNNNNNNNNNNNNNNNNNNNNNNNNNNNNNNNNNNNNNNNNNNNNNNNNNNNNNNNNNNNNNNNNNNNNNNNNNNNNNNNNNNNNNNNNNNNNNNNNNNNNNNNNNNNNNNNNNNNNNNNNNNNNNNNNNNNNNNNNNNNNNNNNNNNNNNNNNNNNNNNNNNNNNNNNNNNNNNNNNNNNNNNNNNNNNNNNNNNNNNNNNNNNNNNNNNNNNNNNNNNNNNNNNNNNNNNNNNNNNNNNNNNNNNNNNNNNNNNNNNNNNNNNNNNNNNNNNNNNNNNNNNNNNNNNNNNNNNNNNNNNNNNNNNNNNNNNNNNNNNNNNNNNNNNNNNNNNNNNNNNNNNNNNNNNNNNNNNNNNNNNNNNNNNNNNNNNNNNNNNNNNNNNNNNNNNNNNNNNNNNNNNNNNNNNNNNNNNNNNNNNNNNNNNNNNNNNNNNNNNNNNNNNNNNNNNNNNNNNNNNNNNNNNNNNNNNNNNNNNNNNNNNNNNNNNNNNNNNNNNNNNNNNNNNNNNNNNNNNNNNNNNNNNNNNNNNNNNNNNNNNNNNNNNNNNNNNNNNNNNNNNNNNNNNNNNNNNNNNNNNNNNNNNNNNNNNNNNNNNNNNNNNNNNNNNNNNNNNNNNNNNNNNNNNNNNNNNNNNNNNNNNNNNNNNNNNNNNNNNNNNNNNNNNNNNNNNNNNNNNNNNNNNNNNNNNNNNNNNNNNNNNNNNNNNNNNNNNNNNNNNNNNNNNNNNNNNNNNNNNNNNNNNNNNNNNNNNNNNNNNNNNNNNNNNNNNNNNNNNNNNNNNNNNNAGUUUGUAAAAUCCUACCGAGUGGAGAGCAACCCUCCCACUCGGGGGCUUAGCUGCAGUCCAGUACUCGCCUAAGUUUGUAAAAUCCUACCGAGUGGUGAGCAACCCUCCCACUCGGGGGCUUAGCUGCAGUCCAGUACUCGCCUAAGUUUGUAAAAUCCUACCGAGUGGUGAGCAACCCUCCCACUCGGGGGCUUAGCUGCAGUCCAAUACUCGCCUAAGUUUGUAAAACCCUACCGUGUGGUGAGCAACCCUCCCACUCGGGGGCUUAGCUGCAGUCCAGUACUCGCCUAAGUUNNNNNNNNNNNGUUUGUAAAAUCCUACUGAGUGGUGAGCAACCCUCCCACUCGGGGGCUUAGCUGCAGUCCAGUACUCGCCUAAGUUUGUAAAAUCCUACCGAGUGGUGAGCAACCCUCCCACUCGGGGGCUUAGCUGCAGUCCAGUACUCGCCUAAGUUUGUAAAAUCCUACCGAGUGGUGAGCAACCCUCCCACUCGGGGGCUUAGCUGCAAUCCAGUACUCGCCUAAGUUUGUAAAACCCUACCGAGUGGUGAGCAACCCUCCCACUCGGGGGCUUAGCUACAGUCUAGUACUCGCCUAAGUUCGAAGUCCAUCCCUAUCCGCAAGGACGACGAGGUGCAGGUCAACUGCAACCUUCUCCUUCGGAGCUGCGCCACAAGUACAAUGUGCGCUCCAUCCCUAUCCACAAGGACGACGAGGUACAGGUCGACUGUAACCAUCUCCUUCGGAGCUGCGCCACAAGUACAACGUACGCUCCAUCCUCGUCCGCAAGGACGACGAGGUACAGGUCGACUGGGAUCUCCUCCUCAGAGCUGCAUCUCAAGUACAAAGAUUAUUCCGAGUGAAGAGCCAAAUCCACUCGAAGGCAAACACAAGCAUAUUCAGAGAUAAACCAAGUUCAGAUAAAUCCUAAAGUUCCGGACGACGGAUCAAAAGUAUUCGAGCACCAAGCCCGAAGAAGUUUAACGAUUACACAAUCACUCGGCAUUCCGAGGCAAAUAAAAGUGGAGCAUAAUGUUUUUCGAUCACGCGUCAGGAGAAGGACUGGCUAGGUCGCAGAAACUGUCAAGGUCUAUGCUGACUGCAAUGCGAGUGGCAGCGUCAAGAAAAGUGUCCAUGAAGGAUUGGAAGGUGUGCCUCUUUGUGUU